GAAGCCUGGCUGGGCCGGGCGCUCACUUUUCUGUCAUCCCUAGCGGCAACUCAACUCAAGCCUUGGCUGGAUGGUCGUAGUUUUUGCGCGUUUCAGUUGACAGGCGUUGAUACAAGGCUACGCGGGGUAUGCGCAAAGUCUUAACCUACACCCACUACAUUUCUCCUUUGUCCUCUCUAUAAAUAGCUUUUCUCUUUUACUUCUCGUUUCCCUCUUCUUUCAAAAUCAUCACCGAAUCAACAAAUAAUCUAGGGGUGGGCAAAAUACCCGAUCCGACCCGACCCGACCCGAAAAAUUUCGGGUUCGGAUCGGAUCGGGUUGCGAAUAUAACCCGAUCGGAUGAUAAAUUGUAAACCCGAUCGGUUUGUGAUCGGAUCGGGUUAUAUCCGACCCGAUCCGAAAACCCGAUCGGGUUGCUUAAAAAAAAAAAAAAAAAAACUAAACCUAAACCUAAACGCAUGCACACCACACACAAAUCACACUCACAUAAUCACAGUAGAACAGAUUCACAAGUUGUAAUAGUUGAACAGAUUCACAACAUGUGAUUCAUUGAAGAAAUCACAAACACAGAACACACAAACAAAAGUACAAAACUCACAAGACACACACACACACAUAGCAGUGUCGCGAUCUACUGACUCCCAACGGCCACCGCCAACGGAGGCCACACACGCUCCACCUCCAGUGCUGCGAUCUAUUCCUGUCUCUCCGAACUUCGACCAGUCCCCGCCGCUGCGCGUCCAGCCGUCUGCGAUCUGCCGUUGCACGUCCGCCCAUCUGCUGCCACCAACUGCCACCGAUCUGCUGCUGAAAACUCGUCCGUGAUCUGCUGCUCCAAGGCCAAGCCUCCAACCCGAGUACCCGACCCAAGUUUUUGCCCUUUGUGACUUUUGAUUUUGAAGCUUUCAUUUCAUGGUAUAUAAUUAGCGUUAAUUUUGAAGCUUUCAUUUCAUGUUAACCCUAACCCGAUUCUACCCGAGUUUAACCCGAUUUUUUGACCCGAUCCGAUCCGACCCGAAUAUAUAUCGGAUCGGAUCGGAUCGGGUUGUAAGAUCGGGUUGUAUUCGGAUUAAUAUUUGUCCAACCCGAACAACCCGAAACCCGAUCGGGUUAACCCGAACCCAACCUGAAUCUGAUUUUGCCCACCCCUAAAAUAAUCUUUCGCUCUGUCACUCACCAACUAAAUAUCACGAAACGAUAAAAAAUUAGCAAGUUAAUAGCAAAUUAACUAAACUGCUUCAAGCAAUAAUGGCUACUUUCGGUGCUGCUGCCGUUGCCACCAAUCAAAACCCUAACAAGUCCAUCGAGGUAUACUUUAUUUAUUUAUUUUCUUUAUUAUUUUUUCUUUCCGAUAAUCUUUAAAAAUUAUUUACCGUUAAAUUUCUUGUCGGUUUCUUGUGUAUGAUGAACUUGGCGACUGUUGAAUUAAUGCUUAUGGUGAUGUUAUUAUUAGGAUUAAGUAGAAAGUUAUAUAAAUUAUUUAUUAUAUAUUUUUGUCAGGGUUAAGCUUAAUUGCUUGUGUUAAUGUAAAAAUUAAUUCUACAUUUUCGGAUAAAGAUUUUUUUUUUUAAUGCUAAAUAUGUAUGCGAAGCUAUGAUCAUUUGUUUGCUUGCUGUCUUGCUGAACGGAUUGUUGAAAGCGAACCAAUUGCUAAGCUUGUGAAUGUGUUGGAGUUUCAGUGUAAAAGAACAGUAGUUAGUAAGUGAAUCAUCAGGCUUGCUAGUAGUGCUUGGAAGUUUAUAGUGUGAUUUUCAUACAGAAGACAUUGAAGUAAGAAUUUUCACUUCUUUUUAUAUGAAUUUAAAAUUGCAGUCUAUGUGGCAUUUUGGUUCGGGCAGUAAAUUGCUUUUAUUAUUAGAAGUUCAUCUGUUAGAAGUCUUCAUUGUGUAGUUGAGUGCAAUGACCUUCUUGCUAAGUUGGACAAUAUGUGCACGUGGAUAGUUAAGUGGUCAGUUCACGUGACCACAAACAGAAGAGUAGCCAUGUUGUGUUCAGAUGAAUGAAUGGAAAUGUUGGGCGUGUUUAGUUCUGCCAUGCUAACUUGUACUGACAAUUACCGAUGCUCAAAGUGGAUAUGAGCUGGCAGGGGCUAUGGACUCUCAAAUUGUCGGCACUCUUUUCCCAUACUUAUAUAAUUUAGGCGUUGUUUAAAGAGAAACGCCCUUGAUGAGUGCUUUAAUAUCGUAGGUUUUUGUCUUUCUUUCUUCUCUAAGUUGUGUGUCAUGCUCUUUUCUUUCUCCUUUUGGGUUUACAGUAUAUCCUUUCAUUUCUAUUUGGUAUCUGAUGUGGUCAACAGUUUACUGUGUCUCCAUGUGGUGCCAUGUGCACUUUGUAUGAUUUUGCGUGUAGUUGAUCAGUCACUUGUACUCUCUUGAUGUUCUUGUAUUUGAGAUCUUUAUCCUCUUGAUGUUCCAAUAUGUAAUUAGGUACUGGGAUACAAGGCAGCCAAAUCCUGUGCGCACUCAACAGCUGCCUGAUCGCUGCUAUGCGCUCCGCUUAUGGUUGUUGGAACUGCAGAUAGAAAUCUAGUUGUCUUCAACUUGCAGAAUCCUCAGGUAUCGUUUUUUAUUCCAUGAGAGCAUUGAUUUAUAUGUGUAAAUUAAAUGGGCAAAUUUGGUGCUGGCAGCUGAAGCAUGUGUUUUGAGUGGCAGCAGUUGCUGUGACACUAGUAGUUGGUUGACUUUGAUUUAAAAUUUAACUUGAGCCCAUCUUUUUUAAUUUGGAAUGGAAACAAUAAUUAUUUGUUGACUGUUUUUGGAAUUGAAAGCUAUCCUACCGUAUGGAACCACCUUCCCUUGUAUUUAAAAGGGUUCCUCAAUGUCAUGGAGCAUCCUGUAUAAAAUUAUUGUAUGAUUUCUUUUGUUGCCAGAUAUUUUUCUUCUGAUUGGUGUUGUCUGGAAAAGGGUUAUUUCUCGAUAUCAUUUUGUUUGUGUACAAGGAGGAAUGGAUACUAUAAUAAACUGGUCUACUGAGAAGAGCUUGAUGUUUGUAGAUUUGCCAACAUAUAUACACUACAGUUAUAGUAUGUAUUUCCAUGUCUUCAAUAUUCCUUUUUAAUUGAAAAAAAUAGCAAUUUGGAAUGGGUUUAUUUGCCUUAUAUCUUUCAAUUUUAUUUGAUAAUUUCAGUCAUGCUUUAUCUGUUCUUAUGUGAUGAUGAUAUAAAUAAGAUAUAAUAGCUCCUAGAAAUUUUGAAAUCUGGCUAAUUUAGAAAUUUGAACUAAAGGUUGGGUACAAUACUAUAUCUUCAUACACUAUCAUGAGAGUUUAGAUAACGGUUUCCGCAUUACCUGUAUUACAAUUUACCAUAUAUGGCACAUGCUUAUUGCAACAUAAAAAUGGUCAAGAGGCGAUGAAUUCUUGUUACUAUUUAACUUUUUUGUUGGGUAUUUAUUGAUUUCCAUAUUUUACCUUCAUGUAUUGUUCUUUUUAUAUUUUGUUUCACUUAUUUAUAUCUAAUAUAUGCAUUUUCUUCCGAGUAUGUCUAAUCAUUGUUUAAUGCUACCAGACUGAGUUCAAGAGAAUCAAUUCCCCUUUGAAGUACCAGACGAGAUGUGUUGCUGCCUUUCCUGACCAGCAAGGUUUCUGGGUAUGCAUUCAUUUAUUUUGAUCUCUCUUUUCUCGUUCCUCAUGGUCUUUAUUCUCGAAAUAUGAGGCAUUGUCAAUUGGGUUGCAUAUUCCCAUGUUUCUAAAUUUGCUUCCCCUGCCAGCAAUGAGGGGCUAAGUUUAGCCUCAAUUACUUAUUCCACUUUCAUCAACAUUGGCUCCAACUUCUUUUCAUUGAGAUCACUGUCUUUUCUUCUAAUCUUUGUGCUUCUCUUAUUUUUUGGUUGUUGAAUAUGGUGUUAUUCCGAUAGGUUGGUUCAAUUGAGGGAAGGGUCGGCGUUCACCAUCUUGAUGAUUCACAGCAAAGUAAGAACUUCACUUUCAAAUGCCACAGAGACGGUAGUGAGACAUGCUCUGUCAUCUCAUUAACUUCCAUCCUGUAAGCUUCCUUUUAGUGCUUUCUGAUUUCAAAUUUUCAGUUACAUAAAACGUUCGAGAUGUAAAACUUAGAAAUAAAAGUAUACAUUGGAGUGAUAUAAUAGCUCAUUUUGAGGUAACUUUAGCAUGCCACCCAUGUCUUACAUAAUUUUUCCCAGUAUUUGUAAUUUCUCUAAAGAUUAGAGAUCUUUCAAGUAUUAGAUCUUGGUGCCCUUAAGAGGUUGGUAUCAUAGGAAUUUUUAUCCAACAGUGGAAAUGUACUUUCUUUUGUGAGGAUUUCGAUGCUCAGUGCAUAUACUUUUGCUGUUAUUAACAUCAUAUGUUAUCAUUUAAGAUUUGUAGAGCAGGAGAUGCACCUAAGUAUUCUUCAUGUAAUUGUUCUUUUUGUCCAGAUACAUCACACUUUUGCAACUGCCGGAUCUGAUGGUGCAUUUAAUUUUUGGGACAAGGAUGGUAAACAGCGGCUCAAGGUGUUUUGACUUUCAUUCAGUACUUCAAUAACAAUUAUUGUUGUUGUCGUUAUUGUUCUUCCUAGAUGAAAUACAUAAAACAAUGUGAUUUUUACUGGAUUUUCAGGCCAUGUCAAGGUGCGGGCAACCUAUACCUUGCAGUACAUUCAAUAAUGAUGGCUCGAUAUUUGCGUACUUGGUAAAUAAAUUCAUCCAUCUUCCUAAAGUCGACUUGGAGUCUCUUAUCAUCCUACUUUUCACACAUGUUGGGAUAUAUGCUUAAGUUCAAGAUAAUGGCAGGAUUCUAGAAAUCCACGCCUCUUUCAUUCUGUCAGUUUGCAUGAUGCUUAGUCUUCUAUGGCUCAUGUUAAUUCAAUGUUACCUGAAUUUGCGUUUCCAUGAAAUUAAACAACUAAAAUUUCUGGUUCUUCCUGCUAUGUUCUGAUCCUGGCAUAGCAUAGUGCAUUGAUUUCUUGGACAUUUAAACUUAAACUAGAAAAGUGUCAUUCUAAAUCUUAUCUUGACAUUUCCUGUAGGUGUGUUAUGACUGGAGUAAUGGGGCAGAAAAUCACAACCCUGCAACAGCAAAGACUUAUAUCUAUCUGCACUUGCCACAGGUUCGUUUACUUUUUUGUUCAUAUACUACCAUCAAUAGCGUAUCUUUGAUCUCUCAAUUCUUGAGGAUCGCCAAUAAUCCCAUAUCAUCCAAAAUCUAUUUUGAAAAUAUUUCAAAAAAUCAUUCAAAAUAUGUUGGCUCAAGCUCAACAAAGCAGAAAAUCAAUGGGCCUACAACGACGAUAAAAUGAUUAUGAUAUGUCUUGAUCUUAUUGCAAGUGUGACAAUAAUAAAAAUUCAAGUUGUUUACAGUAUAUGCAAAUUAUCAUUACUCUUCAAUGUCUAUUUGAAUGUGCAUUAUCAAUUAACCGCAAAUUGGGUUCUUAUAAUCAUGAAUCCAAAUUCAAGCCAUUCAAUGGUUUAGCCCAUUUUAGUAGGCUUAUCAAUUUUAAUUAAAAGUUUAUUAGACAAAUUUAAUGCAUAAAAAUAGAGUGCUUUAAAGUAAAGCAUACAUUAAGAUUUUUAUGUGAUUUGAUGUCCAAAUCCCUACUUCUACGAAGCCUUGCUCAAAUAUCAAGACUGUAGGGGGGAAAGUGGCAAUUUCCCUAAAAUUAAGCAUAUAAGUAGACAACAUAAUGCAAAACUACCAAAACGAUAAAUAAAAACAAAUAUUGCAUAAUUAAAUAAAUAACAAGUGAAAAUUUUUAUUAUUAGAUUGUUAAUGUCGUGUUUGUGAAAGUUUAUUAUUCAAGUGUACGUUCUUAUUUAUUGAGAAAUAAUAAUUUUUGUGAUUAAACUUUAUUUUGAUUUUCUAGUAUUCUUUAAUUUAAGGAUUAAGUUAUUGUAAAAUUUAUAAUUUUUAUCCACUAUAUUUUUUUAUAUUUUAAUAUCAAUUUAAUAAUUAAUAACAAUUAAUAAUUAUUAUAAUUUUGAUAUAAUUAAAUUUUAUUAAAAUAAAAAUUAUUUUGAUAAUAAAAUUCAAACCAAACUCAAAUCAAACCCAAAUGGUUUGAUUUGGGUUGGGUUAAAAAUAUUUGGGUUGGUUUGGGUUGGAUCCAAAUUUUUAUGGUUUGGUUUGGGUUGACUUAAAAUCAAAUCCAAACCAACCCAUGCCCGCCCUUAUAUCAAGUGAUUCAUUAGAUUUAAGAGAUUAGAAACUAUUGGAACCUUAUAUAAUAUGAGACUCUCUCUUGGUGAUUGCUGCCAUCUUGUUAUAAUCUCACCCAAGUGAAAACUUUAUGUGCACCACACAUUUUUUUGCUUCCUCUUCCUAGUAAGACUUUUAAGUCAACAGUAUGUCGCCACUCUAUAGAAUUUAUAUUCUAUGAACACGUGGUCCCUUCUCCCAUCUCCCAAAAAGACUAAAGAUAAUGUCUCUCAAUUAAAGAAUGAUCCGAAGGUUGUAGCCUUUGAUGUAGAAUCAUUCUACUGCUCCAACGAUUUUUACUCCGCAAAAACUGGAUGACAUGGCCAUCGAGAUGAUCAUAAAAGAAGUUGGUAGAAUUAAAGUUUUAUAUUCUGUAUGCUUGUUUGUCUGGCAAGAAAUGAAGGAAAUUAUGUUGACUUAGAGAGGAAAAUUAUGAUUUGAUACAAUAGACUGAGAUUACAAUACAGUAUAUAUAUAGUAGCAUCUGGAACUUUGUGAAUGUAGCAGAAUCAUAUGCGCACACUACUAUUCACCACAACAUUUUGGUGGGAAAUAACAGACUUAUAACAAACUUUUAACAACAUGCAUAAUAAUCUUCCAGUAGCUUCCAGUAGCGUGGCAUCUGAUUCAUUACUUCACUUAACAAUUUGCUGACAUCACAGAACCUCACAGAGCUGACUCAACUUAUUCUUAACAGGUAGUGGACAAUCAAGAAGACAGCAGACACCAAGGCAACAAGAAUAAUGAAAAUUGCAAAGUGCGCGAUCCGUUGAUAUCCAUGAUCAAAUGAUUAAUUUUUUUCAAAUCAAUGAGUGCUUUUAUUAUCAGAAGUACCAUGUUUACUGAUUAUAAAGAAUUGUUAAAUAUAAAAUUAGCAGUAAAAUAAUUGUUAAGCAAAUAAAAAUCUAUCCAAUCACUGUAAAGGCUUUUCCAAAUCUAACAGCAUAACACAAAAGUAUUAGUUUUUUUUUUCUUUUUUCAUUUUUUGAGAAAUCCUUUAUUCUUUUUUAAUUUGUUGCAAAUAUAUACAUACGAUUUAAAAUAACUAAAAAUUACAGGACUCUAAAUUAGCAGUAAUCUCAAAAAUCUGUCCUUACUAAUGUUGCUUUGGUGGAAAUCGACCUUAUUUAAAGAGAAUGAGCCCCAUGCCAUUGGGCUACAAGCAGAAGCGGCCCAUAAAUAGUAGAGUAUCUAAAAUAGUAAAAUUAUAUCAUCUCCAUUGUCCAGAACACUUUAUAUAUCCAUUUCCAGUUUUCCACUAUAUAUGCAUCCCUAGUAUACUUUAAGCGUUGAAGAGGUCUGAUGGAAAGAAAAAAACAAAUUGAUUAGAAUCCUUCGUUUCUAGGGGAUCAUAAAAGGCUUUAUUAUUUUUCUUUUUCGAGUGGUGCUUUUUACAAAUAAAAAUGCACAAAGCUAGUAAAAGAUGAAUCUAUUCACUUUAUCAAUUCAAUAAUGAUAUAGUACAAAUAAUUUUAUAUAAAUUGAUAUGUACAAACUGAUGUGGCAUAAAGAAAUUUAUUGAAACGUGACACAUUAUUUUUUUAAUUAUGUGAAUCCACGAUGGUUUUAUAGAACCAACCUUCGAUUUUUUAAGAUUGUUAACAGCAGAGGGGUGAUAUUCAAAAUUAUUGAUCGAAUAGGGAUAACUUAUUACCUGAUUCUUCUUUAAUUACAAGAAUUCUGAUCAUCGAAGUUUUUUGAACCUUCCCAAAUCAAACUUGGCUGUGGUUGGACUGAUAAUUUCUUUUAGUAUUCUCACAGUAGAUCACUUUCACAGUUAAUUGGAACUCCACUCGUGAGUCGCGGACGCGGUAAGUGUAGACUUGGGAACUAGCUAAAGUCUUAGUAUUAGGACCUGUUUGUUUUUAUAUAUGAUAAUCAACACAAAUCAGUCUAAUGAUUCAACGUUUAUGGAUCGGCACGCAAGACUUAAUUGGAUAAGACUAUUUUCAGCGUCAAUCGUAUUUUAUACGUUCUAAAAGAAAAGUCUUUGUUACUUUCUAAUUAGUAAAUUUCCUUUAAGAUGAACUGUAUCAACUGGGGCUAGUAAUCAGUUGAGCUCAAUGGAGCGUUAUGUGGUCAUCACUGUUGUUAAUUUAGUAAUAGCUUCAUUCGUCGCCUUAAUAUUAACAUUCGUUGCAAGGGUUUCUGUAAUCAUCUCGAUGCUGCUGCUGAUCGCAAAUGCGUGUGGGAUGAUACCCUUGGGUUUGAUUAUUAUUUGUUAUGUGAAGAGAAAUCCGGAAAGCAAAGGUACGUAAGAAUAGUUAAUUAAUUUAUCAGGCAUAGCAUAUAUAACAUAUGAUUGUUUGAUCGAGUAUAUAGUACGAAUAUUUUUGAUGUCUUCACCAUUCAGGGGAGGAUUUGAUGCGAUUUGAUUUGGGUAUGAACCAACAAGCUAUUAACAUAGAGCUUGCUGAAGCAAAUAAGCAUGGAAACAGUGGAAAAAAGCAAAUUGAAUUGCCCUUUUUCAGUUUUUCCAGCGUUUGUGCAGCAACAAAUAAUUUCUCUGCCACAAAUAAACUCGGGGAAGGUGGUUUUGGUCCUGUAUACAAGGUAAAAUUUUAAUUUUGGCAACAAGCUUAUGGACUAAUUAUUAUUUAACAAGAACUACAAUUUCAGGGAGUAUUAGCAAAAGGAGAUGAGAUAGCUGUGAAACGGCUUUCAGGAAGAUCUGGACAAGGAUUGCGAGAGAUGAAAAAUGAAGCUUCAGUGAUAGCCAAGGUUCAGCACAAGAAUCUUGUUAGACUUUUGGGCUGCUGCAUGGAUAAAGAUGAGAAGAUUCUGAUCUAUGAGUACAUGCCUAACAAAAGCUUGGACUUCUUUCUUUUCGGUUAGUUGUUGCAUUUGUUUCUUAUUCUUACAUGUUCCUUACUUCAAAUUUUAUUCAUACAUUUGUUUGAACUAAUAUUUAAUAAAUAAAAUUACAUAUCAAAAAUUUAUUUCAAAAUUUAUUUAAACUAGAAUUUAGCCUAUAUUACAUUUCCAAAUUUUAUUCAUUAAUUUAUGUAAAAUAGCAUUUAGCAUUUAAUUUAAGAUUAAACAUAUAAUUACAUUCAGUAAUUUAUUCAAACUACUACAUAAUACUAAAUAUCAAAAUUAUUCAAUUAUUAAUUUAUAUUGAAAUUGAAUAUCUAAUAUAAUAUUCAAUAAUUAACAAUAUAAAUUUAAGAAAUAAUCAUACUUUUUAAAUAGCUUUUUUAACUUCCUUAAACUAAAUUUAAUAUCAGUGGCGAAGCUAGCACUAUUUUUUGGGGUGGGCUAGAUUUUUUUUAAAACUCAAUUACUUCUCAAAAAAAUUAUUCUAUACAAAUAAAAUGAUUAAAAUACACUAGACAAGCAAGAAAAACUAAUAACAAAACUAUAAAAGUACAAUGUAAAUAAAAAAAAUACUAUCAACAAAAUUUUGUCAUGUGAUUCUUCAGAAAAGAAAACUCAUAUAUCGUAUCUGAAUUAUAUUAUCUGCGAUAGUAAUACAUUAGAGAUACUAUCUGCGAUAAUAAUACAUUAGAGAAUUAUUAAUUAUUUUAUCAAAAAAUUUGACAAAAGUAUAAGCUAAUAACUAAUUCAAAAACAGUAAGAGCAUGUGGGUGCGGCAGAGGCUAGCCGUCACCCAUGAGGUGGCAACUUGAUGACUUGAACAACUGAAUUUUGGGGAAUUUAGACUUUGAAUAAUUGGAUCAAUUAGUUAGGGAUUUAGGUGAGUUUUUCGAUUUAGAGAAAAUAGAUAUUGACUAUAAUUAUUAGUUAUAUUUUUAUAUUUUACUAUAAGUUUUUUAAAAAGAGUAAAUUUAUAAUUGAUUAAUUUUUUUUCAAGAAACAGCCCGGGUUAGCCCCCUCAUAACUUCGCCCCUAUUUAAUAUGAUCUCGUCCCAUACUAAACCAAACACAAAACGUGACUAUAAAAUAAUUCAGUCUUAUCCAAUCCAAUUAAAUCUUAAUAAUUAGUUCAAUCCAAUCCUUUGUUUACCUAACCUAAAAGAAUAUUUAACAUUUAGGUGGCGUUUGUUUUUUAACUUAAUGACUUAAAGUGACUUAACUUAAUUAAUUAAGUUAAUUAGAGGUGUUUGUUUUUAUAACUUAAUGAGACUUUUUAGAUAAUUUUGACUUAAUAAAAUAAGCUAAUUUUUUUGGCUUUUUACUUAAUGGAGAAAUCUGAAUUAAGUCAAUUACUUGCUAAUGUCAAAAAUAUCUCUGUUUUAUAAUUUAUUUUUCAUGUCUAUCCCAAAACUCACCCAUAUAUAUUUACCCCACAUAAAAAUAUCUCUGUUUUUUCUUUCUUAUAUUAUAUACGAUAAAAUUUAAAAUUUAUGGUAUUUUAUAUAUUAAAAUAUUAAAAUAAUUAUGUAUUAACUUGAAUAUAGUUUUACUUAUAAAUGUUAAAAUAUUGUGGUAUUUAAUAUAUUAUUUAUUUGACAUUCAAAUUUAAUAAGGAUACAAAUGUAAAAGUACAUAUUUUUAGCUUUUUAAGUUGAAAAAAACAAACAACUUAAUACUUAUUUUCUGAGAUUCAGACGAAAAAACAAACAUAUUAUUCAGAUUCAGAUAUUCAGACCUAUUCAGAAUUCAGACUAAUUCAGGUCUAUUCAGAUUUCAGAUAAAAAAACAAACGCCACCUUACUAUUUCAUUUAGCUAUUUUUAAGUUUAAUGAUUAACAUCAUCCAAUUAUCAGAUUUUUUAUUAAAAAAAAAAAUUAAGUCACUAGAUCAAUUUACGUUAAAUAAUGUGGUCUACAUUUUUUUUGUUUUCAUGCAUAAUGACGUUUAGUUCUUUUGUUGUAAAUUAGAUCCAACCAAGCGAAUGUUAUUAGAUUGGGUAACACGUCUUCGGAUUAUUGAAGGGAUAGCUCAAGGGCUUCUUUAUCUUCAUCAAUAUUCGAGAAUGCGAAUCAUUCAUCGAGAUUUAAAAGCCAGUAACAUCUUGUUGAAUAAAGACAUGAAUCCCAAAAUAUCAGAUUUUGGAAUGGCAAGAAUUUUUGGAGAAAAUGAGUUACAAGCAAACACUAGUAGGAUCGUCGGGACUUAGUAAGUGAAUGACACAAAUCAAAAUUAAAGUGAUUAAGUUAUGCAUAAAUUACUGAUUAUUAUUUAUCAAUUAUUGAAUUACAGUGGUUAUAUGUCCCCCGAAUACGCAUUCGAAGGAAUAUUUUCAAUUAAAUCUAAUGUGUUUAGCUUUGGAGUAUUGUUGCUUGAGAUUGUAAGUGGCAAGAAGAACACUGGAUUUUAUCGAACCGACUAUCUCAAUCUGCUGGGUUAUGUACGUAACAAAAGUCGUUGCACAUAUUCUUUUUAUACUACUUAGGUGAAAUUAUAUAUUAAUUCCCACGUCAUGCUUAGGUGUGGACACACACUUUUACAAUGUGAAAACGUUUGGAUUUUUGCACCUGACUAUUUUUAAACUAUUCUCUAUAUCAAGUGUACAACUAUCUAAUAACAUCGUAUGGUUGUUCAGGCAUGGGAUCUGUGGACAAGCAACAGGACAUUGGAGUUGAUUGAUGAUCCAGUAUUAGAAGAUGAAUAUUCCUCCAAGCAUAUGCUUUUAAGAUAUGUGAACAUAGCACUCCUUUGUGUACAAGAAAGUGCUGAUGAUAGACCCACCAUGAAUGAUGUUGUAUCCAUGCUUACAAAUGAAGCUGCAGCAUUACUUCCUCCCAAACAACCUGCUUUUUCAUAUGUAAGAAAUACUGUGACUUCAACAUCGUCCACCAGCAAGGUAGAAGAUUGUUCAGUCAACCAAGUGACGAUUUCAAUUUUAGAAGCGCGCUAAUUUUUAUUUUAAUUCAUACAUUUUGGGGUUAGGUUGUUCUAAUUACUCCUCUGAUCCAAUAUUUGAACUGAGUUUCCUAUUUUUGACUCGCUGGUACGUACCGACCAUUUCUCAGAGUUUAAAUUAAAGUUUAAAUUAAUUUUUUUUUUUUUUGUUUUCUCCAAGAUUCAAACUUACUCCUGAGACUAAUUAUUAGAUAUUAUAUGGAGUAAUGACCCUGAUUUUUAUUGGUUCAACGGGAUAUGAUACUAUCACGAGUCUGAUAUAUAAAAGGCCAUGCAUGGAAGUAUGGAACCAUUAUUUUCGUUCAAUGGGAUCAGAAUCAAGAAACUACGAACUUGGGGGAUAAAAUCAACAAUUUGUAAACCGACAGAGGGAGAGGAUCAAAACAUAUGUAAAGUCCAAGGAGAUGAACUAGAUUUCAAUUAACGCCCUUAUCUUGCUAUGAAUUAUAUAAUUCUAAUUCAAGAGAGACACUUUUAAAUAAAAAUUUAGACGUAAUAUUCUGACCAUUAUAUUAAAGCUAACCAAAAGUUGAUAUUGAAGCUAACAUGCCUUUUUUAAGUUUUAAAAACUAAAAAAUUAAUAUAAUAGAUCUCCAUAUAAUAAUAAAUUAUUCAUUAUUCGUCUCUCUUUAUAUAUAUUCCCUCUUUUAUCUCUUUUUUUUCAUCCGCUUACCCUUUUAUGUCUUGCCUACAUUAAUUAGUUUGAACUUUUGCAUGGCAUCAGUGCAAAAACUUAACCGACUGAUAGAGCAGAAAUGGACUUCAAUUUUAUUUUCACUCGUUGACUAUUUUCAUGCAAAAUUAUUUUGUCCAUCAAAAUUCGUAGCAGGACAUAUAUAUUCGUUUCUAUGUGUACAUAUUAAAAAUAAAAUAAAAUAAAAUAACAAGGAGAGAAAGGAGAUCACCAAAAUCACUAUCAAAACGAUAAUGUUUUUAUCACUGUUUUGUCACCGUUUUGCAUUUUGUUCAAAUAGCAGUACACAGAUUUUGAUUGUUUAGUGUUUGCUCCUAACUCAUUCCCUUAAAAAAUUAUCCUGAUUUCAAAAUCCAAUAAUUUAGGAUUCAUGUCUUUGUCCAACAACAUGUUACUAUUCUUUUCUUCUUUCAAAUCCAUGUGAGUAAUCAGCGCACGGUGCUUACAAGUCUUCCCUGCUGACCUGAAGUCCUCUUCGGCUGCUUUCUAAUUAAUUAACUUGGGCUACCUUUACUCUGCUAUAUUACAUACACAUUGCAACUUGCAAGUUCCAUCCCUUCUCUUCGUUUCAUUUCAACUCCUAUUAAACCCAAUCAUGAGAUCAACUUUACUCUUAUCAUGGCUUUUCUUGAUACCCUUUUUAGCUAAUUAUUUUGGGAUGCAUAUGGUUUUGGUGUCUGGCCAAUGUCAGGGCCAUCAAAAAUCGCUAUUAAUCUAGAUGAAGAAAAACUCCAUAUUUGACGUUGAAAUUAAUAAUUUAUGUUUUAUUUUGAAUUAUAAGUUAAUUACCUCUUACAAAAAUAUUAAAACUGAGGCUGCCGAUGUGCCUUAAAGAGCGAUAGCAAGAUUACUAUGGAAAAACACGCGCGAUCGGAUACAAAAUUGCUAUGACACAACCAAGCCAUACAUUUUAUAUGACAAACCCAUUAAUUAUGAGAUAGAGAUUAAACAAUGUUAUGAUGAAUAGGAUUAAUUUUAUCUAUCAAAUCAAACUAACCACUUUUUAAUUAACUAGAGACGAUUAUCAUUUUGUACAUGUGGGUCCAAUCCACAGAGAGCUUCGCCGAAGCUGAAAGCAGUGGGUAAAGUAGCGGAUACUCACUCUCAUAAUCUGAUUGAUCUUUGGAUUUUCAGUCCAUGUCCUAUUGUGAUCCUUACAUUACAUAUGAAAGAUCAAUAAUACAUAGAGAGCUAGCUUUAAACACCAGUUGAACAGGGAGAUCUUUUAUUAAAAAGAUAUAAUGGAAUUAAUAAAAUAGAUAUUAGAAGGAUUUUUUUUGUUUUUGAAAAUUCUAGUCUAAAAGCUUUAUAAAUAAUUGCUAUUGUGAAAAAUAUGGAAUGUGGUUUUUUCUCAUAUUAAAAGUUGGAAGGUUGUCAAUAGGUAAAUUUCCUAAUAACUUUCCAACGUGUCUAUGAAUCUUGUGUCGGCUCUUCGUAGAACCUGUAAAACCACUAUCAAUUGUUAGCUCUCUCCUUACGGUUUUUACAAGUGUGCGGGCUCCACGAGCAAAUCAGCGUUCAGUUCGACGCGAGAUGAAUUGCAUUCAAUCACUUUUUUUUUUUUAUUAAAAGCAAUAAAAUCACUAUCAAAUGUUAGCUGUAUCCUUACGAGACUUUUCGAAGUCUACGGGUCCCGCAAGCAAAUCAAAGUUGAGUUUGACACGAAAACGAAUUGUAUUCAAUCAAUUUUGAGUUUUUUUUUUAAUAUAGUAGAUGAAUAGUGAAAGUCUAAAUUAAUUCUUUUUAUUAUACUUAUUUCAAGAUUCAACCUCACCUGAUUAAUUAAGUAAAUCUGUUUAAUUAUUGGAUAUUAUAAUAAAUAAAGACCCUGCUUUCUAUUUGUUGAAUAGGGUUUGAUGCUAAUUAAUAUACUGGAAAAGGCAGAAAGAAUCCUAAUUAAUAUAAGCAGCGAUCCAUGGAGCCAUGAUUUUGGAUCAACGGGAUCAGAAUCAAGAAACUACAAACUUGGGGAGGCCAAGAUCAACAAUUUGUAAAAUUAUGGAGUGAGAGGAUCAGAACAUAUAUAGAGAUUCCAAAGAAAUGGACUAAAUUUUAAUUAACACCCUUAUCUUCCUAUGAAUUGUAUAAUUAUAAUAUUGUAAUAAUCACAUAUUUACUUGGUCCCAACGAUUCCAUUGGUGCUUGUUUCUAACUCAUUCCCUUCAAAAUCCUAUCCCUCAUUUCAAAAUUAUUUUAUUUAGUUUCCAAGUCUACGCCUAAAUGCUAAAAACUUUUAGUUUGCUUUGAAUAAUCCUAAAAGUUUUUGCUUUAAUUUUCUCUUAUGCUUACUUUGGUAUAGCUUUCCAAAUAUAGCUUAUUAAAUAGAGUUUUUAUUAGUAAACUUUUUAUAAAUAGUGUUUUUAUAAAAAUAAUUUUAGUUAUUUGUUUGUCAAUGGAAGCUUUUAUUAAAAAUUAAAAAAUUAUUUAAUAAGCACGUUUUUUUAAAUUAUAUCAUAAAAUGAAUGAAAUAAAAUUAUCAAAUAAAUAAAUGAUAUUUUAGAUGUUUUAACAUUCUUAACAAUAAUUUUUUGAACAUUUACUCCCAAAAAUCCAAAUUUUGAGUUUUUACUAGUAGAGAAAAAAUAUCUUAUUUAAUUUUCAAAAGCUCUACUAAAAAAAAAAUCCAAACAAUAACAAUAAAUCUUAAAAGAGUUUAUAUAAUUAAAGAAGUAUUUAUAUCAUGCCAACCAUACAGAAUGUCUUAUUUGUUUGAGAUUUCUUUUCUUCUCUCUGUUUGACAAAGUUAAUAAAAUAAUUAACAAGAAUUUCAAAUAAGGGCCUUUACCUUCUGUCAUUGAGACAAUAUUCACCUCCAAACUGGCGCCACUGUAGAUAUAUAUUGUAUGGGCAAUAUUCAUAGAUGAUCUCUAAGAGUUCAUGCUAAAUUUUAGUUGCAAUAAGAUAUAGGCUAUUUCCACCUUAAAAACUACUCUGAGCACUCUGGUUUUAAUAAAAUAAUUUAAUUACAAAAUUAAUCAUCAUAUAAAUUACUAUUAAGAUUUAUUUAUUAAUGAGCCAAUACAACUUAAUUACUUUAAAACUCAUAUAAUACACUCAUUAUUUAACAUAUAAUCUUUUAUAUCUAACAUCUUAAAAUAUAAUUCAUUGAACAUGCAGCAAAUCAAAUUUUAAAUAAUUUUGAAGAUAAAAUAUUUGUAAGACUUACAUUUUUCUAGAAAUAAAAUAAACUGAAAUUAUUGCAAAGGUGUUCAUUUUUUUUGUCUUUAAUUUAAAAAUAAAUAAAUUAAAGCACUCUAAACCUAAUAACCCAGUCAGCAUCUUCUUCUUCUUCUUCUUCUUCUUUUUUGUGUCAAAUUACAAUUUGGUUUUCAAUUAUUAUUGGGGUAGUGAAAGUCCAUACUUCUUGAUCUUAUAGAAUUUAUAGGUGCAAAAAUUGAUAUGGAAUACAUUCUUUAAUUAACGAAAACUGAUAAAUAAAAUUAUUUUAAAAAAUUUGCUUAAAACUUGACUUAAUUCCAUUGUUGCUAGUUAUGCUACAUUUAUUAAAACGAUUUUCUUUGAGUGUGCUGAAUAUUUUUAUUAGUGUUUUGAGUAAAUUAAUUUAAAUGAUUUAAGUAGGGAUACUUUUGGCAUCUUAAAGAGUGUACAAAAUAAAAAUUAAUUUUUCAAAUUUAGUAUUUGUGCAUAGAGUACCCUUUUUUUUUCAAAGAAGUUAUUUAUUCCUAAAAAUUAACAAGAUAUUUAUUCAUAGUAUACAAUGAAAGACAAUGCUAAAAGAAAUGAGCCCAACCAAGUUUUAAGCAACUUACUUCUAUAGUUUUAUGCGCGGGUCUCCCACUAACUUUUUAUUGUCGUCAUUUUGGACCUAUGGAAAUGGAAGAUUCCUGUAUUUGAUGCAGGCAUUUAACCAAAAGAUCCAAUUUUCUUUUCUUAUUUUUUUUCUCCCAAGUCUUGGCAACAUUAAUUGGUUUGAACUUUUGUAGUCUUCUAGCUCCCAGUUUAUGCGUUGGGGGUGUACCUUCUAGGGAACUUCGGCCAUCUUUUUCCUAUUAAAUGAAUUCAUCGCAACUCCCAAGUUUCAUCACUCCUCUACGAGUUUCAUUUCAGCAAUUAUUAAAACAAUGCGACCAAUUUUACUCUUAUCAUGGCCUUUCUUGAUACCCUUUUUAGCCAAUUAUUUUGGGAUCCAUAUGGUUUUGGUUUCUGGCCAAUGUCAGAGCGAUCAACAAUCGUUGUUACUCCAAAUGAAGAACAGUUUCAUAUUAAGCAAUCACAGUGUCUAUCCAUCUACAAAACUGAGUCAGUGGAGUAGUCAUCAAAGCUCUGAUUGUUGUGAUUGGAACGGUGUAAGGUGCGAUGAGGCUGGUCAUGUUAUUGGUCUCGACUUGAGCAGGGAACCAAUCAUUGGCGGACUUGAGAAUGCGACUGGCCUUUUCAAUCUUCAAUAUCUGCAGAGCCUCAAUUUGGGUUUCACUUUCUUGGACGGAUUCCAAAUACCAUCCAGGUUGGGCAACCUGACAAAUUUGACUUAUCUGAAUCUUUCCCAGGGUGGCUUCGCAGGGAAGAUUCCCAUUGAGAUUUCAAGCUUGACAAGGUUGGUUACUCUUGAUUUGUCAGGCCGUGAGCGCUCAAGAGGAUUUUCCGGGAGAAUUGAGAUCCCAAACUUAAGCUUGUUUCUGCAGAACUUAACAGAGCUCAGAGAACUACAUCUGGAUCAAGUAGAUUUGUCCGCCUCCGGAACUGAAUGGUGCAAAGCUUUAUCAUUUCUGCCCAAUCUACAAGUUUUAAGCUUGUCCGGCUGUGAUCUUUCAGGUCCAAUAAAUCACUACCUGGCAAAGUUACGGUCACUCUCCGUGAUUCGUUUGCAUUACAAUUAUGGUCUAUCCUCAGGUACAGAAUUUUUGGCCAAUCUGACGAAUUUGAAGGCCUUGGAUCUCAGCGAGUGUGGGUUGCAAGGGAAGUUUCCAGAAAAGAUAUUGCAGGUUCCUACCCUUGAGACUCUUGACUUGUCAAUUAACCAAUUGCUUCAGGGUUCUCUGCCAAACUUUCCUAAGAAUUCUUCUCUUCGGAACCUGAUCCUCUCUGGGACGGGAUUCUCAGGCACACUACCAGAUUCCAUUGGGAAUCUUGAAAAUUGACAAGGGUAGAGGUUAGAAGUUGCAAUUUCACAGGGCCAAUUCCCCCUUCAAUGGCUAAUCUUACCCAAUUAUUUCACAUGGACUUCUCAUCUAACCAUUUCUCUGGUCGCAUCCCAUCUCUUCACAAGUCAAGAAAUCUCAACUACUUAGACCUUUCGUUCAAUAAUUUAAGUGGUGGGAUCUCAUCCACCUUCUGGGAACAACUUGUAAAUCUCAAUCUUGUUCUCUUGUCGCACAAUUUACUUAAUGGAAGUAUUCCCAGAUCUCUGUUUCUACUUCCAAAUCUGGAGAUGCUUCGGCUCUCCAACAACCAGUUUGAGAACCAACUUCCUGAACUGUCAAAUGUGUCCUCGUCUGUAUUGUUUGAUCUUGAUUUAAGCGGCAACAGAUUAGAAGGGCCUGUUCCCAUUUCAUUAUUCUUUGAACUCAGAAACCUUGAUACCCUCGAUCUUUCUUCCAAUAAGUUUAGCAGAUUGAAACUGGCUUCAAGCAAACCACGGGUCAUUCCUAUUCUAAAAAACCAAUCACAACUUUCUGUUUUGGACAUUUCAAAUAACCAAAUAUCUGGGGAAAUACCAAAUUGGAUUUGGGAAGUUGGUAGUGGCAAUCUUCGGUACUUAAAUCUUUCACACAAUCUCAUUGUGAGCUUGCAAGAACCUUACUCUAUUUCUGGUAUCCGCUUGCUUGACCUGCACUCCAACCAGCUCCGAGGAAAUAUCCCUCACAUGUCACCAAGUCCUUCCUACGUCGAUUACUCCAACAAUAAUUUCCAUCCCAGCUGACAUUGGUAAUUUCAUGUCUGAAACCGAAUACUUUUUCGCUGCAAACAAUAGUCUCGUUGGAGUCAUCCCGGAAUCUGUAUGCAAGGCUACCUAUUUUCAAGUUCUUGACUUAUCAAACAACAAUUUGAGUGGCACAAUUCCUACAUGUUUAAUCACCAAGAGUAGCAACACUCUAGGGGUUUUAAAUUUAGGGAGAAACAACCUCAAUGGCACUCUUUCUGACACAAUUUUUCCAGGAAAUUGUAGGUUGCAAAUUCUAGAUCUCAGUAGAAAUCAACUACAAGGAGUGGUACCAAAAUCUCUUGCCAAUUGCAGUAUGCUGCAGGUUUUAGACCUCAGGAAUAACCAUAUCAGUGAUAAUUUCCCGUGCUGGUUAAGGAAUGCUUCUCGUUUGCAAGUUCUAGUUUUGCGAUCAAACAACUUCUCCAGACACAUUAGUUGUCCAAGACAUAAUGUCUCCUGGCCUCUACUUCAAAAUAGUCGACUUAGCAUCCAAUAAAUUCAGCGGAAGACUAUCACAAAAAUGGUUACUUACGAUGGAGAAAAUGAUGGUUACUGAAACCAAAUCCGGAUCUGAGCUCAACCAUCUUGGAUAUGAUAUGUCGAGCAACCGAUUCUAUGAGGUUAGUGUAACAGUUACAGUAAAAAGUGUUGAGAUCAUGCUACUGAAGGUCCCAAAUAUAUUCACUUCCAUUGACUUUUCAUGCAACAAUUUCGAAGGGCCAAUACCAGAAGAAAUGGGACAAUUCAAAUCACUUUAUGCUAUGCACAUGUCGCACAAUGCUCUCACAGGCUCGAUACCAUCAUCUUUUGGGAACUUGAAACAGAUUGAGUCCUUGGACCUCUCAAUGAACAACCUCAGUGGAAAAAUUCCUUCCCAGCUUGCAAGCCUAAAUUUCCUAUCGGUGCUAAAUCUCUCGUACAAUAACUUAGUGGGAAAGAUUCCGACAAGUACUCAACUCCAAUCAUUUUCACCAAGUUCUUAUGAAGGAAACAAAGGAUUGUAAGGACCUCCUUUGACGAAUGAAAGCCAAACACGUCCUUCUGAGUUACCACCUUCACCGCCACCAGCUUCAAGCGAUGAAAUUGAUUGGUUCUUCAUAGCCAUGUCAAUUGGAUUUGCUGUAGGCUUCGGAGCAGUUGUUUCACCUCUAAUGUUUUCCGUGCAGGUAAACAAAUGGUAUAACGAUCUUAUCUACAAAUUUAUAUAUCGGCGAUUCCGUGUGUGAAGUGAUUUAAAUCUCUCCUUUUGAAUAAUCAUGUAAGCUAGCUUUUGCUUCUCUCUUCUGUCAUAGAUGUUUGAUAUUUCUUUUCUUCUCUGUUUGAUAGAGUUAAUAGCGUUGACAAUAAUUUGAAAUAAGGGCCUAUCUAUAACUGUUGCUGAGACAAUCUUUAUCUCAAAAUUGACUCCAAGUUAGAUCUAUAUUGGCGCAAUUCAUAAACAACAUGUCUUCGUGAGUCCAUACUAAAUUAAUAUGUGCAAGACUGUUUGCAAUUCCAACUCUAGGCUAGAUACAUAGCGAUUCAUGAUCAUAUUUCAUUUGUUUGGAAGUUUAUAGUGUGAUUUUCAUACAGAAGACUCGGUCGGAAUGUUAAGUUCAUAUUAGGUUAAUGAAGAUAAGUUUUCUACAAUUGAUCAUGUAAAAGUUUGAUGCACCAAAUUUUCAAAUGAGAUAAAUUGUUUCUGGUCAUAGGUUCCAAAUUUAUACGCUAGAUGUUGAUAUCAUGUAGGUGUAUGUGAAGUGUAGUUCUCUCAUUGAAGCUUCGUUGGAUACUUGAGUAAGCUUGGUUGAUCUUUUAAUAUAAAGAUGCUGUUAGAAAAGUAGUAUUUACGUGAAAUUUUUCAAUGGCAGGUGUCUCAACCUCCCAAUGAUUCUGUUUCAAGCCUUUGUUUCAGUCCCAAGGCCAAUAUCUUGGUUGCAACCUCAUGGGAUAAUCAGGUUUGUCCAAUCGGGUUCUGUUCUUUUUUUAUACCUUUAGUUAUGCCUUUCUGUUUGUUGGUUAACAUCCUUGAUAUUCUCAUUCGUCUUGUUUGAAUGCUUUCACAGGUAAGGUGUUGGGAAAUUUCACACAGUGGAACUGCUGUGGCCACUGCCCAUGCAUCAAUUUUGCAUGACCAUCCGGUAAUCUAAAGCAAGAUUUAUGGUAGUUAGAAUAACAUACUGUUGAAUUUGUGAUUGCUGGUAAUUUAACCUUUUUCUUAUCUUUGAAAUUUGAAGGUCCAAUGCUCAACAUGAAAGGAUGAUGGAACUACUGUCUUCUCUGGAGGAUGUGACAAGCAGGUCAAGAUGUGGCCUUUACUCUCUGGUGGUCAGCCAGUGACUGUUGCUAUGCAUGAUGCGCCAAUUAAGGAGGUUGCUUGGAUUCCAGAGAUGAAUCUACUUGCUACAGGAAGCUGGGACAAGACAUUGAAGUAAGAUUUUUUCGCUUCUUUUUAUUUAAAAUUGCAGUCUAUGUCGCAUUUUGGUUGGGGCAGUAAAUUGGUUUUAUAAUUAUAAGUUCAUCUGUUAGAAGCCUUCGUUGUGCCGUUGAGUGUAAUGACCUUGCCAAGUGGGACAAUAUGUGCAUGCGGAUAGUUAAGUGGUCAGUUCACAUGACCUCAAACAGAAGAGUGAUAUUCAGAUGAACGAAUGGAACUGUUGUGCGUAUUUUGCUUUGCCACAGCAACUUGCACUGACAAUUACUGAUGCUCAAAGUGGAUAGAGCUGGCAGGGGCUAUGGAUUCUCAAAUUGUCAGCAUUCUUUGUCCAUACUUAUAUAAUUUAGGUGUUGUUUAAAGAGAAACGUCCAUGAUGAGUGCUUUAAUAUUGUAGGCUUUUCUCUUUCUUUCUUCUCUAAGUCGUGGGUGUCGUGCUCUUUUCUUUCUCCUUUUGGGUUUACAGUAUAUCCUUUUGUUUUAUUUGGUAUCCAAUGUGGUCAACAGUUUACUGUGUCUCCAUGUGGUGCCAUGUGUUAUCUGUAAGCACUUUGUACGAUUUUUUGUGUAGUUGAUCAGUCACUUAUACUCUCUUGUUGUUCUUGUAUUUUGAGUUCCUUACCCUCUUGAUGUUGCAAUAUGUAAUUAGGUACUGGGAUACAAGGCAGCCAAAUCCUGUUCACACUCAACAGCUGCCUGAUCGCUGCUAUGCACUUACGGUGAGAUAUCAACUUAUGGUUGUUGGCACUGCAGAUAGAAAUCUAAUUGUCUUCAACUUGCAGAAUCCUCAGGUAUUGUUUGUUAUUCCAUGAGAGCAUUGAUUUAUGUGUAAGUUAAAUGGGCAAAUUUAGUGCAGGCAGCUGAAGCAUGUGUUUUGUGUGGCAGCAGCUGCUGCGACAUUAGUAGUUGGCUGACUAAUUUAUAAAAAACUAUUUGUGAUUCUAUCAUUAUUGUUCAAUUAAUAAAGUGAAUUAGUUUAUCUUUUAGUGGUUUUGUGCAUUUUUAUGUGUAAAUAGUGUUACUCAAAAACAAAUAUGACUAGUUGAAAACUGGAAAUACAUAUAUAAAGUGUACUAGAGAUGAUAUAAUUUUACUAUUUUAAAAAAAUAAAAAAUUAUAGUAUCUUUGGCAGCUUGUGCUUGUAGCCCAGUCGUACGAGGCUCAUUCUCUUCAAUAUUAGUGAGAGCAGAUAUUUGAGCUUAUUACUUAUCUAGAGUCCUAUAAAUUUGCAAAUUGUAUAUAUCUCUAAAAAAUAAAUAAAAAAUGAAAAAGAUUUCUCAGAAAAAAGAAAAGACAAAAAAACUCUAGUACAUAAGUUUGCAUUGUGUUGUUAGACUUGGAAAAGUCUCGACAGUGAUUGGAUAUAUUUUUUUUUUGUUUAACAACUAUCUUACUGCGAAUUUGAUAUUUAACAAUUAUUAAUAAUCAGUAAAGAUGUUACUUCUGAUAAUAAAACACUCAUUGAUUUAGAAAAAUUAAUCAUUCGAUCAUCGAUCUCAAUGGAUCGCUUUGCAAUCUUCAUUAUUCUUGUUUCCUUGCUGCUGUCUUCUUGAUAUUAGCAUCCACUUCUCAUUUACAUAUCUUAACUAAAGCUUUAAUUUCUUUUAAUUUCUCCAUCAUUCAGGGGAGGAUUUGAUGAUUUGCUAUUGUGUGAGGAGAAAGCCAAGAAGCAGAUGUAGAGGGUUGUUAAUUUUUGGGAUAAUUAUUUUUCAGUGGGGACAAUUCAUAAAAAGAAUUUAAUAAUGAAUCAAUUUUAUAAAUUGUCUUUUGUCGUGGGGACGAACUGACAUUUUACAACUCAAAAUAUUAGCGAAAGUUCGAAACGAUUUUCUUCUCUCUCAAAUCUUGCUCGCCGCUCUCAAUUUAAAAAACAGAGAGUCCUCUAACCAACAAAGUCUUGGCUCCACUAGCAAUGGAGUCCCCUUAAGUGGCUUGACUAGAUUUGUUCCUCAGUUCGAGUAGCAGGGAAGUCGCCUUUGUUGGGAGAACAUGUGCCUCUCGGUUUGAGUGGGGACUUCUAGUCUGAGUUGUGGUACAGGCUUAAAGGUGCCUCUCACAGUUGGAGCCCUCCCCAAGAUAUCUCGUGGUCAAAAAAAAAAAAAAAAAUAGAGUCCUCUGCUCUCACUUCUGAUCUCUUUUUUGGUACUCCAUCGAAAUUCAUAAAAUAAUGAUAAUGAGGCUAUUAUUGAAUAUUUUUAAAAUAUGAAAAAGCAUUGGGAACAAGUGUAAGAAUCUUUUUACUAAUAUCAUUGAGUAUUAAACUGUAAAAAAUUAUUUUCACUAAUUCUUUUAUUAUAACAUUGUCCCCAAUGAAUUAAUUUCCUGGAUCACCUAUGUACAAGAACCCUCUAUUUGAAUUUUUUUUUUUACUAUUUUUUUCCCAUUUUUAAUUUUCGCAUAUGUAUCUUUCAAGUAUAAAAUCCGUUUUUUUCUCUUUUUUUUUUCUUAAUCCUGUUUAAUAAGAACUGGAGUUAAUCUUAAAUGUUAAUUGUUUGUUUUGAGAAACAUAGUUCUAUGUGUACGUGACCUUUAAUUUCUGUUAUUUCCUUUUUUUCAGAUGUGACUUUGAACAUUAUUAUAAAAUAUCGGUUGUAGAAAUUUUUAUUUUUAACUGAAUGAUAUAUUUUUACACUUGCCCAUUUACUUUUUCUUGAUAAAAUUAUAAUGAUUAUAGACAUUAAGAAAUUAAUUACCACAUGCAUUAAAUAAUGAAUUACUGAAAAAGUUGUUUUAUAAAAAAAAAUUCUACCACAUAUAUUUUUGCUGUUUUUAUAUUGUCAAACAAAUAAAAAAAACAUAUUUUACUGUUUUUAUUUUUAUAUAUUGUUUAGAAAAUAAAUUACCAAAUACCUUUUCAAUUUGGGAAUAUCACAUCAAAAACCUAUUUUACUUCUUUAAAAUAAAUAUAGAAAACACCAAUCGAAAAAAUGACACCAAAAGCACCAUUAGUGUCUGCAGUCUCAAUUGCCUAAAUUAAUUAGUUUGAACUUUUGUAUAGCAUCAGUGCAAAAGCUUAUCCGAUUGAUAGUGAUAAAAUGAUCAUAAAUUUGAUUUUUACUCAUUCAUUACUUUCAUGAGACAUCAUUUUGUAUAUCAAAAUUGGUAUGAGAAUAUAUAUGUUUUUUUAUGUGUAAUCUGAAUCUAAAUUAAAAAUAAAAUAAAAGAAAAUAAUAAGAAGGGGAGAAAGGAGAUUUUGAUAAAAGGGCAAUUGACAAAAUCACUAUCUAAACGACAAUAUUUUGGUCGUUAGUUACAACCCAAAAAACAGAAAAAAAAAAAAAUUCAUUUUAAUGGUGAUUUUAUCACAAAUUUUUUUUUUUUUACCCUCUUGUUGAAAGCACGGGUUCUAACUUGUAUAGUGUUUGCUUCUAACUCAUUCCCUUGAAAAAUAAAUUUGUCUCUGUCCAAGAACACGUUACGAAUCUUCCCUGUGAUUUCAAAGUCCAUGUGAAUAAUCAGCACGUACUGUUUACGACUCUUCCCUGCUGACCUGGAGUCGUCCUCCGCUUUUUUUUCUAAAUACGUGAAUUUUACACGUCGCAACAUUUGGAAUAAUCAUUUUAUCGAUCUCAAUGGAAAUACGAAAAAUCUUAUAAAUAAGUAUUGAAAACAAAAAUAAUUAUAGAAAAAAUAGAAGACAAUUCAAAUAUAAAAACACUAUUUUUUAAUUACUGAAUCUGACAUUACAAUCUAUAAUAAUAUGUAAUUAUAUAAGAAUUAAUAAAUCAAUUAAUAAUUUCAAGCUAAAAUAAAUCAACACAUGUAAUUAUAAUCAAUUAAAAAUUGCAAGUAUAACUUUUAUGUUUGAAAAAUACUUAACUAACAGGUUUAAAUAAAUUAAACAAUUAAAAUUUAUUCAUCUGUUUAAAUUAUAAAAAUAUACUUAGUCAAAUUUUAAAUAAUAAAUUAAAUUCAACCUAUUAAAAAUAUAUUUGAGUGUCGUAUUUUCUUUGUUGGGCUCUCUGAUUCUCUUUAAAAAACUAGAUGUUGAUAAUUCUUUUAUAAAAAAAGCUAUUCAAAAUAUUCAAAUUUUAUUUUCUAACUUGUUCUCUUAGUUAACGUAACUAAUAAAUAAAAUAUCAAAAUUUACAUAAAAAUUUUAUGAAAAUGUUGAUAAUUGUUACUAUAUGUUUUUGUUUUCAAGUACUUUUAAUACUAGUGACGAUAUUAUAUUACAUUGACAUAUUUUUUUCAAUUAGAAUUUUUUUAAAAAUAGAUUAAGGCAGUAAUAACAUUUGAGACCCCUAAUGUUUUCAAUCUAUUCAAUAAAUAUAUAAUUUAAUCAUUUUAUAAAAUGAGUCACCAAUUUCAAUUGGAAAAAUAAUAUACUUGAAUUAGGGACAUAUUUAAAAAUAAAAUAAAAGCUCUAUUGUUAUAUGAAAUUGAUGAAACAUAAGGCCAUAAGGGUGACUGAGUUAGGGACAUAUAUGAAAAUAAAAUAGAAAUUCUAUCCAUAUAUAAAAUUAAUCAAAAUAUGAGGGGUUUCAAUGGUUUGUUUGGGACUAGACCAGGCUGUAGCUGUAGGUCCGCCACUGCUGCUGACCUGAAGUCGUCCUUGGCUUUUUCCUAAAUACAUGAAUUAUACACGUCGCAACAUUUGGAAUAAUCAUUUGAUCGAUCUCAAUGGAUCGCUUUGCAAUCUUCAUUAGUUUUGUUGCCUCGGUGUCUGCUGUCUUCUUGAUAUUAGCAUUGACGUUUGGUUUAUCUCGUAAAUAUUUCUUUUAUAGUCCACUAGCAAUUUCUUUCUUAAUCUUGUCGAUCACUCUGGCAGCAGUGGCCAUUUUGGGCUUGAUUUUCUAUUGUGUGAGGAGAAAGCCCAGAAGCAGAGGUAAAAGUUUCUCAUUUAAUUGCACGAUUUUGAGAGUUGAAUAUACGUACGUACAUAUACAUAUUGUAAUUAAAGCUUUAAUUUCAUUACCAUUCAGGGGAGGAUUUGAUGAAGUUUGAUUUGGAUUUGAACCUGAAAGCCGAUGAUGUUAUCAUCGAGCUUCCUGCAAACAAUAAGCAGACAAAAAGAAGCAAAAAGAAGGAAGUUGAUCGACUGCCCUUAUUCAGUUUUUCCAGUGUUUCCACUGCAACAAAUAAAUUCUCCGACGCAAAUAAGCUCGGAGAGGGUGGCUUUGGACCUGUUUAUAAGGUACUACAGAUAUCCUUUUCUUUGGAGCAAUAAUUUCAUUUUCAACAGAACUAUAAAUUUACCAUCUUCAGGGAGUGUUAAAAAAAGGAGAUGAGAUAGCUGUGAAAAGGCUUUCGGCAAGAUCUGGACAAGGCUUGCGAGAGAUGAAAAAUGAAGCUUCGGUGAUAGCCAAGGUUCAGCACAAGAAUCUUGUUAGGCUUUUGGGCUGCUGCAUAGAUAAGGACGAGAAGAUUCUGAUCUAUGAGUACAUGCCUAACAAAAGCUUGGACUUCUUUCUUUUCGGUUAGUUAUUGCAUCUGUCUCUUAUUCUUACAUAUUCCUUACUUCAAAUUUUAUUCAUACAUUUGUUUGAACUACUAUUUAAUACAAAGUUAUAUAUCAAAAAAUUAUUUCAAAAUUUAUUUAAACUAGAAUUUAGCCCAUAUUACAUUUCCAAAUUUUAUUCAUUAAUUUAUUUAAAAUAGCAUUUAGCAUUUAAUUUAAGAUUAAAUAUCAAAAUUUCAUUCAAUAAUUUAUUAAAACUUAUACAUAAUAUUAAAUAUCAAAAUUAUUCAAUUAUUAAUUUCUAUUGAAAUUGAAUAUCUAAUAUAAUAUUCAAUAAUUAACAAUAUAACUUUAAGAAAUAAUUGUACUUUUUAAAUAGUUUUUUAAUCAUAAUUUUUAAAUAGUUUUUUUUUAACUUCCUUAAAUUGAAUUUAAUAUGAUCCGGUCCAAUACUAAACCAAACACAAAACAUUACUAUAAAAUAAUUCAGUCUAAUCCAAUCCACUUCAAUCUUGAUAACUAGUCCAAUUCAAUCUUUUGUUUACCUAACCUAAAAUAAUAUUUAGCAUUUACUAUUUCGUUUAGCUAUUUUUAAGUUUAAUGAUUAACAUCAUCCAAUUAUCAGAUUAAAAAAAAAAUGAAGUCACUAGAUCAAUUUACGUCAGAUUAUGCGGUCAACAUUUUUUUAUUUUCAUGUAUAAUGACAUUUAAUCUUUUUGUUGUAAAUUAGAUCCAAGCAAGCGAAUAUUAUUAGAUUGGGGAACACGUGUUCUUAUUAUUGAAGGGAUAGCUCAAGGGUUUCUUUAUCUUCAUCAAUACUCUAGAGUGCGAAUUAUCCAUCGAGAUCUGAAAGCUAGUAAUAUCUUGUUGGAUAAAGACAUGAAUCCCAAAAUAUCAGAUUUUGGAAUGGCAAGAAUUUGUGGAGGAAAUGAGUUACAAGCAAACACUAGUAGGAUCGUUGGGACUUAGUAAGUAAAUGACACAAAUCAUAAUUAAAGUGAUUAAGUUAUGCAUAAAUGACUGAUUAUUAUUUAUCAAUUAUUGAAUUACAGUGGCUAUAUGUCCCCCGAAUAUGCACUUGAAGGAGUAUUUUCAAUUAAAUCUGACGUGUUUAGCUUUGGAGUGUUGUUGCUUGAGAUUGUAAGUGGGAAGAAGAACACUGGAUUUUAUCGAACCGACUCUCUCAAUCUGCUAGGUUAUGUAAGUAACAAAAGCCGUUGCACAUAUUCUUUUUAUAUUACUUAGGUGAAAAUAUAUAUUAAUUCCCAAGUCAUGCUUAGGGGUGGACACGCUCUUUUACAAUGUGAACACGUUUGGAUUUUUGCACCUGACUAUUUUUAAACUAUUCUCUAUAUCGAGUGUACGACUAUCUAAUAACAUCGUAUGGUUGUUUAGGCAUGGGACCUGUGGACAAGCAACAGGACUUUGGAGCUGAUUGAUGAUCCAGUAUUAGAAGAGGAAUAUUCCUCCAAGCAUAUGCUUUUAAGAUAUGUGAACAUAGCACUCCUUUGUGUACAAGAAAGUGCUGAUGAUAGACCCACCAUGAAUGAUGUUGUAUCCAUGCUUACAAAUGAAGCUGCAGCAUUACUUCCUCCGAAACAACCUGCUUUUUUGUAUGUAAGAAAUACAGUCACUUCAACAUCGUCCACCAGCAACACAGAAGAUUGUUCAAUCAACCAAGUAACGAUUUCACUUUUAGAAGCACGCUAACUUUUAUUUUAAUGUGUAUCGAGUCCUUUUUUGGGAAAUGGUUUCAAGGAUUUUUCCAAAAGUUGCAAAAGAUGAUGCAAGUUAAUUCAUACGAUUUCGGGUUGGGUUGCUAUAAUUACUCCUCUGAUCUAAUAUUUGAACUCAGUUUCCUAUUUUUGACUCGCUGGUGUGAAAUGUUAAAAGUCAAUAUGUACUGACCAUUUCAAGAAUAAUUAAGUACACCAAAAUCUUGAGAUUUAUAACGUGCAUGUGUCUUUCAGAUUUAUAACGUGCAUGUGUCUUUCAGUCAGUCAUUAUAACUAAAUGUAAUAAUGCGUGAACCAAAUACAAUCAUGAGUUGGCUCUUCUUUAGACCAAUAAAAUCACUGUCAAAUGUUAGCUCUAUCCUUGCAAGACUUUUCGAAGUCUACAGGUCCCGCAAGCAAAUCAAAGUUGGUUUUGACGCGAGGACGAAUUGCAUUCAGUCAAUUAUUAGUUUUUUUUUUUAUUUAUUUAUUAAAAAGUGGAGGGAUGAUCUAAGCUUAAAUCAAUUUUUUAUUUUCUAUUUUCUCUAAGAUUUAAACUUAAUUAGGUGAUCAUCUAAAUAAGACUACCUAAAAAUCAUUGGGUUAAACUCCUGAGACUAAUUAUUAGAUAUUAUAUGGAGUAAUGACCUUGUUUUUUAUUGGUUCAACCAUCACCAGUCUGAUAUAUAAAAAGCCAUGCAUGGAACAAUUUGUAUCACCAGUCUGAAAUUAUUUUCGUUCAAUGGGAUCACAAUCAACAAACUACGAACUUGUGGAGGCCAAAAUCAACAAUUUGUAAACCGAGGGAGUGAGAGGAUCAGAACAUGUGUAGAGUCCAAAGAAAUGAACUAAAUUUCAAUUAAUACCCUUAUCUUGCUAUGAAUUAUAAAAUAAUAAUUACAGAGAGACACGUUUACAUAAAAAUUUAGACACAAUAUUCUGACCAUUAAAUUAAAGUUAAGCAAUGAAGUUGACAUGCCUUUUUUAAGUUUUAAAAACUAACAAAUUAAUGUAGUGGAUCUCCAUAUAAUAAGAAAUUAUUGAUCAUUUUUCUCUCAGUUACUCAACAUAUUCCUUCUUUUGUCACUUUUUUUCUCCGCUUACCCUUUUAAGUCUUGCCUACAUUUUGAACUUUUGUAUGGCAUCAAUGCAAAAACUGAACCGACUGAUAGAGCUGAAAUGAACAUAAAUUUUAUUUUCAAUCAUUCACUAUUUUCAUGCAAAAUUAUUUUGUCCAUCAGAAUUCGUACCAGAACAUAUUUGUUUCUACGUGAAUCUAUAUUAAAAAUAAAAUAAAAUAAUAAGGAGAGAAGGAGAUUUUGGAUAAAAGGAUGAUCGCCAAAAUCACUAUCAAAACGAUUAUGUUCUGGUUGUUAGUAAAAAGAAAAAAAUGACAUGAUUUGAAUGGUGAUUUUAUCACCACUUUGCACUUUGUUCAAAUAGCAUUACACGGGUUUUGAUUGUUUAGUGUUUUCUCCUAACUCAUUCCCUUAAAAAAUUAUCCUGAUUUCAAAAUCCAAUAAUUUAAGAUUCAUGUCUUUGUCCAACAACAUGUUACUAUUCUUCUCUUCUUCCAAAUCCAUGUGAAUAAUCAGCGCACGGUGCUUACGAGUGUUCCCUGCUCACCUGGAGUCCUCUUCGGCUGCUUUCUAAUUAAUUAACUUGGGCUACCAUUACGCUGAUAUAUUACAUAUACAUUGCAACUUGCAAGUUCCAUUCCUUCUCUGAGUUUCAUUUCAACUACGAGUAAACCCAGUCAUGAGAUCAAUUUUACUCUUAUCAUGGCUUUUCUUGAUACCCUUUUUAGCCAAUUAUUUUGGGAUGCAUAUGGUUUGGGUGUCUGGCCAAUGUCAAGGCGAUAAAAAAUCGCUCCAUAUUUGAUGUUGAAAUAAAUAGUUUAUGUUGAUGCGAGAUUUUGGUUCUCCUCGUUAUACGACCAGGGUCUCUGCUCGAUCAACUUCACCACGACCAGGAUCUCUCCUCGUAAAGCUUCUUCUCCAGAGGUUCCUGCGCACACAGACAAGUCAGAGUACGCCGGUUGUUUUCCCAGCGCAAACCCUCCGACGCUCAAGUCAGAUAUGAAGGUUCGGGGAACCCUUGCCACAGAUCUUAUGGCUUUUGGGGUAGUUUUCUCUUUUUUAGAAUUUCUUUAGCUCUCUUCUAAUCUCAAAAUUGCUAACCCUUUUACCUUCGUUGGCUACCUUUUUAUAGGCUUCCUCUGAAUCCCAGUUUUCCGCAGUCUACGUCCGUUAUCCUCCCACCUCUCGAACGUGGAUUCCCCAUUUUCGUAGUCAUGGGUGGUCGCGUGGCCUUCGUGCCUAGAUUCUCGGGCUGGAGAGCAUGCCUCGCCAACUGUCGUUGACCGGGUCUCCUCGAAUCAACCCUUAGCAAGAAUACAGCAGGAAUGGCUUUAUGCUUCUUGCAGGAAAUUGACCUCGCGGAUGACGUGCUUCCUGGUGACUUCCUGGUCGAGGUGACCGAUAACAUCCUGGUUGAGGUGAUGUGCUCGAGGUCACCACAUAUUAUUCUGGUCGAGAUGAUCUGCUCAACCAUUUGCUCACUUUUACUUUGAGGAGAGCACGAUAAUGUAUGAGCAAACACCUUUAUCUUGGUCACCCUAUUUCAUUCCCUAAACACCAGUCCCUUAGUUUCUAGUGUUGAGAGUGAAACGAAUCAAGACUGGAAACUUUAGUGGUCUGCUCGUCUUCGCUUGGUUGAGCAGAUCCUGGUAUGCUUGGCUUUCUGUCUCGCCAUAAAAUAGGCUUUGAGACUUUGGAGCCUUUGUACGCCCUAGAAACUUUUUGAAAGUUUGGUGGUCUGCUCGCCUUCGCUUGGUCGAGCAGAUCCUGGCACGCUUGGCUUCUGGUCUCGCCAUAAACAGGCUUUGAGACUUUGGUGAGCCUUUGCAUGCCUUAGAAAAUUCUUUGAAAGUUUGGUGGUCUACUCGCCUUCGCUUGGUCGAGCAUAUCCUGGCACGCUUGGCUUCUGGUCUCGCCAUAAGACAGGCUUUGAGACUUGGUGAGCCUUUGCAUGCCUUAGUAAAUUUUUUGAAAGUUUGGUGGUCUGCUCGCCUUCGCUUGGUCGAGCAGAUCCUGGCACGCUUGGCUUCUGUCUCGCCAUAAAAUAGGCUUUGCGACUUUGGAGCCUUUGUACGCCCUAGAAACUUUUUGAAAGUUUGGUGGUCUGCUCGCCUUCGCUUGGUCGAGCAGAUCCUGGCACGCUUGGCUUCUGGUCUCGCCAUAAACAGGCUUUGAGACUUUGGUGAGCCUUUGCAUGCCUUAGGAAAUUCUUUGAAAGUUUGGUGGUCUGCUCGCCUUCACUUGGUCGAGCAGAUCCUGGCACGCUUGGCUUCUGGUCUCGCCAUAAGACAGGCUUUGAGACUUGGUGAGCCUUUACAUGCCUUAGUAAAUUUUUUGAAAGUUUGGUGGUCUGCUCGCCUUCGCUUGGUCGAGCAGAUCCUGGCACGCUUGGCUUCUGGUCUCGCCAUAAGACAGGCUUUGAGACUUGGUGAGUCUUUGCAUGCCUUAGUAAAUUUUUUGAAAGUUUGGUGGUCUGCUCGCCUUCGCUUGGUCGAGCAGAUCCUGGCACGCUUGGCUUCUGGUCUCGCCAUAAGACAGGCUUUGAGACUUGGUGAGCCUUUGCAUGCCAUAGUAAAUUCUUCAAUGCUUGGGAUUCUGCUCGCCUUCUCGUGGUCGAGCAGAUCCUGGCACGCUUGGCUUCUGGUCUCGCCAUAAACAGACUUUGAGACUUGGUGAGCCUUUGCAUGCCUAAGUAAAUUCUUCAAUGCUUGGGAUUCUGCUCGCCUUCUCGUGGUCGAGCAGAUCCUGGCACGCUUGGCUUCUGGUCUCGCCAUAAACAGACUUUGAGACUUGGUGAGCCUUUGCAUGCCUAAGUAAAUUCUUCAAUGCUUGGGAUUCUGCUCGCCUUCUCGUGGUCGAGCAGAUCCUGGCACGCUUGGUUUCUGGUCUCGCCAUAAACAGGCUUUGAGACUUGGUGAGCCUUUGCAUGCCUAAGUAAAUUCUUCAAUGCUUGGGAUUCUGCUCGCCUUCUCGUGGUCGAGCAGAUCCUGGCACGCUUGGCUUCUGGUCUCGCCAUAAACAGGCUUUGAGACUUGGUGAGCCUUUGCAUGCCUAAGUAAAUUCUUCAAUGCUUGGGAUUCUGCUCGUCUUCUCGUGGUCGAGCAGAUCCUGGCACGCUUGGCUUCUGUCUCGCCAUAAACAGGCUUUGAGACUUGGUGAGCCUUUGCAUGCCUAAGUAAAUUCUUCAAUGCUUGGGAUUCUACUCACCUUCUCGUGGUCGAGCAGAUCCUGGCACGCUUGGUUUCUGGUCUCGCCAUAAACAGGCUUUGAGACUUGGUGAGCCUUUGCAUGCCUAAGUAAAUUCUUCAAUGCUUGGGAUUCUGCUCGCCUUCUCGUGGUCGAGCAGAUCCUGGCACGCUUGGCUUCUGGUCUCGCCAUAAACAGGCUUUGAGACUUGGUGAGCCUUUGCAUGCCUAAGUAAAUUCUUCAAUGCUUGGGAUUCUGCUCCCCUUCUCGUGGUCGAGCGGAUCCUGGCACGCUUGGCUUCUGUCUCGCCAUAAAACAGGCUUUGAGACUUUGAUGAGCCUUUGCAUGCCUUUGGAAAUUUUCACAGUUUCAAGCGAAUGAAAUUCCUCGACGUUCCACUAAUGGCAGGAUUCAACUUACAUGAAAUUGUUUGGACAUAAAGCGUAAAAGAUAAACGAUAAUGAACAUGAGCAUAAAUAGCUUUCAAAUGUGAACAAGUCUUACUGGAAGUAUUUUCGGAGGUGUGCUGCGUUCCAUGGGCGUUUCACCUCGUGGCCGUCCGUGCGAACCAGCUUGUAAGCUCCGGGUCCCACUAUCUGCUUGACUCUAUAUGGCCCUUCCCAAUUCGGUCCCAGCACUCCUUGAGUCGAAUCUUUGGUGCUCUGAUUCAUUCUUCUCAGUACCCAGUCUCCGACCCUGAAUUUCCGUACAUUCACCUUCUGGUUAUAAUAGCGAGCAACCCUUUGCUGGUAAAUGGCUGAUCGACCAGCUGCUUGCUCCCUCUUCUCUGUUAGCAGAUCAAGAUUCAAACACAUCUGCUCGUCGUUCUCCUGCUCAUUGAAAUGGUCUGUCCGGUGCGUGGUCGUUCCUAUCUCAGCUGGUACGACCGCUUCAUGUCUGAAUGCCAGGGCGAACGGUGUCUCCCCAGUUGCUGUUUUGUGGGUUGUCCUGUAUGCCCAUAGGACACCUAACAGCUCAUCAACCCAUGUACCCUUUUUUGCUCCAAGCCUGGUUUUCAAAAGUCUCUUGAUGGUCUUGUUGGCUGCUUCUACUUGUCCAUUCGAUUGAGGGUGGGCAGGCGAGCAAUACUUCAGCUCUAUCCCGAGGUUCUGGCAGAAAUCCCUGAAGCCGUGAUUAUCGAACUGCCUGCCAUUAUCCGUUACCAAGGCAUAAGGGAUCCCGUAUCGACAGACCAGGUUUCUUCACACAAAGUCUGUCGUUUUCUUCUCUGUAAUCCUGCUAAGGGCUUCGACCUCUAUCCACUUCGUGAAGUAAUCUAUAGCAACUAUUGCAUGCGUUGCUGCUCCUCGUCCCUUUGGCAGCGGGCCGAUCAGAUCAAUUCCCCAUUGAGCAAAUGGCCAAGGGGAGGCCAUAGAGGUGAGCUUCUCUGGUGGUUGGUUGGGGAAACUUGCAAAACUCUGGCAGCUUACGCAGCUCCUGGUCUUCUCCUGUGCAUCCUGGUGCAUUGUCGGCCAGAAAUAUCCCUGCCUUAGAACCUUGUGGGCCAGGUAUCUCCCACCAGAAUGAUUCCCGCAAAUUCCUUCAUGUACUUCUCUCAGUACGUAAUCCGCGUCGUCCUCAUCCAAACAUCGAAGGAAAGGUAGUGUAUAUCCUCGCCGAUACAGUAUCCCAUCAAUCAUCGUGUAUCUCGAAGCCUGGGCUCUAAUCUUCCGAGCUCGCAGCUUAUCUGGUGGUAAUACCCCGUCUCUAAGGUAUGAAACUAUCGGGUCCAUCCACGAGCAUUUUUGUUCUAUCCGCAGCACCCCCGAAUUCGGCUCGAUGCUCGGGCUGGACUUCACCUCCAGAGGGAUCGACUUUGGCAUUUUUGGGUCUGCUACCGCUGCCAUCCUGGCCAGAAUAUCUGCUCGAUUAUUCUGCUCCCUUGGGAUUUGUACUACCUCCACCGCUUUGAAUUUUCCCAUCAUCUGCCUGACUAUCUUCAAGUACUGCUCCAUCUUCUCCUCUCUUGGUUGGAAUCUUUUACUGACAUGAUUCGCAACCAGCUGGGAAUCAGUUCUGAUCUUCACUCUAUCUGCUCUCACGGCCUUAGCCAGUUCCAAUCCUGCUAUCAAGGCUUCAUACUCUGCCUGGUUAUUUGUUGCUGCGAAUUCUAACUUUACAGCAUAAGAGAUCUCCUCCCCCUCCGGGCCUUCCAAUACAAUCCCUGCUCCUGAUCCCUGCUCCCAUGAUGACCCAUCUACAGACAUUUGCCAUACUUGAGCUUCGCCACUGUCUGCAACUACAUCUUGUUGGUCUAAACAUACUUCAGGCUCUGUGAAUUCUGCUACGAAAUCGGUCAUUGCCUGAGCCCUCAUCGCUGCUCGGGGUUUGUAGUCUAUGUCGAACUCGCUCAGCUCUAUAGCCCACUUGACGAGCCGACCAGAAGCAUCGGGCUUGUGCAGAGUUUGACGCAAUGGCUGGUUUGUUAUAACCGAGACUGGGAAUGCCUGAAAAUAUGGCCUCAACUUCCGAGCAGCAACCACAAGGGCAAGUGCCCAUUUCUCCAAUGGUGGGUACCUGGUCUCAGCGUCGAGCAGGGCCUUGCUGGUGUAGUAUAUUGGAUACUGAACUCCUUCUUCCUCUCUCACCAGAACAGAACUGGCGGCCCGAUCCGAUACCGCCAGAUACAAAAAUAACUUGUCCCCAUCCCUCGGUGUGGAUAGCAGAGGGGCUUGCUGUAAAUACUGCUUCAAGUUCUGAAAGGCUUCCUCGCAUUCCGGGGUCCACUCUGUUUUCUUUUCCCUCCUUAUCACUUGAAAGAAUGGUUGACACUUAUCUGUAGCCUUGGAUAUGAAUCGGCUCAAUGCCGCCAAUCUCCCCGUAAGGCUUUGUAUUUCCUUCAGGCUACGAGGAGACCUCAUCUGCACGAUCGCCUGAAUCUUCUCGGGAUUUGCUUCGAUCCCCCGAUGACUCACCAUGAAUCCAAGGAACUUCCCCGACUCGACCCCAAAAGCACAUUUCUCCGGGUUGAACUUCAUCUUAUACUUCCUCAAAAGCUCGAAUGUCUCCUCGAGGUGUCUGACAUGUUCCUUCGGGAUUUUGGACUUGGUGAUCAUGUCAUCCACGUACACCUCCAUGGUUUUCCCAAUCAACGGCUUAAAGACUUUGUUCACCAGCCUCUGAUAGGUGGCCCCAGCAUUUUUGAGACCAAAUGGCAUUACCCUAUAACAGAACAAACCCUGGUUAGUGAUGAAAGCCGUGCUCUCCUCGUCCUGCUCGUACAUGGGGAUCUGGUUGUAUCCCGAGAACGCGUCCAUGAAGCUAAGCAGAGCGUGUCCAGCCGUUGAAUCUACUAGCUGAUCGAUCUUUGGUAAAGGGAAGCUGUCCUUUGGGCACGCCUUAUUGAGGUCUGUGAAAUCCACACACAUCCUCCACUUGCCAUUCGCUUUCUUUACCAACACCACAUUCGAUAUCCAUUCAGGGUAAUUGACUUCCCGAAUGAACCCUGCUCUCAAGAGCUUCUCCACCUCGCCAUUUAUAGCCUCAUACCUCUCCUGGUUGAAGCACCUCCUCUUCUGCCUUACUGCCCGAGCACCUUUCUUUAUUGCCAGCUUAUGACAUGCUACCUCAGGGUCAAUCCCUGGCAUGUCUUCAUGUGUCCAAGCAAACACAUCUGCAUGAGCCUGUAAGCAUUUCACCAACUCCUGCUUUUGCUCUCCCUUAAGUCUCGACCCGAUUCUGAUUGUCUUUCCCGGAUUCUCUGGUCCCAGGCUUACAGUUUCCAGAUCCUCUACAGGUUCUUGUCUGCCAUUCUUGUUUUCCACUCGGGUAUCGAGGGAUGUUAUCUGCAUUGCUUCCCUUGUUUCCAUCGCUUUUCACUUGCUUUACUCCCCUUCUUACUAUCAACAGAAGCUUUUUGAUCAGUUCCCCACAGACGGCGCCAAAAUGUUGAUGCGAGAUUCUGGUUCUCCUCGUUAUACGACCAGGGUCUCUGUUCGAUCAACUUCACCACGACCAGGAUCUCUCCUCAUAAAGCUUCUUCUCCAGAGGUUCCUGCGCACACAGACAAGUCAGAGUACGCCGGUUGUUUUCCCGGCGCAAACCCUCCGACGCUCAAGUCAGAUAUGAAGGUUCGGGGAACCUUUGCCACAGAUCUUAUGGCUUUUGGGGUAGUUUUCUCUUUUUUAGAAUUUCUUUAGCUCUCUUCUAAUCUCAAAAUUGCUAACCCUUUUACCUUCGUUGGCUACCUUUUUAUAGGCUUCCUCUGAAUCUCAGUUUUCCGCAGUCUACGUCCGUUAUCCUCCCACCUCUCGAACGUGGAUUCCCCAUUUCCGUAGUCAUGGGUGGUCGCGUGGCCUUCGUGCCUAGAUUCUCGGGCUGGAGAGCAUGCCUCGCCAACUGUCGUUGACCGGGUCUCCUCGAAUCAACCCUUAGCAAGAAUACAGCAGGAAUGGCUUUAUGCUUCUUGCAGGAAAUUGGCCUCGCGGAUGACGUGCUUCCUGGUGACUUCCUGGUCGAGGUGACCGAUAACAUCCUGGUUGAGGUGAUGUGCUCGAGGUCACCACAUAUUAUUCUGGUCGAGAUGAUCUGCUCAACCAUUUGCUCACUUUUACUUUGAGGAGAGCACGAUAAUGUAUGAGCAAACACCUUUAUCUUGGUCACCCUAUUUCAUUCCCUAAACAGUUUAUGUUUUCUAUUGAAUUAUAAGUAAAUUACCUCUUGUAAAAAUAUGAAAUACUGAGGCUGGCGAUGUGCCUUGAAGAACAAUCUUUUAUUAAAAAGAUAUAAUGGAAUUAACAAAAUAGAUAUUAGAAGGAUUUUUUUGGGGAAAUUCUACAUUCUUUGAAAUGCUGAUAAGAGAGAGUUUUAAGAGAACCCCAGACUUUUCAAGAGAGUGCUAGGUAGUAUUUGGACUAGCUCAUCCACACAGAAUAAACAUUCACAAGUUUUAUUUUAUGGUCCAUUUUCUUAUAAAUUUUAGAAAGUUUUUAAGUCGAUUAUAGUGCCAUUCAAAGCAACAAAGACUAAUGAGGCUGCACCAAUAUUAAUCUCAGCACAGUGAGUUCUCAUACUGAACGCCGUUCCUGCUUUGAUACCAACUAUUAGGAAUCUAUUAAUUGGUAUAACUCACCAUUAACAAAACCACAACUUGCAAUAAAAUAUUGCCCAUAAUUCGUGUCUACGAAUUUAGAUUAUUAUUUUCAGUCCAAAUAGAAUUCAGGAUCACAACAAAGUUAAUAAACCAACAAAAAUAAAGUACAAAGACAUGGUUCAUAACCACCAUCUAAUCUGAAAAAUAGAUCAACCAAAAUAAUGUGUAUGCACUCCUCUUCGCGGAUUUCAUUUUAAGGAAUUUUCUGCAGUAGAAGAUUCAGUAAGUUAGUAGAUACCGUUAAGUCAGGUUGCUGUAGUAACUCAUGUGAUCUAAUAAUUUUCACUUGUUUUCUACCAAGGAAAUAUAAGACUCCUACUCUUCAAUUUUUCAAUCUUAACCUAUUCAUGUCUGCCAACAUGUUACGACUCUUCUUUUCUUUCAAAACCGCGUGAAUAAUUAGCGCAUGGUACUUACAAGUCUAUCAUGUUGACCUGAAGUCCUCCUCGGCGGCUUUCUAAUUAGUAAUUAGUUAACUUGGGCCAGCACUGCUAUAUUAUAUCAGUCUAUAUGACAUAUACAUUGCAACUUGUAAGUUCCAUCCCUUCUCUGAGUUUCAUUUCGACUACUAUUAAACCCAAUAAUGAGAUCAAUUUUACUCUUAUCAUGGCUUUUCUUGAAACCCUUUUAGCCAAUUAUUUUGGGAUGCAUAUGGUUUUGGUGUCUGGCCAGUGUCAGAGCGAUCAAAAAUCGCUGUUAAUCCAGAUGAAGAACAGCUUCAUAUUUGACGUUGAUUCUACUCCACCUGUAAAAAUGAGUCAGUGGAGUGAAAGCACCGAUUGUUGUAAUUGGAACGGAGUAGAUUGCGAUGAGGCUGGUCAUGUUAUUGGUCUCGACUUGAGCGCGGAACCAAUACUCAUCGGCAGUCUUGAGAACGCAUCUAGCCUUUUCAGUCUUCAAUAUCUGCAGAAUCUAAAUUUGGAUUUCACUCUCGUCUACGGAUUCCCUAUGCCAUCCAGGUUGGCCAACCUCACAAAUUUGACUUACCUGAAUCUUUCUCAGUGUGGCUUCACAGGGGGGAUUCCUACUGAGAUUUCAAGCCUGUCAAGGUUGGUUUACUCUUGAUUUGUCAGGUCGUGAGCCUAUAAGCGGAUUUUCCUGGAGACUUGAGAUCCCAAAUUUCAACUUUUUUCAUAACUUAAUAGAGCUUAGAGAACUGUACCUUGAUAGUGUAGAAUUGUCCGCCUCCGGAACUGAAUGGUGCAAAGCUUUAUCAUUUCUGCCCAAUCUACAAGUUUUAAGCUUGUUCGGCUGCGAUCUUUCAGGUCCAAUCAAUCACUACCUGGCGAAGUUACGGUCACUCUCCGUGAUUCGUUUGCAUUACAAUUAUGGUCUAUCCUCAGGUACAGAAUUUUUGGCCAAUCUGACGAAUUUGAAUGCCUUGGAUCUCAGCGAGUGUGGGUUGCAAGGGAAGUUUCCAGAAAAGAUAUUGCAGGUUCCUACCCUUGAGAAUCUUGACUUGUCAAUUAACCAAUUGCUUCAGGGUUCUCUGCCAAACUUUCCGAAGAAUUCUUCUCUUCGGAACCUGAUCCUCUCUGGGACGGGAUUCUCAGGCACACUACCAGAUUCGAUUGGGAAUCUUGAAAAGGAUAGAGGUUAGAAGUUGCAAUUUCUCAGGACGAAUUCCCCCUUCAAUGGCUAAUCUUACCCAAUUAUUUCACAUGGACUUCUCAUCUAACCAUUUCUCUGGUCCCAUCCCAUCUCUUCACAAGUCAAGAAAUCUCAACUACUUAGACAUUUCAUUCAAUAAUUUAAAUGGUGGGGUCUCAUCCACCUUCUGGGAACAACUUGUAAAUCUCAAUCUUGUUCUCUUGUCGCACAAUUCACUUAAUGGAAGUAUUCCCAGAUCUCUGUUUCUACUUCCAAAUCUGGAGAUGCUUUGGCUCUCCAACAACCAGUUUGAGAACCAACUUCCAGAAAUUUCAAAUGUGUCCUCGUCUGUAUUGCAUGACCUUGAUUUAAGCGGCAACAAAUUAGAAGGGCCUGUCCCCAUUUCAAUAUUCUUUGAACUCAGAAACCUUUGUACCCUCGAUCUUUCUUCCAACAAGUUUAGCAGAUUGAAACUGGCUUCAAGCAAACCACGGGUCAUUCCUAUUCUAAAAAACCAAUCACAGCUUUCUGUUUUGGACAUUUCAAAUAACCAAAUAUCUGGAGAAAUACCAAAUUCGAUUUGGAAAGUUGGUAGUGGCUGUGAGAAUUUUGAGUAAUGAAUUUGUAACUGUUUUUAUUAUUAUAUUGCAAUGUACAAUGCUGCUGACUUAUAUAGCUGAUCAGAUUUAUCAUACAGCUCAGCAACUCAGAUUUACAAUUACUAAAAAACAAGUAAUGCGUGUGUUAUCUAUUUAAAUCACAGCCGCUCAUCUAUAACUAGAUUGUUACACUCAUAAUUGUUGAGGAAUCUCUGUGUAAUUGUUCUGCCAACUUGGAUAUCUUUCUUCUUCACGUGUGUGUUGCAUCACCUUACUUGUGUGAGCAUCAUUCUUGGUAAUCAAGUAAGCUCCAGCUGGCACUCCCAAGUGAGCUGAUCCAAGUUCAGCUUCAUCCUCAAACUUAACAUCCCUUCUCAAACUUAAGUCUCUAGGAGAGACUUUAAGUUUGUUUCUGAAGAAGCUGAACUUGGAAUAAGUGAGUGGUUUAGUUAACACAUCUGCAGUUUGAUUAUUGCUGGACACAAAAGCAAUUUCGAUUUCUUUCUUCUCAACUUUGUCUCUGAUAAAAUGAACAUCUAUCUCUAUGUGUUUAGUCUUAGAAUGGAGAACUGGAUUUGUAGCAAUUGCAGCUGCACUUGUACUGUCACUUAACAACAGAGGAGUACAGUUGAGUUUUAAUCCCAAUUCUUGCAAUAAUGAACAUAUCCAAGUUACUUCUGCACUAGCUAAUGCCAUGGCUCUGUAUUCAGAUUCAGCUGAGGACUUAGAUACCACACUUUGCUUCUUAGAACUCCAGCUAAUCAAAUUGUCACUCAAGAAAACACAAUACCCACUGGUGGACCUUCUAUCAUCAGGGUCACUUCCCCAAUCAGCAUCUGAAUAUGCUACAAGAUCAAAGGAGUCAGACUUCUUGAAUGUCAAGCCAUAGUCAAUUGUUUCCUUUAGAUACCUGAGUACCCGUUUGCAAGCUGACCAAUGUGGCUGCAGAGGAUUGGACAUAAAUUGACUUAACUUGUUGACUGCAUAAGCAAUUUCAGGCCUGGUUAAUACAGCAUACUGCAGUCCUCCAAUGGCUCUCUUGUAUUGAGUUGAGUCAGCAUGUAUUUCCCCCAUAUUUUUGCUCAACUUCUCUGUAGUUGCUAGUGGAGUGUCUGAGCCAUUACAGUUCUUUAAAUCAAACUUAGUAAGUAGUUCCUUCAAAUAUUUUGAUUGUGACAAAAACAGAGUAUCUUCAUUCCUUGUGACUUCAAUACCUAGAAAGAAGUUAAGCUGACCCAAAUCUUUUAGAGCAAAAGCAUUUCCCAGAUUACAAAUAAGCUGCUCUAUUUCAACAUUAUUGCUUCCAGUGAUUAUGAUAUCAUCCACAUAAACUAGUAGGAUGAUCAGCUCAUUUUCAUUUUAUUUGAAGAACAGAGAAGUGUCUGAUUUUGCUCGACAGAAAUUCCAUGAUUCAAGUACUGAUUUUAACUUAUCAAACCAGGCUCUUGGUGCCUGUUUCAAACCAUAGAGGGCCUUCUUUAGCUUACAAACAUAUCUUGGGUGAUCUGUAUCCACAAAGCCUUCAGGCUGAGGCAUAUAAACAGUUUCAGUUAACUCCCCAUUUAGAAAGGCAUUAUUAAUGUCAACUUGUCUCAACUUCCAGUUAUUGAUCACAGCCAUGCUUAGAACAAUUCUUAUUGUGGCUGCUUUCACCACAGGGCUGAAAGUCUCCUGAUAAUCUACACCUUCAGUUUGUAGGAAACCUUUUGCAACUAAUCUGGCUUUGUAUCUGUUUAUUGUUCCAUCUGAGUUUUGUUUUACUCUAAAUAUCCACUUGUUUCCCACAAGUUUCAUAUGUUGUUCUGGUGGAACCAAACACCAGGUCUGAUUUCUAACCAAGGCACUGAACUCAUCCUGCAUAGCUAGUUUCCAGUUGUUAUCACUUAAAGCUUCAGCAACACUUGAUGGUGUUUCCAGGGACAAAGCUUUUUCAGUGUUGUAAGCUUUAGGCUUAAAGAUGCCAGCUUUGGCUCUAGUAAUCAUGGGAUGUGAAGGGUUAAUUUUAGAAGUGGUUUGAGUUAUUUCAGUGUUUUGGUUUUGAGCUUCAUUGUGUUCAGGGGCACAAGAACACUAUGGGGUAUCUUGAAUUUCUGUGUGUAGGUUUGAAGAAAUAUUUUGCUCUGGAAGAAUUUGGUUGUGAUUGUUGUUAGAAUUUUGAUCAUUAGGGAGAGUGAGAUCAUGAAUUUCUUUUUCAGAUGAACUUGUACUUACUGCUGGUGCCUCAUGAUUGUGACUGUCAGAAGGAAAAGUCACUGUGAUGAAUUUGCUAAAGGAAUUUAAAGACUCAGAUGGUUUGUUCUGGUUUGACUUUAUGAAUUUUGGAUCUGUUUUGAGUGGAAAAGAAUUCUCAUUGAAGUUUACAUGUGCUGCUAUGUAUAUUCUUCCAGUUGAACUUAGACACAUAUAACCUUUGUGAUAUUGGCUAAAUCCUAGAUUUACACAAGUGGAGGUAUGAAAAUCAAGUUUAUGUUUAUUGUAAGGUCUCAUGAAAGGAUAGCACUCACAGCCAAAUGUUUUGAUGAGAGAGUAAUCUGGUUUCUUUGAGUAAAGGAAUUCAAAAGGAGUCUUGUCAUUUAAGGUAGGUGUGCUGGUUCUGUUUAUGAGAAAUGUGGCAUUUGAGAAGGCUUCCCACCAGAAUUUCAAGGGUAAUCCAGAUUGAGCAAGAAGAGUCAAUCCAGUUUCUACCAAGUGUCUGUGUUUCCUUUCAGCUUUCCCAUUUUGGUGAUGAGUGUAUGGGCAUGAGUAUCUCAAAGAAAUACCUUCAUGUUUCAGGUAUGGUUCAAAGAUUUUGUAUUCCCCCCCCCCCCCCAUGUCACACUGUAAGGUUUUAAUUUUCAGUUCAAGACCUUUCUCAACUUGAUUUUUGAAAGAUAUGAAUGUUGUGAGUGCUUGAGACUUGUGAGUUAAUCCAUAAAUCCAUGUGUAUCUGGUUUUAUCAUCAAUGAAGGAUAUAUAAUAUCUGAAACUUUGAUUGGAUUCAGUGGGUGCAGGACCCCAAAGAUCACUAUGGAUGAUCUCAAGGGCUUUUGAGGUUUUUGUUUCACUAUGUUUGAAAGAUAAUUUGUGUUGUUUUCCAUACUGACAGGCUUUGCAGAAUGAUAAACCAGAUGUUUUAUUUCCAAAUUGAAUAUUACAAGCAGAUAAAGUUUUCACAAGAGCACUGACACUAGGAUGGCCUAAUCUCAUAUGCCAAAGAUCAAGCACUUUGUUGCUUGUAUAAUUGUCAUUACAACUGACAGACAACAUAGACUCAGGACAAGAUGUUUUAUUUACUGUAAGUAGACUAGGAGUAGUAAUUGAAGACAAUAGAAUGGAUUUGAAUUGACUGGAAUCAUGAGGCAAACUCAGCAGUUUGUACAAUCCACCUUUAGCUAUUCCUUUCAAAAGAACACUCCCCCUUCUCUUGUCCUUGACAACACAGCAAGUUUUAUGGAAUUCAAUAGAGACAUCAUUAUCAUGCAAUAAUUGUGAAAUACUAAUCAAGUUUUUGGUUAUUUCUGGAACAUAAAGAAUGUGGUUAAGUUUGAUAUGAGUUGAUGUGUGUGAAUCAAGUGUGCUGAGCAGUGAGUGACCAACAGAAACUAUUUUGAGUUUAGUACCAUUACCUACUGCCAGCUGAUCACUUCCCUUGUACUCAAAGCUGAUGUUGAGAUUGUUGAAGUCAUUUGAGAUGUGGUUGGUUGCACCACUGUCAAGAUACCAGGCUCCAUCCCUGUGACCUCCAUUUUCAGCAAUAUAUGCACUCCUCCUGUUAGGUGCUUGAUUAGGUACAUAAUUCUUCUUAAACAUGUACCAGCAGUUGGUAGCAGUGUGAUUUUUCCUGAAACAGAUCUGGCAUGGUCCCUUAGGUUCUUCUUCAUCAGCAGGAUUCUUGCCUUUGAACUUGUCUGGUGAAUUCAUAUUCUGAUUGAAAUUGUAUCCACCAGGUUGUUUUCCAUUUGAGCUUCCAGCUGGCCUUCCACCAUAGUUGUUGUUCGGCUGCCAGUUCCUCCUUUGAUUUCCUCUGUGAUAAGCUAAGUUAGCUUGAUAAUCCAUAUGACUGACAGAGUGUUGAUAUUCGAUUCUAUGUUCAUGACUCAGCAGCAUGCCAUACACAUCAGAGGGAGAUGUGCCUUCAGGUUGUGCAUUAAUAGUUGUAACAAUUGAAUCAUAUUCAGAUCCAAGGCCAGCAAGCAAGAACAGCACAAAAUCUUCAUCAGUCAUAUUAUUUCCAGCAGCUCUCAGAGCAUCAAGAUUUGUUUUCAUCUUUGUGUAGUACUCAUGAAUAGAGGUAGAUCUUUUCCUUGUGGUCUGAAUUUGAGUUCUCAAAUGCAGAACUCUGGCUCUGGAUCUAGCUCCAAACUGAGCUGCAAGAAUUUGCCACACCUCCAGAGAAGACCUUGCUCCAACUACAGCACUAAGAACUUCUUCACUUAAAGUUGAGAGUAACCAGCUCAUCAGCUGCUGAUUAUUUCUUCUCCAGAUCUGGAACUGUGGAUUUGGAGUUGUGAUCACAGUUUGAUCACUGUCAAUGUUGAUCGCAACUCGACUAGGUGGACUCUUUGAGCUAUCGAUCAGAUCCUCCAGAUCAUUUGCAUUGAUCGUAGCUAUCACUUGAGAUCGCCACAACAAGUAAUUGUUAUUGGUAAGCUUUAUUGGCGUGUUGAAGACAAGUGAGUUAAGAACAGAGGUGCUAACGUUUGAAAGAUGAUUAGUGUUUAUGGUUGAGCUCGAAGCUCCAUUACUGUUGAUCUUAUUUUCAUUACUCGCCAUUGUUGCUUCUCAGAGCUCUGAUACCAUGUGAGAAUUUUGAGUAAUGAAUUUGUAACUGUUUUUAUUAUUAUAUUGCAAUGUACAAUGCUGCUGACUUAUAUAGCUGAUCAGAUUUAUCAUACAGCUCAGCAACUCAGAUUUACAAUUACUAAAAAACAAGUAAUGCGUGUGUUAUCUAUUUAAAUCACAGCCGCUCAUCUAUAACUAGAUUGUUACACACAUAAUUGUUGAGGAAUCUCUGUGUAAUUGUUCUGCCAACUUGGAUAUCUUUCUUCUUCACGUGUGUGUUGCAUCACCUUACUUGUGUGAGCAUCAUUCUUGGUAAUCAAGUAAGCUCCAGCUGGCACUCCCAAGUGAGCUGAUCCAAGUUCAGCUUCAUCCUCAAACUUAACAGUGGCAAAUUUUACACCCUAAAUCUUUCACACAAUCUUCUAGAGAGCUUACAAGAACCUUACUCUAUUUCUGGAAUUGGAUUGCUUGACCUGCACUCCAACCAACUCCGAGGAAACAUCCCUUACAUGUCACCAAAUACUUCCUACGUCCAUUACUCCAACAAUAAUUUUAUUUCCAUCCCAGCUGACAUUGGUAAUUUCAUGUCUAUAACCACCUUUUUUUCUGCUGCAAACAAUAGUCUCACGGGAUUCAUCCCGGAAUCUGUAUGUAAGGCUACCGAUUUUAAAGUUCUUGACUUAUCAAACAACAAUCUGAGUGGCACAAUUCCUGCAUGUUUAAUCACCAAGAGUAGCACCACUCUAGGGGUUUUAAAUUUAGGGAGAAACAACCUCAAUGGCACUCUUUCUCACACAAUAUUUCCAGGAAAUUGUGGGUUGCAAGUUCUAGGUCUCAGUGGAAAUCAACUAAAAGGAGUGGUUCCAAAAUCUCUUGCCAAUUGCAAUAUGCUGCAGGUUUUAGACCUCAGGAAUAACCAUAUCAAUGAUAAUUUCCCAUGCUGGUUAUGGAAUGCUUCUAGUUUGCAAGUUCUAGUUUUGCGAUCCAACAACUCUCCAGACACAUUAGCUGUCCAAGAAAUAAUGUCUCCUGGCCUCUGCUUCAAAUAGUCGACUUAGCAUCCAAUAAAUUCAGCGGAAGACUAUCACAAAAAUGGGUACUUACCAUGAUGGUUGCUGAAACCAAAUCCGGAUCUGAGCUUAACCACCUUGGGUAUAUGAUGCCGAGCAACCAAUUCUAUGAGGUUGGAAUAACAGUUACAGUAAAAAGUGUAGAGAUCAAGCUACUGAAGGUCCCAAAUAUAUUCACUACCAUUGACUUUUCAAGCAACAAUUUCAAAGGGCCAAUACAAGAAGAAAUGGGACGAUUCAAAUCACUCUAUGCUCUGAACAUGUCGCACAAUGCUCUCACAGGCUCGAUACCAUCAUCUUUUGAGAACUUGAAACAGAUUGAGUCCUUAGACCUCUCAAUGAACAACCUCCAUGGGAAAAUUCCUGCCCAGCUUGUAAGCCUAAAUUUCCUAUCGGUGCUAAAUCUCUUAUACAAUAACUUAGUAGGAAAGAUUCUAACAGGUACUUAGCUCCAAUCAUUUUCACCAACUUCUUAUGAAGGAAACAAAGGAUUGUACGGACCUCCUUUGACGAAUGACAGCCAAACACGUCCUCCUGAGUUACAACCUUCACCGCCGCCAGCUUCAAGCAAUGAAAUUGAUUGGUUCUUCAUAGCCAUGUCAAUUGGAUUUGCGGUAGGCUUCGGAGCAGUUGUUUCACCUCUAAUGUUUUCCGUGCAGGUAAACAAAUGGUAUAAUGAUCUUAUUUACAAAGUUAUAUAUCGGCGAUUCCGUGUGUGUAGUGAUUUAUAUCUCUCCUUUUGAAUAAUCAUGUAAGCUAGCUUUUGCUUUUCUCUUAUUUCAUAGAUAUUUGAGAUUUCGUUUCUUCUCUGUUUGAUGAAGUUAAUAAAGCUGACAAUAAUUUGAAAUAAGGGCCUAUCUAUAACUUUUACUGCGACAAUCUUUAUCUCAAAAUUGGCUCCAAUUUUGGCGCAAUUCAUGCACAAUAUAUCUUCGAGAGUCCAUACUAAAUUAAUAUGUGCAAGACUGUACAUGAUUCCAACUCCAAGCUAGAUCCAUAGCCAUUCAUGAUCAUAUUCCAUUUGUUCACUUCGGAAGUUUCAUAGAGUAGAAAGAAGAAUUCAGAAGAUAACUUUUGUAGAAAUGAGUGAGUUAUGAGUGCAUCUAAGAAAUAACCCCAAAAAGGCUUUCGGCCCUUGUGGCCGGUUGAGUAGUUUGUUCAAAAUAUUAAUUUAUGUUGUGUUUAAUUGUUGGAAUGAGAGUAGGAAGCAUGGAUUCUUCCCAGUAUUUUAUUGCUUAUUUAAGGAGGAGAAUAGAACUCUUAUUUGGUGGAUCUCACUUAUCUUUAGAGUAAAGAGUGGGAUUCUCACUUCUAUACGGGCCACUCUCACCUCUUCCUUUUUUAUUCUUUCUUUAUCAAAUAUAAUAAAUUUUGCAUUUAUUAAAAAUAAAAUAUAAUAAAUUUUGAAUUGGCAUUUGCUGUCGUUUGUAUUGUCAAUUAUUUUGAGUUAUUGAUAUUGCACAAUUUUUAUAUUGAAUAUAGUUGUACAUAAAUUUUCUGACUUUAACAGUAUUUUCUUGCCAACUUGCGUCUCAGCCAUUAGCCAACUGGUGAACUGCAACUCUUCCAAGUCCUCUUAAUUUUUUCUCUCCUAAUUAAAAAUUAUGUAAAGAUAUGAAUUUUCUCUAUUGAUUUUGUAGGUAGAACAAAUAACCUUCCAGUAUUCAUAAGAUAGAAAUCUAGGUUGUGCUAUAUUAGAAAUGAUCUACAUGGUCUAUUAGUAGACAUCUAAUUGUAUAAUAUAUAUUAAUAAGGGGAAAAACACGUCUACACUUCCAUGAUAUGGGAAAAUAGUCACCAACACUCCUAAGUUUUCAUAAAAGGAUACUAAGACUCCACUUUGACUAUUAUACUCUUUAUCCCUAUUAUCGCCAAAAAAAUAGAUUUUAAAAUUUUUAAUAAAUAUAAAUAUUAUAUAAAUAAUGUAUUUUAUUUUUUUAAUAAUAUUUUUUAUUUAUUGUAGAGAUUUUAAAUAAUAUGAAUGAAUUGGAAACGAUUCUUCACAAGCAAAGAAAAGUUAGCCCUCACAUACAAGGAAAGACUAACAUUUAUAAAGAAGGAAAAAGCAACCUUCACAUGGAAAGAAAGACAAAAAGAUGGGGGGGGGGGGGGGGGAGUUUUAGUAGUAAAUAACACUAAUUAAUAAUUAGUAACAGUGACACCUAAUAUAAUAAAAUUACAUGAAACUAAAAUAAAUUGAAUAGAAACAAACUCAAUAUCAAUUAUCACAAUGCAAUUAGUAAGUGUUUGUUUGGUAUGGCUUAUCGAAUGGUUAUAAGUAUUUUUUUAAUCCCAUAAACUCAAUCAAAUUUUUUGUUAUUGUUUGAUUUUUUUUUUAGUAGAACUUUUCAAUAUUAAAUAAGAUAUUUGGUCUGUACUAUCAAAAGCUCAAAUUUUGAGCUUUUGAGAGUAAAGGUUAAUUUUUUUUAAAUAUUAAAAUGUUUAAAAUAUCGUUAACUUAUUUGACAAUUUUAUUUCAUUAUUUUCAUAACCUAACUUUAAAAAACUUACAUAUUAAAAUAAUUUUAUAAUUUUUAAUAAAAGUUUACAUUGACAACCAAACAAUUAAAAUUUUUGCAUAAAAUCUCCAUUUAUAAAAACUCUACUGAUAAAAACCUAUUUAAAUAAACUCAAUUUAAAAAGCUAAAUAUGACUAGAAUUUUUUUUUAAUAUUUAAUUGUCGGGCUGAAGGAUCGGAGUCGGACUUUCUUGUUAUACCCCUAGCCCGACCCCGAUCCGGCUCAAUUUCGAAUACCUUAAGUCCUAAUCCGAGCCGAAACCUAAAAGUGGAGCCGAAGCCUGGCUGGGCCGGGCGCUCACUUUUCUGCCAUCCCUAUCAGCAACGCAACUCAAGCCUUGCCUGGCUGGUCGUAGUUUUUGCGCAGUUAAGUUAACAGGCGUUGAUUCAACGCUACGCGGGGUAUGCGCAGAGUCUUAACCUACGCCCACUACAUUUCUCCUCUGUCCUCUCUAUAAAUAGCUUUUCUCUUUUGCUUUUCGUUUCCCUCUUCUUUCAAAAUCAUCACCGAAUCAACAAAUAAUCUUUCACUCUGUCACUCACUAACAAAAUAUCACGAAACGAUAAAAAAUUAGCAAGUUAAUAGCAAAUUAACUGAACUGCUUCAAGCAAUAAUGGCUACUUUCGGUGCUGCUGCCGUUGCCACCAAUCAAAACCCUAACAAGUCAAUCGAGGUAUACUUUGUUUAUUUAUUUUCUUUGUUCUUUUUUCUUUCCGAUAAUCUUUAAAAAUUAUUUACCGUUAAAUUUCUUGUCGGUUUCUUGUGUAUGAUGAACUUGGCGACUGUUGAAUUAAUGCUUAUGAUGAUGUUAUUAGGAUUAAGUAGAAAGAUAUAUAAAUUAUUUAUUAGAUAUUUUUGUCAGGUUUAUGCUUGAUUGUUUGUGUUAAUGUAAAAAUUAAUUGUACAUUUUCGGAUAAAGAAUUUUUUUUUUUAAUGCAAAAUAAUGCAUGCUAAGCUAUGAUCAUUUGUUUGCUUGCUUUCUUGCUGAACGGAUUGUUGAGAGCGAACCAAUUGCUAAGCUUGUGAUUGUGUUGGAGUUUCAGUGUAAAAGAACAGUAGUUAGUAAGUGAAUCAUCGGGUUUGCUAGUAGUGUUUGGAAGUUUAUAGUGUGAUUUUCAUACAGAAAACUCGGUCGGAAUGUUAAGUUCAUAUUAGGUUAAUGAAGAUAAGUUUUCUACAAUUGAUCAUGUAAAAGUUUGAUGCACCAAAUUUUCAAAUGAGAUAAAUUGUUUCUGGUCAUAGGUUCCAAAUUUAUAUGCUAGACGUUGAUAUUUGUCAUGUAGUUGUAUGUGAAGUGUAGUUCUGUCAUCGAAGCUGUUAGAAAAGGAGUACUUACGUGAAAUUUUUCAAUGGCAGGUGUCUCAACCUCCCAGUGAUUCUGUUUCAAGCCUUUGUUUCAGUCCCAAGGCCAAUAUCUUGGUUGCAACCUCAUGGGAUAAUCAGGUUUGCCCAAUUGGUUUCCCACAGGUAAGGUGUUGGGAAAUUUCACGCAGCGGAACUGGUGUGGCCAGUGUGCCCAAGGCAUCAAUUUCGCAUGACCAUCCGGUAAUCUAAAGCAAGAUUUGUGGUAGUUAGAAUACCAUACUGUUGAAUUUGUGAUUGCUGAUAAUUUAACCUUUUUCUUGUCUUCCAAAUUUGAAGGUCCUAUGCUCAACAUUGAAGGAUGAUGGAAUUACUGUCUUCUCUGGAGGAUGUGACAAGCAGGUCAAGACAUGGCCUUUACUCUCUGGUGGUCAGCCAGUGAUUGUGGCUAUGCAUGAUGCGCCAAUUAAAACAAUACGGCUCCUAUAAGGAACCGAACCCCAAGAUAGGAGCCGAACCCCAAGAAAAGUAAGGAUUCUCAACCAUGAAAAUCCCUGUCACACCUACAAAUGCAAAUGGUUACUGUUAUAGCCUAAAGUUUCAGUAUGCAUGCAUAGGUCGUAUUAGUAUGAAUAGCAGAGACACAAACCAGAAGUAGAAUUUUACAUGAAAUAAGAAUUGUUGAAACACAUGUGGAAGGCUUGUGAUGGAGAAAAUUGUGUGAAAUAAAAUUUGGAUAUGUACUGAAAAUUGCAUAAAAAUAAGUACAAGAUGCAGAGAAAUGAAAAAAAUAUCCUCUGUUGCAGUGAUUAUAUUUGCUAUAUAGUUAGUAAUGUGUGUGCGCAUACCAGUGUUGGGUUGGGAUAGGAUAAAUAUUAUAAUGUCCAAGUAAUGAAUGUAGGGUUACUAAUUUUGUGUACACAUGAAAGUUGGGUUGCAGUGAUCUGAACCAUAACUGUUUAAAAUGAAAUUGUGCCAAUGGCCGCCUCGAUAACUUGUAAAGUCGAUUGAUAUCCAUUGACAAUUUGACUUCUUAGUUGUCCAAAAAAAAAAAAAAAUGAAAGAAAGACUUAUUGAAUCUUCAUCACUGCUGCUUGAUGGUAGUCGCAAGAAGUCCUGUGCAGCAGCAGGAGUUGUGGCCGAGUAUAGACUGAUCUGAAAUGGUUUAAAAAUGUGAAAUAGUUAACCGAAUGGAUUGUUUUGCUUGUAAAUCUUCUCAACUAACCAGCCACAAAGAUUCCUCUUUAGCCUGCCACAGUUCAGUUGUAACAAACUACCAAAGCCCAUUUCACAAACAGCCACUCUUUGUUCAUCUGUAAGUUGUGAAACUGCUGCAGCUAAUCUAUCUGGAACACAUCUUGUCAGGAACUUUGCCUUCCCCAUGUUUGACUUCCCUACUCGUUUGGCCUCACUUUUGUACUGACUUUUCCUUCGGUGGCAAAUUCUUAUACGUGGAUCCAAUUUCCUUUCGAAUCUACAACACAAUCAUGGUAACCCAAAUGACGCACAACUCCACCACUGCAAUAUCAUCGUAUCACAACCGAAAUAAUUAGUCAAAACCUAUACUACCACUCAACUAUUACUAAGUUAUGAUAAUUUAUUUAUUUUUCCAUUAACAUAGUUUAGAAAUAUCUUAUGAACCCAUUGAGGCACUGCCUUUUUCUUCCCCCAUCAAUGCUUGCAUCAUCACCAACCACUUCAGUUCCUCAGUUAAUCUCACAUUCCUUCUGCUUAUUACUUCCCACCACCUUCAUUCCUGAAAUUCAGUGACAGUUAUUUCUUACCAUCAAAAUACGCUUUAUAGCACCAUAUAAAUACAUUACUAAUUCACCAUAUAAACACAAAUACAUAUCAAUUACGUUACCAUCCCCAAACGAAACUAACAAAAACAUUUCAUAUCAACUCCACAAAAAAGAUAUACAAAUUCAGCUGGUGCAUGUACCAUUACCCCCAUGUCAUCAGCUUCAUGCUUGUGAUUCACGUCAUUUAAAUAUUUGCUGCAAUUUCACCUUUCCGGUUACUAAUUUUCCACACAUGUUCACUAUAAACUUAUUAUGCAAACAUUUAUUAUCUAAAUUUAAAUAAUUCAGUAGGAUUGACAAUUGACAUGUCACAUGUCGGGUGCUUCUAUGAAAUUCUAUUCCAAGGCACAGUCAUGACUAAGCUCAAGAAAGGGACAGCAAAUGCCGCCGACACACUCAAGUUACCGAGCAUAACACCAAGCUCCUUCUCUAUCCUACUGCUUUAAAUAAGCCGUAUUGAACUGUGCUAAAUAAUCCCCAAAUAAUUUCGAUAAUUAUUGGCCUCUACUCAAUUUUUCAAUCUUUGUACGACAUAUAUUUUGCAACCAUGUAUAUGCAAAACAAUUCAUUAUUCAACUGGGUUCAAUAUUUCAAUUCAACCACCAACUACGUUGUUCAGCACAUAUCCUUAAAUUAAAUUUUAAUUUUUUUCCAUGUACUCCCAAAUUUUCCCAUUAUCCAAACGAAACGUUAAAUUUCCACCAGCCACUUAAUCAGCGACAAAUAAUUCCUAUCACUAAUCUCAAAUUCAAAUUACACUGACCUUUAAUUUUGUUAACCCAAUCCCUUAUGCUUCAUUCAAUACUGCCACGACAAGCUACAAGUCACCACAAGCCAAUUCAAAAAUCCCACACGGGAGCGCUGCCCCAGCCGCAGUUACACCUUGCCCGCUUCAAUUUCCUUGCGUCCGAGAAACCGCAGUCAUUGAUCAAAAUGGCCAAUAAGGGUUUACAGCUCCUAAAACUAAUCUUGUACAAAGAAGCUGGUUUGGAUGGUUGCCCACUGUAAUUGACUUUUACCCUUUUCAAACCUCAUCCCUUGGAUUAAAUUAAUUAUAAUGUAACGACUACAGUGGAUAACGACAAAAAAAAGGGGCACGGUAGCUGGGGAAUAGGAUCCUCUCAUACAGGGGUGGUUUUAGGUAUAGGCGAACAAGGCUGUCGCCUAAGGUCUCAUAUUUUAAGAAGGCCUCAUUUUUUGAGUAUUUCUUUAAUAAUUCUCUAAUUAAUAAAAUAUUUUUAAUACGUAUUUUAAGAAAUAAAAAAUUUUAUUAGAUAUCUCUCUAUUCUUAAUUAUUCUAUAAUUAAGAAUUAUUUUUUAUAAAAAAUCUAUAUUUGGGAACCUUAAUUUUAGAGAAAUAUAAUUAAUAAUAUUCUUUAACCUUCAUUCCUUUUCAAUUAUUCAAUAUUAGCAUAUUUGAAUUUUAAUAUUUCUUUUAAAUUCUAUUAAAAACCUCAUAAUCUCAAGAAUUAGUAAAUGAAAAAAAUUUCUUGUUCUCUUCUCUACAAAUAAAAUUAUUAUAUUCAUUGGUUCAUUUAAAAUAAUUAGUUUCUUAAAAUAUAAAGUCCAUUUUUAUUUUUGAACAUCAACUCAUCAUUUUAAAAUUGUUAUAUUCUAUCAUUCUAAACAUUCUAUCAUUCUAAAUAUUCUAUUUGAAAAUAAAUUUUUUUUAUUUAUUUGUUUGUUUGUUUUUUAACAGUUUUAAUGGAAUAAAAAAAAUUAAUCUUCUUGAUUGUUUUUUAGGUUUUAUUUUUAAAAUUUUUGAUUUUUUUUUAUUAUUGUUGAAAUUCAAGAAUUAAAGAUGGAAUAAAUUUUGAUCCUCUUUAUAUGUCUUUGAGUAUUAAAAUUACAAAAUAAUAGAGGCCUCAUAAAAAAAUUUCGCCUAAGGCCCCUCAAACUCUAAAGCCGGCCCUGCUCUCAUAAUCUGAGCUCUACUGAGCUUUUAAAGAUGUUCUGCCAUGUGUUUUUUAGUGAUAGUGCAUGGAUAAGAUUGAACUUAUUUUACUUUUUUAUUUAUUAACUAUCAAUCAGCAAUUAACUUAUUUGCUCGCAACAUGAUCAAAUAAGAUCCUCUCAUAAUCUGAGCUCUACUCAGCUUUUAAAAAUUUUCUGCUAUGUGUUUUUUAGUGGUAGUGCAUGGAUAAGAUUGAACUUUUUUUACUUUUUUUUUAUUAACUACCAAUCAGCAAUUAAGUUAUUUGCUCGGAACAUGAUCAGAUCAGGACAGAAUCCUACUCCUAGUAGCUGGUCCCUAGUUGAUUGGGUGCUCGAGUUUUUCUAGACUACUUUUUUUUUUUUUUUUACGAAAUUCUUACAAUUUACAAAUCUACUAAAACUCUCAAAAUAUACUCUCACUAACAUGCACAGAGAAAUCUAUCAUUUUCUGAAAGAAAUGAGUUUGUAAGACUCGAACCCACUCCCUUAACAUAUUUUGAGGAUGCAAGUGCCAUUAUACUAGAAGCGCAAAUGCAAAAGUGGUUUCAGACUUGAAAGGUCAAAAGUAAAUUUCCAAAAGUCAAGGUACUUAGAAGUUUUUAUCGAUAUUAUCACAAAGUUAAUCUUACAAAUUGUAUACUAGACGAAUGGUCUCUAAAAUUUAUAAUUAAUCUAAAAAUUUUGAAUAACAUCAUUAAAAGAUUUUCUUUUCAAAUAUUUCUAUCUAAUUAAUUUUUUAUCCUUACCUAAAUAAAACUUACUAAUUAGUAUUACUAUUCAUCUUUAUAACUUGUUACUAUAUAUUAGUAUUUUUUUAAUUUUCUUCAAAUUAGCAUUAUCUAUCUUCAUAAUUUUUUAUGAGUAUUUUUUAUAUGAAACAUCAUAAAUUUUAUUCAUCAUAAAUUGUAAUAAAAUUUAUUAAGAUGUUCUAAUUUAAAAUAUUAAAGGUUUAUAUUCACUUGAACAUGAUUCAUGUUAUAAUAAAAUACUAUCUUAUUUAUAUUCUUUGAGAUUUUAUUAUUUAUUUAUUAUUUAAAAUUUAUAAGGGCAAGAUUGUAAAAGUAUUAGUUUUAAGACUUUUUAAGUUAAAAAAUAAAGAACUCAAUAAUUAUUUUGAAAGAUUCAAACGAAAACGAAAUAUGCCAUUCAAAUUCAGGCAUUUAGCUUUGUUUAGAUUUCAAGCCAAUUCAUAUUUAUUUAGAUUUCAAACAAAAAACAAUCGUCAUACUUCUUCACCAAAUGUCAAGUAAUUAAUUAAUUUGGGACUUUGUCUAUCUUUUCUAAUUUUUAUUUGAAUUUUUUGAAAUUGAGUCUUAAUUUUCUACUGCUACAACUAAAGUUUAGCAAACAUUGACUUUGAAUUGCCUGUAUAUAUCUACGUAGGUGCCAAUUUGAAGAUAAAGAUUGACUCAAAAUAAAUAACAAAUAACACUUACAGGUCCUUUCACCACAACUGAACUCUCUCGUCAGUCAUGAUAGGUGUAGACUUGGAAACUAAAAGUCUUCUAUAGGUGGAGAAGUCUUGUAUCUAACUUGUGAUAUAUUGUUAAAAAGGAGUCUAUGACUAUUUCAAUCAGGGAUGGCAAUGGGGCGGGGUGGGGGUGGGGAUGCCUACCCCAUUCCCCACCCCAUUAAAAUUUUUUGCCUCCAUUCCCCACCCCAUUCCCCAAUAAAUUUAGUGGGUUGGGGAUGGGGAAUCCCCACGUGGGGAAUGAUUCCCCCAUCCCCACCCUAUUCCCCAUUUACUUAUUUUAUAGUAGAUAUAAAAAUAUGAUUUCAGUAAAUUAAAAAUUAAAGACUUAAAAUAAAAUCAUCACCAUAUUAUAAAGUGUUUAAAUUUUUUUAAAAAUCUCUAAAAGUUUGAAACCAUAUUUUAAACUGAUAUUAAAAGUGAAAAAUAUUUAAAGAGAGCAGCACUUUAAAAGAGAAAAGAAAAUAUAAUAAUAUUUUAAAGUUAAAAAAUAUUGUAGGGUUUUCUUUUACUCAUAUUAUGUUUAUAUUACAUAAAAAUUAAAAAAUUAUUAAUUGACAUUAUAGUUGAUAAAAUAAAAAUUAAAAACAUAUUUAUAUAUAAUGGGGAUUGAGGUGGGGGUGGGGUGGGGAGUGCAAUACCAAACCCCACCCCGUUAAUAAUUUGGGGAUUAUUUUUCUCCCACUCCCCACCCCAUUCCCCAAAAAUUAUUAAAAAUUUUCCCCAUUUGGGGUGGGGCUCCAUGGGGCUCCAAACCCGUGGAGGAUUUUGCCAUCCCUAAUUUCAAUAGAUCUUAUUUAGUUAUUCUUUUCCCAAAAAAUUAUCGAAGCAAAUCGGUCGAUUAAUGAAUCAAUGUUUAUGCGUCGGCACGGUAGACUAGGGAUGCCAAUCUGGGUUUAUUCGAUUCAAUUUAAUGUGAAUUAAAUGAGUUUGAGUUUGAACAAAUUAAUUCGUUUAAUAAAUAGGUAAAUUCAAUACGAUUCAUUAGUUAAACAAAUUGAAUUCAGGUUUUAUUCAUUCAGGGUUCAUUUAAUAAAUACGUCAUAAACGAAUCAAAUACGAUCCAUUUAUUUAAAAUUAAUUUGAUUAAAUUACUUAUUUUCUUUAAAUAUGUAUGAAAAAUUUUAAAAUUUCAAAGCUAUUAUAGUAAUUAUAAAUGAUAAUAAGACAAAAUAUAUAGUAAUUCGAUUCGUUAUGGAUUCAUUAUAGAAUAAAUGAGUAGUAAAUAAAUUCAUAUUUGAUUCGAUUCAUUUAUUAGUUCUACUAAAUGAAUUAAAUUAAUCAAAUCGAAUAUUGUUUAAUAAACAAAUCAAAUUCAAAUCCUGAGAUUUGCUUAAUAAAUGAAUCAAAUCCGAAUCAACAGUGUUUUGACCCAAUUUGUUUACGAUUCAAUUUAAAUUUGAUUCAUUUAUUCAUUUUGCCGCCCUUGCAAAACUUAAUAUUAAUCUCAGCCUCAUUUAUUUUAUAUGUUCUGAAGAAAAAUCUUAAAGACCUUGUCACUUUCUAAUUAAUUAUUUCUUACAAAGAUGGCCCAAGGAAAUUAUGUACACCCCAACGUAUAAGUUGGGAGGUGCAAGUAGAAAUUAACUAUAAAGCAGCUGAGGAGGACUUCUGGUCUGCAGGAAAACAACCGACCACCAAUUUUGUGGCAUGAAAAUAGUGAAUGAGAUUGUAGAUAAAAUUUAAAUGAAUGAGAUGGUGUGGAUAGUACAUGAUAAAGUUCAUUUCAUUUUUUUUAUCAUUAAUCCUUUUUUUUAUUUGGGUGUUAAUUAAUUGAGUUGGUUAAUUUUUUUUUUUGUCUUAAAAAUAAGAUGUUUGAGGUUCCAAAAAUAUGUGAGGAGGAAAUUGAAUUGUUUUUUAGCUUAAAGGAACAACAUAAUUUAAAUUUUGAAUAAGACUUCAGUGCUGAGCUAUUUUUUGUUGAAUUAUUGACAAGUAAAAUAUAAAAUUAAAAAUAAAAAUAAAUCUUGACCAAUGAUUCCAUACUGAAUCCUAAUCUAUCAAUUUUUGCUUGACACUCUACAAAAGUUCAAACUAAUUACUUAGAAGGAUAAUGGAGAAAAAAAUUGAAAGCUAUGGUUAAACGCCAAUAAUUGACAAUAAAACAUUGGUGCAGAUACAAGCAUAAAAGUGCUUUCAUACGGUUUGAUCUUCUAGAUUCUACUUUCUACUCUUAUAAACUUAUAAGUGAUCAUGAACUGCAUGAGUCUAUUAUCCAUAGCGUAGAGUUGGUCAUAGACAACCUUGCACUUAAUAAUUUGAAACAAAAUGUCUUGCUACAACUAAAAUCUAGCAUGGACUCUCGAAGAUUAAUUAUCUAUGAAAUAUUGACCAGCUUGUGGCCAAUUUAGAGAAAAAGAUUGUCAUCGUAGACCGUUCACGUCAACUGUAAACUCCGCUCAUCAGUGAUGAUAGGUGUUAGAGUUGGAAACUAGAGUUUUCGUGUACGUGAAGAAGUCUUAUAUUUAAAUGUUUCUGUAGGUAAUUCCAUAAAAAGUAAUGAUAUAGGUAUAAAUUCUUGCACAAACUUAUUUUAUACAAACUAAUGUGACGUUAAUUAAUUGGUUGAAUUAAAUAUCUCUGGGCCCACAUAAUUUAUUUAUAUUAUUUUAUAUUUUCAUUCAACCAAUGAAUUAAUACUACAUCAGUUUGUACAAGAAUUUGUGACUGUAUCAUCACUCUUCCAUAAAACUAACUAGUGACAUAUUUAUUAAAUUACUUUUUUAUGACUACCUUUGAUCAUAGGAUUGUUUGAUCAUAGGAUUGUUUACUAGUCUUAUAUUUAAGUCCUCUUUGGCUUUUUUCUAAAUACAUGAACUAUACACGUCACAACAUUUGGAAUAAUCAUUUGAUCGAUCUCAAUGGAUCGUUUUGCAAUCUUCAUUAUUGUUGUUCUCUUGGUGUCUGCUGUCUUCUUGAUAUUAGCAUGUAAGAGAUUGUAACAUUUUCAUAUUUUGGUUUGACAUUCUUGAAUAAAAAGGCUUGCCAUUUUUUAAGAAAACUGCUAACCGUUUAAUCCUAGAGAGCAUGUUUUCUUUUCUACAGAAAACGGCUAACCGUUUGGAGAAAACGGCUAACCGUUUGGAGAAAACGGCUAACCAUUUAGUUCAAAAGUUAUUUGAAAGUUGACAUUCUGGAAGAAAAUGGUUAGCCAUUAGAAAACGGCUCGCCGUUAUUGAGAAAAUGGCUAACCAUUUUCUUCCAGAGAGCGUGUUUUGGCGUCAAUUGAAAAAAAAAGGCUAGUAGGUUUUGAGGAAAAAGAAAAACCGGUUGUGAAUAGAUGCAAAUUUCAAACCAAAGAGUGUCUUUGAAGAACUACCGUUUCUAAUGGUUGUAAUUUUUCAUAAAAAUAAUUUCUUCAUUAAAUUAGACACUCAUAUUAAAAAAAAAAAAAACUGGAUUAUUACAGAUUUCAUGUGUGUUCUUGAAAUACAAUCUUAUUUGCUAGAGAUUGUAUUCAGGAUUUGAUAAAUCUUGGGGGUAAUUUGCCAUUAAACUCUAUAGCAAAUUAAGAGUGGUGAGGGGAAAUAAAACCUUAAAGAAAAGUGUAUAAACACGUCUCAAAUCCUAAGAAAGUUUCCUUGUUCUUUGCCUCCAUAUUUGAAGAUCCACGUACAUAGCAUUCAUUUCUGGUUUAUCUAAUGGAGUAGAUUCAGUUCGUCUUGUUAUCCUUGUCGAUCACUCUGGCAGCAGUGGCCACUUUAGGCAUGAUUUUCUAUUGUGUGAGGAGAAAGCCCACUUUAAAUGAUUUUCUCAUUUAAUUGCACGACUUUGAGAGUCUAAUAUGCUAACAUACAUAUACAUAUCGUAAUUAAAGCUUUAGUUUCUUCACCCUUCAGGAGAGGAUUUGAUCAUGUUUGAUUUGGAUUUGAACCUGAAAGCCAACAACGUUAACAUAGAGCUUCCUGUAAACAGUAAUCUGACAAAAAGAAGCAAAAAGAAGGAAGUUGAUCAAUUGCCUUUAUUCAGUUUUUCCAGUGUUUCUACUGCAACAAAUAAAUUCUCCGACGCAAAUAAGCUCGGAGAGGGCGGCUUUGGACCUGUUUAUAAGGUACUACAGAUAUCAUUUUCUUUGGAGCGCUAAUUUCAUUUUUAACAGAACUAUAAAUUUACCAUCUGCAGGGGGUGUUAAAAAAUGGAGACGAGAUAGCUGUGAAACGGCUUUCAGGAAGAUCUGGACAAGGAUUGCGAGAGUUAAAAAAUAAGCUUCGGUGAUAGCCAAGGUUCAGCACAAGAAUCUGGUUAGACUUUUGGGCUGCUGCAUAGAUAAAGACGAGAAGAUUCUGAUCUAUGAGUACAUGCCUAACAAAAGCUUGGACUUCUUUCUUUUCGGUUAGUUAUUGCAUCUGUUAAUUUAUUUUUCUUACAUAUUCCUCUCUUCAAAUUUUAUAUUCAAAUUUUAUGCAUACAUUUGUUUGAACUACUAUUUAAUAUAAAAUUAUAUAUCAAAAAUUUAUUUAAACUAGAAUUUAGUCCAUGUUACUUAUCCAAAUUUUAUUCAUUAAUUUAUUUAAAAUAGCAUUCAUCCAUCCAUAAAUUAAAAAUUGAAUAUCUAAAAGAAUAUUUAAUAAUUAACAAUAUAACUUUAAGAAAUAAUCAUACUUUUAAAUAGUUUUUUUAACUUCCUUAAAUUGAAUUUAAUAUGAUCCUGUCCAACACUAAACCAAAUACAAGACAUUACUAUAAAAUAAUUUAGUCUAAUUCAAUCCAAUUCAAUCUUAAUAACUAGUCCAAUCCAAUCCUUUAUUUUGCAACAAACCUAACCUAAAAAAAUAUUUAGUAUUUUCUAUUUCAUUUAGCUAUUUUUAAGUUUAAUGAUUAACACAAUCGAAUUAUCAGAUUUUAAAAAAAAAUUAAGUUGCUAGAUCAAUUUACAUCAAAUUAUGUGGUCUACAUUUUUUUGUUUUCAUGCAUAAUGACAUUUAGUCUUUUUGUUGUAAAUUAGAUCCAACCAAGUGAAUGUUAUUAGAUUGGGUAACACGUGUUCGGAUUAUUGAAGGGAUAGCUCAAGGGCUUCUUUAUCUUCAUCAAUAUUCCAGAGUGCGAAUUAUUCAUCGAGAUUUAAAAGUUAGUAACAUCUUGUUAGAUAAAGAUAUGAAUCCCAAAAUAUCAGAUUUUGGAAUAGCAAGAAUUUGCAGAGGAAAUGAGUUACAAGCAAACACCGGUAGGAUCGUCGGGACAUAGUAAGUAAAUGACAAAAAUCAAAAUUAAAGUGAUUAAUUAGUUAUGCGUGAAUUGCUGAUUAUUAUUUAUUGAUUGUUGAAUUACAGUCGUUAUAUGUCCCCUGAAUACGCAAUCCAAGGAAUAUUUUCAAUUAAAUCUGAUGUGUUUAGCUUUGGAGUAUUGUUGCUCAAGAUUGUAAGUGGCAAGAAAACCACUGGAUUUUAUCGAACCUACUCUUUCACUCUGCUAGGUUAUAUAAGUAACAAAAGCCGUUGCACAUAUUCUUUUUUAUAUUACUAAUUAGGUGAAAAUAUAUAUGAAUUCCCAAGCGUGGACACGCACAAUGUGAAAACGUUUGGAUUUUUGCACCUGACUAUUUUUAAACUAUUCUCUAUAUCGAGUGUAGGACUAUCUAAUGACAUCGUAUGGUUGUUUAGGCAUGGGAUCUGUGGACAAGCAACAGGACAUUGGAGUUGAUUGAUCCAAUAUUAGAAGAUGAAUAUUCCUCCAAGCCUAUGCUUUUAAGAUAUGUGAACAUAGCUCUCCUUUGUGUACAAGAAAGUGCUGAUGAUAGACCCACCAUGAAUGAUGUUGUAUCCAUGCUUACAAAUGAAGCUGCAGCAUUGCUUCCUCCAAAACAACCUGCUUUUUCGUAUGUAAGAAAUACAGUCACUUCAACAUCGUCCACCGGCAAGACAGAAGAAGCGCGCUAGCUUUUAUUUUAAUGUGUAUCGAGUCACUUCAAAAUCUUGAGUGCUAGCUGUUAGCCUUCUCUUCCCGUUCAUUUUAUACUGUGCAUGUGUCUUUCAGUCAGUCAUUAUAACUAAAUGUAAUAAUGCGAGAAGCGAAUACAAUCAUGGGUUGGCUCUUCUUAGACCAAUAAAAUCACUAUCAAAUGUUAGCUCUAUCCUUGCAAAACUUUUCGAAGUCUACAGGUCCCGCAAGCAAAUAAAGUUGGUUUUGACGCGAGGACGAAUUGCAUUCAGUCAAUCAUUAGAUUUUUUUUAUUAUAUUAAAAAGUGGAGGAAUGAUCAAAGCUCAAAUUAAUUUUUUAUUUUCUAUUUUCUCCGAGAUUCAAACUUAAUUAGGUGAUCAUCUCAAUGAGACAACUUGAAAACUACGGGGUUGAGCUCCUGAGACUAAUUAUUAGAUAUUAUAUGGAGUAGUGACCCUGAUUUUUAUUGGUUCAACGGGGUCUGAUAUUAUCACGAGUCUGAUAUAUAAAAAGCAAUGCAUGGAACCAUUAUUUUCGUUCAAUGGGAUCAGAAUCAAGAAACUACGAACUCGGCAAGGCAAAAUCAACAAUUUGUAAACCGAGGGAGUGAGAGGAUCAAAACAUAUGUAAAGUCCAAAGAAAUGAACUAAAUUUUAAUUAAUACCCUUAUCUUGCUAUGAAUUAUAUAAUUCUAAUUCAAGAGACACUUUUAAACAAAAUUUUGGACACAAUAUUCUGACUAUUAGAUUAAAGCUAAGCAAGAGUUGAUAUUGAAGCUGACAUGCCUUUUUUAAGUUUUAAAAACUAAAAAUUAAUAUAAUGGAUCCUUAUAUAAUAAUAAAUUAUUGCUCGUUCUUCUCUCUCUUACUUAAUAUAUUCCCUCUUUUGUCACUUUUUUUUUCUUUGCUUACCCUUUUUAAGUCUCGCCUACAUUAAUUAGUUUGAACUUUUGCACGGCAUCAGUGAAAAAACUUAACCGACUGAUAGAGCUGAAAUGGACUUAAAUUUUAUUUUCACUCAUUGACUAUUUUCAGCAAAUUUAUUUUGUCCAUCAAAAUUCGUACCAGAGCCACUACUGAAAGUAGGAUAUGGCUUCCCCUUCAAUGUCUUGUGUAACCCAAAUUAAAUCAAUACAUCUUUAAUUUGAAUUUGUCGCAAGCCAAAGUUGAUAUUCCCAACAAAUUCUUCUAUUUCAAUUUUCACUGAACUUGAAAAUUUCAAUCCUGACAUAUUCGCUUUGCAGAUUACCUUUGCUCUUUAUCAGGGACUAUUUAGAUUGGGUCCCAUUGCUUCACACGAAUAGUGCUGUAUACGUGAACAGUAUCGUAUACAUAAACAGCACCCCUGACACCAAAACUUCAAUCAAUAACUCUGAUACCACUGUUAGGAAAUUGAGAUUCCUCCCAAGAUCACUCCAAGUAAUUUGUCAAGAAAUAAAUCAAUAGAAAAAUUAAAUUCAAAAUCAUAUCAAUCGCAUAACACAAGAUUUACGUGGAAAACUCCAAAUCUGGAGGAAAACUAUGGCAGUUGUCAAGAGACAACCAGAGAUAAAUAUUCACGAUGUGAAAAAUUAUUACAACCACACUUUCAUAAAUAAUUUACUCUCAGAAAUAAUUUUCUCUCACCUAAGCUCUAAAUACACCCAAAACUCUCAAUUUAAGAGUAAUUAAAUUUAACUCUCAAAUUCUCUCUAAAUAUAAGAGGAAAUGAAUUCUUUGGGAUGAUAAAAUCUUGUGAAAGGCUCUCUUAUUUAUAACCAAGUGGAUAGUACUGUUCAAACCGCAUUACUAUUCAUGCCGCGUUACUGUUCAUGUCGCAUUACUGUUCAAGCCGUGUGGUCAAACCGUGUUACUAUUCACCGCAUGGUAAAACCCGAUUGUUGAGUGUUAGAAAAUGUAUAUUUAUAAAGGAGAAAAUCGUCAUUUUACAUCUCAAGUUCCACUAACAUUCAUACUUUUAUGUAUUUAAGUUUCUUGUGAUUUAAUUAUGUGUGUUGUAUUAUAAUUAAGUAUUUUAUGUAUUUUGGGAGCAUCAUAGUCAUUUCACAAUGAACGAGAAUCAAACGGCUAAACAGACAUCACUUUUGAACUCAGGACAGUCGAAAACCUUAGGAGGAGCAUAAAAGGAAAAAUGUCAUUGUUCACAUGUACGGUACUAUUCACAUGUACGGUAUUGUCUACGACACUGUUCAUGACACUGUUCACAUAGACAGACCGAUGAUGUGGCAUUGACUGAUGAGGUGUCACGAUUCCAUUGGAGAAAAUUCUUAUGCACUAUUGAUCAGUGACGUGGCAGCAUAUUAGUGGACCAAAAAUUACGCGUACGGUACAUGCAUAUAAACAGGAUUAUUUUCAACCAAACCGCGUCACUGUUCAAGCCGGUUGACUAUUCAAACCGUGUACUGUUGACUGAUGACGUGGCGCAAUCCUGAACGUCCAAACUGUUUUUAAUCUGAUAGUCAUGAUUUACUCAAUGUAUCUAUAAAAAAAGGGCAUCCCCCCUAAUUUGGCAUCUCUCUGAAUCCAUUUUUGGGCUCCAUUUUUUGUAAUUCCUUCUUCAUCUUGUAUUUUCUACGUAUUUUAAUAAAUUCUCAUUUUGCCCUUAGUUCAAUUAUGAGUAGCUAAUUUUCUUUCAAGCUUGGGUUGAAGGUGAAGUCUCAACAUGUGUCAUGGGCUUUAUUUGGUAAAUUUAAUUUCUCUUCCCCUCUAAUUAUUGUGGAUGUUUUGACUUUUCCUUGACAAAUAGUAAUAAUCUUGUCUAGAUACCGUCCUGGUUUCACCAACUCCCUAGUACAAGAUUAUUAUUAUUUGACACAAUAAGCCCUUAGCACUAUAUUGAUUAGAGCGUGGUUCAUGAGUUGUGGAUUCCCCCACUCAUGAUUUAAUUGACACUAAUAAGGAAUAUUUAGCCCAUGGUACAUGUUGAUGCGGAUCCAGAUACCCAAGCACUUCAAUUAUUAUAGUUUUUGCUUCAAUUUAUUCUCGUCAUUUUAAUUCAAAUUCUAAGAUAGUCUAAAUCACUUUCACCAUAAAUCCAACCACCCAUUUAGAAAAAUUAAUUUUACACACAAUUAAAAUCCACAUCCUCGUGAGAUCAACACUCAUCACCAAUAAUCUAUUCUACAAUAGAUUCGUGCACUUGCGAGUUCAAUAAAAUUUGCACAACAUCUAUUUUUAACAAUUCUCCCACUUGAAGAUUAGAAUGAGAACCAAUCAAUCUCCACGGCAUUCUUACUAUCUUCACCUUAGUCAUAAUCCUCAAUAAAGAGAAUUAUCAUACUCCACUAUAAAGAGUAUACCACUUAGAAUUAAUUACCAAUUUUAGGAAUUUUACAUCGACUCAUGUCGAAAUAUUCUACUGAAAUUUAUGGUGCAACUUUCUUGUUGGCUUUCCUGGAAGUUUGUCAGCCAUCAACAUAAAUUCCACCACACACCCUACAACAAUGCCAACCAUGCAUUGUGUGCAAAUCUUGCGGACCUGCUAGCAGUGACACAUCCACUUUCAUAACACUAGCAGCAUACCAUAGAGAUGUCAUCAUCAUUUAUUUUACAAGGGAGCAUCAUCUCCCAUAAUAAUGAGAGACUUACCACUAGCAAUGCUAUCAGUAUCUUAUUUGGAGCCAGUUGCCGACCCUGCUUCAUUUCUCCUAUGACAGUCUCUUUUUAGGUGCCCUAAUUGUCCUCACCCCAAUAGACUCCUUUCUUUUUAAAUUUAUCUUUCUUCCAAUUGCCAAAGCCGAGACAUCUGUAGUUUCAGUACUUUCACCACUCAGUCUUCUUUCUUCCAAGAGUAAAGUAGUAGCAACUUCUUCAAGAUAUAUUGUCUCAUUCACAUACAUUAAAGUAAGUGAUAGGUGUUUGUAGGAAGUUGGAAGUGACCAUAGCAGCCUAAGCGUCUUGUCCUCAUCUUCAAUUUUAACUUCAAUGGCUUCUAGUUCUGUCAUAAUACUAUUGAGAACAUUGAGGUGAUCGGAAAUUUUUGUUCCUUCAGCCAUUCGCAGCGUGUGAAAUUACUUCUUCAGGUACAAUCGAUUUGGGAUGCUCUUUGUCUGAUAUAAUUUUUUUAGCCUCUCUCAAAGCUCUUUCACUGUAGGAAUAUUUCCUACAUUUGCAAAAACAUUCUUUGCUAGACAUAGUCAUAUGAAACUUGCAAUUCUAUCAUCCAACUCUUCCCAAUCUUCAUCGCUGAUACUAGCUUUUAGAGAGCCACUACUAGAAGCAGGGGAUGGCUUCCCCUUUAAUGCCUUAUGUAACCCAGAUUGAAUCAACACAUCCUUAACUUAAAUUUGUCAUAAAACAAAGUUGAUUUUCCUAUCAAAAUUUUCUAUUUCAAUUUUCACUGAACUUGAAAAUUUCAAUUCUGACAUAUUUGGUUUGCAUAUUAGCUUUGCUAUUUAUCAUAGACAAUUUAGAUUGGCUCCCAUUACUUCAGGUGAACAAUACCGUAUACGUGAUAGUACCCCUGAUAACUAUAGGAAAUGAGAGUUAUUACAUCAAUUCUAAACUUGAAUCAAGAUCACUUAGAGAAUAAAUAAGGUGUUUUUAUUACAUUUUGGUUGCAUUUUGUAUAAACAUUCAUUUUAGUUGAGUCUUAAUAAGUUUGCUUGAAUCAAAGUAAUUUGUGCUAAAAACAAGUGCAUAAUUGUAGGUUCUCAGAAAGUUGUAAUAUAUGAGGGGAUGUUGAGACUGUAGAUGAGCAAGAGGAGGAAAGAAGAUGGCCACAAAAGAAGAAAAGCACAAUCGGGAAUAAUGCAGUGUUGUUGAGGAUGUUAGAGCAACCUGUGUUGUAGCAAUCUAGGAGCAAUGCGGGAGAAAACUUAGGCGCGGGUCAGCACAUGUUUCCUAAUUUAACGCAUGCACGCUAAUAGGGCUUGUGUUUCCCCUAAAUUGCAAUAUAAAAGGUAGGCAUGCACCACAUAGAAAGGCGGCAAGGGAAUCAUUAGAAUAAUUACAAAGGAAAAGAAGAAGAAGAUCGGAAUUGAAGAGUGUUGUUUUCGGCAACAUUGGAGAAUAAUGCAGAAUUACUUGGAUUUGUUUUUCACCGUGCUCAACUUAUAUUUAUCUUCUUCCUUUAAUUGUUUUGAUGUAUUCCGAGAUCAAAAUAUUUAUGUUUAUUUUUCUCUUUCAGAUUAUAAACUAAAUUUACUUGUAGUUGAGUGACAAAUAAUCCAAUAGGUUCUUGAUUGUUCUUAUAUGUUGUGAUGGCACUGUUGUAGCAUUUUACUCUAGUAGUUUUGUAUAAAUAUAAUUGUUAUUUCGAUUGACCACCUAUUUAAUAGUUUCAGUUAGGAUAGAGCAGCAAAAGGGCAUGUCUUAGCGGAUAUUAUUAGAGUACUACUUGAUCUUACGUUGAGUUUCCUGGAUUAAGUUAUCUUGAAUCCCAUAAGGGCAAUACUUGAAGUUAAGAUUUGUGACACACUAGAUAUAGGUGUUCACCUUGUAGGGUGGAGAGAUUGAAGGUUAUAAUGCUGUACCACAACCAUAUUAGCAACUGGUCAUUGUUAAUAGAUUUAAUGGUAUGAGACAUCCAACAUGCGAUAGCUGAAGAUGCAAGUUUAUUCUGCCCAGUGCUGCAGCACUUGUUGUAACAACUGGUGCUAACUUGAUAAACAACAGUCACCCCAUUAGGAGAAUUUGAUCAUUCAACUACUAUAAUCUCAAUUGAAUCUUAGACACAUUUAACUUAGUUUAUUUCGUUACGGUAUUAUUUUAUUUAAUUCUUUCACAAUCCUCAAUUACUUUGGAAAUUACUUUACAAUUGUUUGUUUCGGUCCUAAGUUGAUUUGCACUAUUGUGAUUGCUUUAACUUUUUGAGUAACAUCAAUCCAUGUGGAGGCGAUCUUGAAUACUUAUCACUUUAUUACUUGUUGUGUAUACUUGCACAUUGGCAUUGGUAGUAAUUGCUUAUAAAAAUCAACCAACAACCCCCGAUGCCAAAACUUCACCCAAUGGCUUUGAUACCACUGUUAGGAAAUUAGGAUUCCUUCCAAGAUCACUUGAAACAAUUUGUCAAGCAACAAAUCAACAGAAAAUUAAAUUGAGAACAAUAUUAGUAGCACAACACAAGAUUUACGUAAAAAAACUCUAAAUCUAGAGAAAUAUCACGAUCGUUGUCAAGAGACAGCAAGAGAAAAUAUUCACUAUGUGGAAAAUUAUUCCAACCAUACUUUCAUAAAUAAGUUUCUCUCACCCAAACCCCAAAUACACCUAAAACUCUCAAUUUAAGAGUAGUUGUAUUCAACUCUAAAAUUCUCUCUAAAUAUAAGAGGAAAUGAAUUCUUUGGGAUGAUAAAAACUUAUGAAAAGCUCUCUUCUUUAUAACCAAGCGAAUAACACUAUUCAAACUGUGUUACCACAUAUGUCGUGUUACUGUCCAUGCCACGUUACUGCUCAAGCCGUGUUACUAUUCACCGCGUGGUCAAUCUGUGUUAUUGUUUACCGCAUGGUAAAAUCAUAUUUUUAACUCCUUGGAUCUCAACUAGUGUGAUUUGCGUGGGAAGUUUCCAGAAAAGAUAUUGUAGGUACCUACACUUCAGACUCUUGACUUGUCAUACAGCUCAUUACUUCAAGGUCUUCUACCUAGCUUUCCUGAGAAUUCUUAUCUUUGAAACCUGAACUUAGCAAACACGAGCUUUUUAGGCACACUACCAGAUUCCAUUGGGACCCUUGAAAAUUUGACAAGGGUAGAUCUUAGAAGUUACAAUUUCACAAGGCCAAUUCCCACUUCAAUGGCUAAUCUCGCCCAAUUAUUUCACAUGGACUUCUCAUCAAACCAUUUCUCCGGUCCCAUCCCAUCUCUUCACAAGUCAAGAAAUCUUAACUAUUUAGACCUUUCAUCCAAUAAUUUAAAUGGUGGGAUCCCACCCACCUUCUGGCAAAAACUUUUAAAUCUCAAUAUUUUUGUCUUGUCGCACAAUUCACUGAAUGGAAGUAUCCCAAAAUCUAUGUUUCUAUUUCCAAUUCUAGAGAUACAUCUGCUCUCAAACAACCAGUUUGAGAACCAAUUUCCUGAAAUUUCAAAUAUGUCCUCUUCUGUAUUGCCUGGCCUUGAUUUAAGUGGCAACAAAUUAGAAGGGCUUCUCCCCAUUUCAAUAUUCCCUGAACUUAGAAACUUUCAUACCCUCAAUCUUUCUUCCAACUAGUUUAGCAAAUUGAGACUGGCUUCAAGCAAACCAUGGGUUAUUCCUAUUCUAAAAAACCAAUCACAACUUUCUUUUUUUUAUAUUUCAAAUAACCAAAUAUCUGGAGAAAUACCAAAUUGGAUUUGGGAAGUUGGUGGUGUCAAUCUUUAUUUCUUAAAUCUUUCACAGAAUCUCCUAGUGAGCUUGCAAGAACCAUACCAUAUUUCUGGUAUAUGCUCGCUUGACCUACACUCCAACCAGCUCCAAUGAAAUAUUCCUUACAUGGCACCAAAAACUUCCUAUGUCGAUCACUCCAACAAUAAUUUUCAUAGGUAGAACUUACUCAUUUUCCACUAUAAACAAGAGUCUCAUUGGAUUCAUCCCUGAAUAUAUAUGCAAGGCUACGUAUUUUCAGGUUCUUGACUUAUCAAACAAUAAUUUGAGUGGCUCAAUUCCUGCAUGUUUAAUCACCAAGAGUAGCACCACUUUAGGGGUUUUAAACUUAAGGAGAAACAACCUCGGUGGCACUCUUUCUAACAUAAUAUUUCUAGGAAUUUUUGGGUUGCAAAUUCCACAUCUCAGUGGAAAUCAACUAUAAGGAGUAGUUCUAAAAUCUCUUGCCAACUGCAAUAUGCUGCAAGUUUUAGACCUCAGGAAUAACCAUAUUAGUGAUAAUUUCCCAUGUUGGUUAAGGAAUGCUUUUAGUUUGCAAGUUUUAGUUUUUCGAUCCAAUAACUUCUCUGAACGCAUUAGUUGUCCAAGAAAUAAUGUCUCCUGGCCUCUGCUUAAAAUAGUCGACUUAGCAUCAAGUAAAUUCAGUGGAAGACUUCACAAAAAUGGUUACUUACCAUGAUGGUUAAUGAAAACAAAUCCAAAUCUGAGCUUAACCACCUUGGAUAUGAGACAUGAAGCAACCAAUUAUAUAAAUUUGGAGUAAUAGUUACUGUAAAAGGUGUAGAUCAUACAACCAAAGAUCCCAAAUAUAUUCACUUCCAUUGACUGUUCAAGCAACAAUUUCGAAGGGCCAAUACCAGAAGAAAUGGGACGAUUCAAAUCACUCUAUGCUCCAAACAUGUCGCACAAUGCUCUCAAAGGCUCGAUACCGUCAUCGUUUGGGAACUUGAAACAAAUUGAGUCCUUGGACCUCUUAAUGAACAACCUCAGUGAGAAAAUUCUUGCCUAGCUUGCAAGCCUAAAUUUCCUAUUGGUGCUAAAUCUCUCAUACAAUAACUUAGUGGGAAAGAUUCCGACAAGUACUCAACUCCAAUCAUUUUUACCAACUUCUUAUGAAGGAAACAAAGGAUUGUACAUACCUCCUUUAACAAAUGACAUCCAAACACAUCCUCCUGAGUCACAACCUUUACCACCGCCAGCUUCAAGCAAUGAAAUUGAUUGGUUCUUUAUAGCCAUAUCAAUUGGAUUUGCGGUAAGCUUCGGAGCAGUUGUUUCACCUCUAAUGUUUUUUGUGCACGUAAAGAAAUGGUAUAACGAUCUUAUCUACAAAUUUAUAUAUCGGCGAUUCCGUGUGUGAAGUGAUUUAUAUCUCUCCUUUUGAAUAAUCAUGUAAGCUAGCUUUUGAUUUUCUCUUAUAUCAUAGAUAUUUGAGAUUUCGUUUCUUCUCUGUUUCAUGAAGUUAAUAAAGUUGACAAUAAUUUAAAAUAAGGGCCUAUCUAUAAUUGUUACUGCGACAAUCUUUAUCUCAAAAUUGGCUCCAAGUUAAAUCUAUAUUGGCGCAAUUCGUACACAACAUAUCCCCGUGAGUCCAUACAAAAUUAAUAUGUGCAUGAUUAUGUAUGAUUCCAGCUCCAAGCUAGAUACAUAGCGAUUCAUGAUCAUAUUCCAUUUGUUCACAAGGAAGUUUUAUAAAGUAGAAAUAAGAAUUUAGAAGAUAACAUUUGAGGAAAUGUGUGGGUUAUGAGACCAUCUAAGAAAUUAGCCCAAAAAGGCUUCAGGCCCUUAUGGCCUGGCCAAUUAGUUUGUUCAAAAUAUUAGUUUAUGUUGUAUUUAAUUGUUAGAAUGAGAGUAGCGAGUAUGGAUUCUUCCCACUCUAGUGUUUUCUUUCUUUUUUAAUGAGAGGAGUGGAAGUCUCACUCCUUGGAUCCCACUCAUUUUUUAGUAAUGAAUUGGAUUCUGACAUCUAUAGGGGCCACUUCCACCUCUUCCUUUUUUAUCCUUUUCUUAUCAAAUAUAAUAAAAUUUAUAUUUAUUAAAAAUAAAAUAAUAUUACAUUGUUUAAAAAUAAUAACAUCAUAUUCAUUUAAAUAAUAUUAUUCUAUUUAGUUAAAAAUAAUAAUUUAUGUAAUCUAAGUUAAAAUUACCUAAAAUAAUGCUACCCACAUUCUUGAUUGGCCGGCACACCAACCUUUUCUUUAACCUCAAAAUGACUUUAAAUUUAGGUCAAUAAUUUCUUAGAGGCAUUUAAACAAACCAUUAGUAUGCCAUUUAUUAGAUAUCUUAAUCUUAAGAAAACUAUAAUAUUUUCAUAUCCAAUACAUAUCUAAUGAUUAACUAUGAUCAAUGAUCAAUCAACCAAGCAAUUUAAAAAAAAAAUUAUUCUAAAUUAAUGAAAAAAUCGAGAAAGUACCUAAGCCGCCGAAACCGGAAAUGAAGGAACUUGCUAGAAUCAAACUAUAACUCACACAAAUUACAAUCGGAAGUGAAGCAAAUCGCCGCCGAAAGUGAAGGAAAUUGCUGGAAUUCAAGAAACGCUAGAAGUGAAGAAACUCCUACACGUGUAUAUGGGGUGAUGGGAGAUGUUUUUGGGCGAUGUUGGGCGAAAUAUUUUUUUUUGUUUGUUUAGUUUUGAGAAUUUAUGGAUAUUUUAGUUUAAGAACCUUAUAAAUGAUUGCUAUUGUAAGAAAACAUGGAGUGUGGUUUUUUCUUAUAUUAAAAAUUGGAAGGUGGUCAAAUGGGUAAAUUUCCCAAUAAUUUUCCAACGUGUGUAUGAAUCUUGUGUUGGCUCUUCAUAAAACCUGUAUUGUUAGCUCUAUCCGUACGGCUUUUACAAGUCUGAGGGCUCCACAAGCAAAUUAGCGUUCAGUUUGACGCGAGAUGAAUUGCAUUCAAUCAACUUUUUUUAUUACAAGCAAUAAAAUCACUAUCAAAAUUCAAAUGUUAGCUCUAUCCUUACAAGAUUUUUUGAAGUCUACGGGUCCCGCAAGCAAAUCAAAGCUAGCUUUUGAGUUUGAUGCGAGAACGAAUUGCAUUCAAUCAAUUAUUAGAUUUUUUUUUAAUAUAGUAGAGGAAUAGUGAAAUUUAAAUUAAUUUUUUUAUUAUACUUAUUUCAAGAUUCAAACUCCCGUAAUUAAUUAAGUAAAUCUGUGUAAAAAUCACUUGGCUAAGACUCUUUGGGACUAAUUAUUGGAUAUUAUAACAAAUAAAGACCCUGAUUUUUAUUGGUUCAGUAGGGUCUGAUACUAAUUAAAAUUAAUAUACUGGAGAAGGCAGAAAGAAUCCUAGUUAAUAUAGGCAGCAACGCAUGGAGCCAUGAUUUUGGUUCAACGGGAUCAGAAUCAAGAAACUACGAACUUGGGGAGGCCAAGAUCAACAAUUUGUAAAACGAUGAAGUGAGAGGAUAAGAACAUAUAUAGAGAUUCCAAAGAAAUGGACUAAAUUUUAAUUAAUACCCUUAUCUUCCUAUGAAUUAUAUAAUUAUAAUCUUGUAAUUAUCACAUACUUACUAGGUCCCAACGAUUCCAUUAGUUUCCAAAAUCCUAUCCUUCAUUUCAAAAUUAUUUUAAUUAGUUUCCAAGUCUACACCUAAAAGCUAAAACUUUUAGUUUGCUUUGAAUAAUCCUAAAAGUUUUUGCUUUAAUUUUCUCUUACGCUUACAUUGGUACAACUUUCCAAAUAUAGCUUAUUUAAAUAAAGUUUUUAUCAGUAAAUCUUUUAUAAAUAGCGUUUUUAUAUAAAUAAUUUUAGUUAUUUGUUUGUCAAUGCAAACUUUUAUUAAAAAUUAUAAAAUUAUUUAAUAAGCACGUUUUUUAAAAUUAUAUUAUGAAAUGAAUGAAAUAAAAUUAUCGAAUCAAUAAAUAAUUUUUAGAUGUUUUAAUAUUUUAAAAAACGUUUUUAACCUUUACUCCCAAAGGCCCAAAAUUUGAGUUUUUGCUAGUAAAGAAAAAAUAACUUAUUUAAUUUUUAAAGGCUCUACUAAAAAAAAAUCCAAACAAUGAAAAUAAAUCUUAAAAGAGUUAAUAUAUUUAAAUAAGUACUUAUAUCCAUUACAUAAAAGUAUGCCUAACAUACAUAAUAUCUUAUUUGUUUGAGAUUUCUUUUCUUCUCCUGUUUGAUAAAGUUAAUAAAAUAAUUAACAAGAAUUUCAAAUAAGGGCCUUUAACUUAUGUCAUUGAGACAAUAUUCAUCUCCAAACUGGCUCCAAGCUAGAUAUAUAUUGUACGGGCAAUAUUCAUAGACGAUCUCUAACAGUUCAUACUAAAUUUUAGUUGUAACAAGAUAUAGGCUAUUUGCACCUUAAAAACUACUCUGAACACUCUUGUUUUAAUAAAAUAAUCUAAUUACAAAAUUAGCCAUAUAUAAAUUACUAUUAAGGAUAAUUUAUUUGUGAGCCAAUAUAACUUAAUGACUUUAAAACUCAUAUAAUACACUCAUUAUUUAACAUAUAAUCUUUUAUAUCUAACAUCUUAAAAUAUAAUUCAUUGAACAUGCAGCAAAUCAAUAUUUUAAAUAAUUUUGAAGACAAAAUAUUUGUAAGACUUACAUUUUUCAAGAAAUAAAAUAAACAGAAAUUAUUGCAAAGGUGUUCAUAUUUUUUGUCUUUGAUUUAAAAAUAAAUACAUUAAAGCACUCUAAACCUAGUAACCCAAUCAACAUCUUUUUCUUCUUCUUUUUGUGUCAGAUUACAAUUUGGUUUUCAAUUAUUAUUAGGGUAGUGAAAGUCCAUACUUCUUGAUCUUAAAUAAUUUAUAGGUGCAAAAAUUGAUAUGGAAUACAUUCUUUAAUUAAUAAAAACUAAUAAAUAAAAUUAUUUUAAAAAAUUUGUUUAAAACUUGACUUAAUUCCAUUGUUGCUAGUUAUGCUAUAUUUAUUACAACAAUUUUCUUUGAGUGUGCUGAAUAUUUUUAUUGGUGUUUUCAGUAAAUUAAUUUAAAUGAUUUAAGUGGGAUACUUUUGGCAUCUUAAAGAGUGUACAAAGUAAAAAUUAAUUUUUCAAAUUUAACGUAUGAGUAUAUAAAGUAAUAGAGUGUUUAGAGUACUUUUUAGAGUGUAAAUAGCCCAACCUUUUUAUAAAAAAAAAAAAAAAAAAAAAAAAAAAAAAAAAAAAAAAUUGUAACAAGAUAUUUGUUCAUAGCAUAGAAUGAAAAACAAUGUUAUAAGAAAUGAGCCGAACCAAGUUUUAAGUGACUUACUUCUAUAGUUUUAUGCGCCGGUCUCCUACUAACUUUUUAUUGUCGUAAUUGUGGGCCUAUAAAAAUGGAAGAUUCCUGUAUUUGAUGUACGCAUUUAACCAAAAGAUCCAAUUUUCUUUGUUUUUUUUCUACCAAGUCCUGGCAACAUUAAUUAGUUUGGACUUUUGUAGUACUUCUAGCUCCCAGUUUAUACGUUGGGGUUGUAACUUCUUGGGAACUUCGGCCAUCUUUUUCCCGUUAUAUGAAUUCAUCGCAAAUCCCAAGUUUCAUUACUCCUCUCCGAGUUUCAUUUCAGCAAUUAUUAAAACAAUGCGAUCAAUUUUACUCUUAUCAUGGUCUUUCUUAAUACCCUUUUUACCCAAUUAUUUUGGGAUCCAAAUGGUUUUGGUUUCUGGCCAAUGUCGGAGCGAUCAACAAUCUUUGUUACUCCAAAUGAAGAACAGUUUCAGACUAAGCAAUGACAGUGUCUUUCCAUCUACAAAACUGAGUCAGUAGAGUAGCCAUCAAAGCUCCGAUUGUUGUGAUUGGAGCGGUGUAAGGUGCGAUGAGGCUGGUCAUGUUAUUGGUCUCGACUUGAGCAGGGAACCAAUCAUUGACGGACUUGAGAAUGCGACUGGCCUUUUCGAUCUUCAAUAUCUGCAGAGCCUCAAUCUGAGUUUCACUCUCUUCUACGGAUUCCAAAUUUGACUCACCUGAAUCUUUCCCAGGGUGGCUUCGCGGGGGAGAUUCCCAUUGAGAUUUCAAGCUUGACAAGGUUGGUUACUCUUGAUUUGUCAGGCCUUGAGCACAGGUUGGUUACUCUUGAUUUGUGAGGCCGUGAGCGCUCAAGAGUAUUUUCCUGGAGAAUUGAGAUCCCAAACUUAAGCUUGUUUCUGCAGAACUUAACAGAGCUCAGAGAAUUACAUCUUGAUCGAAUAGAUUUGUCCGCCUCCGGAACUGAAUGGUGCAAAGCUUUAUCAUUUCUACCCAAUCUACAAGUUUUAAGCUUGUCUGGCUGUGAUCUUUCAGGUCCAAUCAAUCAUUACCUGGCAAAGUUACGGUCGCUCUCCGUGAUUCGUUUGUAUGACAAUUACGGUCUAUCCUCAUGUACAGAGUCUUUGGCCAAUCUGCCGAAUUUGAAGACCUUGGAUCUCAGCGAGUGUGGGUUGCAAGGGAAGUUUCCAGAAAAGAUAUUGCAGGUUCCUACCCUUGAGACUCUUGACUUGUCAGAAAACCAAUUGCUUCAGGGUUCUCUGCCAAACUUUCCUAAGAAUUCUUCUCUUCGGAACCUGAUCCUCUCUGGGACGGGAUUCUCAGGCACACUACCAGAUUCCAUUGGGAAUCUUGAAAAUUUGACGUGGGUAGAGGUUAGACGUUGAAAUUUCACAGGGCCAAUUCCCCCUUCAAUGGCUAAUCUUACCCAAUUAUUUCACAUGGACUUCUCAUCUAACCAUUUCUCUGGUCACAUCCCAUCUCUUCACAAGUCAAGAAAUCUUAAGUACUUAGACCUUUCGUUCAAUAAUUUAAGUGGUGGGAUCUCAUCCACCUUCUGGGAACAACUUGUAAAUCUCAAUCUUGUUCUCUUGUCGCACAAUUCACUUAAUGGAAGUAUUCCCAGAUCUCUGUUUCUACUUCCAAAUCUGGAGACGCUUUGGCUCUCCAACAACCAGUUUGAGAACCAACUUCCAGAAAUUUCAAAUGUGUCCUCGUCUGUUUUGUUUGACCUUGAUUUAAGCGGCAACAGAUUAGAAGGGCCUGUCCCCAUUUCAAUAAUUUUUGAACUCAGAAACCUUUAUACCCUCGAUCUUUCUUCCAAUAAGUUUAGCAGAUUGAGACUGGCUUCAAGCAAACCACGGGUCAUUCCUAUUCUAAAAAACCAAUCACAACUUUCUGGUUUGGACAUUUCAAAUAACCAAAUACCUGGAGAAAUACCAAAUUGGAUUUGGGAAGUCGGUAAUGGCAAUCUUAACUUCUUAAAUCUUUCACACAAUCUCCUAGUGAGCUUGCAAGAACCUUACUCUAUUUCUAGUAUCCGCUUGCUUGAUCUGCACUCCAACCAGCUCCGAGGAAAUAUCCCUCACAUGUCAACAAAUACUUCCUACGUCGAUUACUCCAACAAUCAUUUUACUUUCAUCCCAGCUGACAUUGGUAAUUUCAUGUCUGAAACUGAAUACUUUUUCGCUGCAAACAAUAGUCUCGUUGGAGUCAUCCCGGAAUCUGUAUGCAAGGGUAUCUAUUUUCAAGUUCUUGACUUAUCAAACAACAAUUUGAGUGGCACAAUUCCUGCAUGUUUAAUCGCCCAGAGUGAAACCACUCUAGGGGUUUUAAACUUGGGAAGAAACAACCUCAAUGGCACUCUUUCUGACACAAUAUUUCCAAGAAAUUGUGGGUUGCAAAUUCUAGAUCUCGGUGGAAAUCAACUGCAAGGAGUAGUUCCAAAAUCUCUUGCCAAUUGCAAUAUGCUGCAGGUUUUAGACCUCAAGAAUAACCAUAUCAGUGAUAAUUUCCCGUGCUGGUUAGGGAAUGCUUCUAGUUUGCAAGUUCUAGUUUUGCAAUCCAACAACUUCUCCGGACACAUUAGUUGUCCGAGAAAUAAUGUCUCAUGGCCUCUGCUUCAAAUAGUCGACUUAGCAUCCAAUAAAUUCAGCGGAAGACUAUCACAAAAAUGGUUACUUACCAUGGAGGAGAUGAUGGUUGCUGAAACCAAAUCCGGAUCUGAGCUCAAACACCUUCGAUAUGUGAUAUCGAGCAACCAAUUCUAUGAGGUUGGAGUAACAGUUACAGUAAAAGGUGUAGAGACCAUGCUACUGAAGGUCCCAAAUAUAUUCACUUCCAUUGACUUUUCAAGCAACAAUUUCGAAGGGCCAAUACCAGAAGAAAUGGGACGAUUCAAAUCACUCUAUGCUCUGAACAUGUCGCACAAUGCUCUCACAGGCUCGAUACCAUCAUCUUUUGGGAACUUGAAACAAAUUGAGUCCUUGGACCUCUCAAUGAACAACCUCAGUGGGAAAAUUCCUGCCCAGCUUGCAAGCCUAAAUUUCCUAUCGGUGCUAAAUCUCUCAUACAAUAACUUAGUGGGAAAGAUUCCGACAGGUACUCAACUCCAAUCAUUUUCACCGACUUCUUAUGAAGGAAACAAAGGAUUGUACGGACCUCCUUUGACGAAUGACAGCCAAACACGUCCUCCCGAACUUCAACCUUCACCGCCGCCAGCUUCAAGCGAUGAAAUUGAUUGGUUCUUCAUAGCCAUGUCAGUUGGAUUUGCGGUAGGCUUCGGAGCAGUUGUUUCACCUCUAAUGUUUUCCGUGCGGGUAAAUAAAUGGUAUAACGAUCUUAUCUACAAAUUUAUAUAUCGGCGAUUCCGUGUGUGAAGUGAUUUAUAUCUCUCCUUUUGAAUAAUCAUGUAAGCUAGCUUUUGCUUUUCUCUUAUGUCAUAGAUAUUUGAGAUUUCUUUUAUUCCCUGUUUGAUGAAGUUGACAAUAAUUUGAAAUAAGGGCCUAUCUAUAACUGUUAUUAAAUCUUUAUCUCAAAAUUGGCUCCAAUUUAGAUCUAUAUUGGCUCAUUUCACACGCAAUAAAUCUUCGAGAGUCCGUACUAAAUUAAUAUGUGCAAGAUUGUGUAUGAUUCCUACACCAAGCUAGAUACACAGCGAUUCAUGAUCAUAUUCCAUUUGUUUACUUGGGAAGUUUUAUAGAGUAGAAAGAAGAACUUAGAAGAUAACUUUUCAUGAGUCCGUCCAAGAAAUGAGCCCAAAAAGGCUUCGGGCCCUUGUGGCCAAGCCUAGUAGUUUGUUCAAAAUAUUAGUUUAUGUUAUGUUUAAUUAUUGAAAUGAGAGUAAAUAGUAUGAAUUCUUUCCACUUCAAUGUUUUCUUGUUUAUAUAAUGAGGGGAAUGAGAGUCCCACUCCAUGGAUCCCACUCAUUUUCCGAGUAAAGAGUGGGAUUCUCACUUCUACAGGGGCCACUCCCACCUCUUUCUUUAUUAUCAUUUCUUUAUCAAAUCUAAUAAAUUUUAUAUUUAUUAAAAAUAAAAUAAUGUUACAUUAUUUAAAAAUAAUAGCAUCAUAUUUAUUUAAAUAAUAUUAUUAUGUUUAGUUAAAAAUAAUAAUUUAUGUAAUCUAAGUUAAAAUUACCUAAAAAUAUUAUUAUUAUAUUCAUAGAGAAUUAAUAUUAUUACAAUAUACUAUCUUUAUUUUAAAAAAUAAUAUUUUAUAUUUAUUUAAUAUUAAUAAAUAGUUUAUUUUAAGAAAAUAUUAAUUAUGUACUAUAUUAUUAAUAAUAAUGUUUCAUUUUUUGCUCUUAUAAUAAUUUUUAAUUUACAUAAUUAAAAUUAAUAAAAAAUUAUGAUUUACAUGAUUAAGAAUAUUAAUAAUUAUUAGUAAUUUAUGUAAUUAUAUAAUUUAUUUUAUAAAUAUAUUUUUUAUUUACUUUAUAAUUAAAAACUACAAUAUUUUAAAUAAGGGUAAAAGUGUAAUUUAAAAUAAUUUACUCCUAAUCCAAGUCAAAGUAAAAAUAUAUAAAUACGAUUCUCCUAUUCCACACUCUCCUUUCAAUGUAAGUAAACAACAUAUUUUCAAUUCCAUCACUCUUACUUUUAAAUAAAUGAAAAAGAAAAACUCUCAAAUAAACAAAUAAAAGCUUUUAUGUAUGUGCCCCAAUAACAUUUUUAUUGUCAAUUAUUUUGAGUUAUUAAUAUUGUGCAAUUUUUACAUUGAAUAUAGUUGUACAUAAUUUAUCUAACUUUAAUAUUAUUUUUGUUACUGACUUGUGUCUCAGCUAGGGGUGGGCAAAUUGGGUUUCGGUUCGGGUUGUUCGGGUUUCGGUUUGGGUUUCAACCCGUUCGGGUUGGAGAAUUGAACCCAAUCGGGUUGAAAACGCCAACUCGAACCAAACCGAACCGAAUUUAAUUCGGUUCGGUUCGGUUUGGGUUGGCAAUUCGGAUCGGAUUGGGUUGAUAAUUCGGGUUAACAUAUCGGUUCGGGUUAGUUUGGGUUAGAAUAAUUCGGGUUAGUUCGGGUUAAUCAAUUAAUUAAUUAACAAUCUCUAAUUUAAUUAUUAAUAACAGCAACAAACCCACUCCAAUUUAAUUAAUAACAGUCUCUAAUUGUUCAAUUAUCAGUAAACCCACUCCAAUUUAACUAAUAACAAUCUCCAUUUGUUUAAUUAUCAGUCAACAACAACAAACACACUCCAAAUAAUUGAAUAAUUGCCAAUCAAUUAAUUAAAAAUAUAAAAUUUAAUUAUUAGUCAAUGAAGCUCAAUUAAAACUACGUUACAGCUCAAUUAAUUAUUAGUCAAUGAAGCUCCAUUAAAACUACGUUACAGCAUUGAGUUAGUAAUAGGAAAUUCGAAAUUCGAUUCGGGUUGUUGCCAUCAGCUGCAAGCAAGUCAGCAAGUUACAGGCUUACAGCGUCGGCAAAGCGAGACAAACCUUGAUCUCGGAGCAGCUACAACGUCGGCAGAUCGAGACCGUGUUGGGCUGAGUGGGACGCGAGGUGAACGCACGGCGCAGUUGCGGGUGAGGCGUGCUGGCUGACGGCGAGUGGGCUGCGGUGAACGGCUGGUGUCUGUUGGAGUUGGACGAGGCUGCUGGCUAUUACUGUCGUCGUGGCCCACGAAACUCGGAAGAGGGAGUAAGGAGGGAGGGGGAGGGAGAGACGGUGAGACCGAGAGUUUAGCUAAUUAGCUGCUUAGGGAUUUUUUUCAUUUAAUGUAUGGACUUGACUAGCUUACAGAAUCUGGAAGCUACAGACUGCAGCAUCAGCCAUUGGAUGUGGAGUGAGAAACUAAACAAUAGAAAUCAGAUGGUGGGAUGACGGGUAUGUAUAUAUAUUUUUAAUUUUUAAAAGCUGAAUCUUAAAAAAAAAAAAAAAAGGCUUCAACCCGAACGGGUUGAGAAUUCGGUUCGGGUUGAACCCAAACUAAAUUUUAACCCGAAUGGGUUGAAGCUUUGAAUCCGUUGGGGUUUCACCGGUUAACCCAAACCGAACCGAAUCCGAAAUAAAUUUCGGGUUUGGUUCGGUUCGGGUUAACCCGAACCGAAUGCCCACCCCUAGUCUCAGCCAUUAGCCAAGUGGUAAACUCUAACUCUUCCAAGUCCUCUUAAAUUUUACUCUCCUAAUUAAAAAUUACGUAAAGAUAUGAAUUUUCUCUAUUGAUUUUUGUAGGUAGAACAAAUAACCUUCCAGUAUUUGUAAGAUAGAAUUAUAGGUUAUGCUAUAAUAGAGUUGAUCUAGAUGGUUUAUGAGUAGACUUCUAAUUGUAUAAUACAUAUUAGUAAGGGGAAAAAGACAUCUCCACUUGCAAAAUGUGGAGAAGUAGUCACCAACACUCCUAAGUUUUCAUAAAAGGAUGUUAAGACUCAUUUUGACUAUUAUACUCUUUAUCUCUAUUAUUCCCCAAAAAAAUAGACUUUAAAAUGUUUAACAAAUACAAAUAUUAUAUAAAUAAUGUAAUCUAUGCAGCUGACUAAUAAUAUUUUAAUAUUUUAAUAAAUUUAAAUAUAUAAAUUAUUAUAUUUAUUUUAAUAAUAUGUUUUUAUUUAUUGUAGAGACUUAAAAUAAUAUGAAUGAAUUGGAAACCAAUCUUCACAAAGAAAGAAAAGUUAGCCUUCACAUGGAAGUAUGGAAGGAAAGACUAACCUUUAUAAAGAAGGAAAAAGCAACCUUCAGAAGGAAAGAAAGACAAAAAGAUGAAAAUGGGGAAAAAAGUUAUUAAUAGUAAAUAACACUAAUUAAUAAUUAGUAAUAGUGACACUUAAUAUAAUAAAAUUACAUUAAAUUAAAAUAAAAUUGAAUAGAAACAAAUACAAUAUCAAUUAUCACAAUGCAAUUAGUAAGUGUCUAUUUGCUAUGACUUGUCUAAUAGUUUUAAGUAUUUAUUUAAUCCCAUAAGCUCUUAAUCAAAUUUUUUGUUAUUGUUUGAUUAUUUGUUUAGUAGAAUUUUUUUAAUAUUAAAUAAGAUAUUUGGUGUCCACUAUCAAAAGCUUAAAUUUAGGACUUUUGAGAGUAAAAGUUGAAAUUUUUUUUGUAAAAUACUAAAAUGUUUAAAAUAUUAUUUACUUAUUUGACAACUUUAUUUCAUUAUUUUUCAUAACCUAACUUUAAAAAACUUACAUAUUAAAAUCAUUUUUAUAACUUUUAAUAAAAUAUUGACAACCAAAAAAUAAAUUUUUUUGCGUAAAAUAUCUAUUUGUAAAAACUCUGCUAAUAUAAACCCAUUUAAAUAAACUGAAUUUAAAAAGCUACAACCAAAAUACAACUAGAAUUGUUUUUUUUAAUAUUUAAUUGUCGGGCUGAAGGAUCGGACUCAGACUUUCUUGAUUAACCCCUAGACCGAGCCCGAUCCGACUCGAAGCCUAAAAGUGGAGCCGAAGCCUGACUGGGCCGGGCGCUCACUUUUCUGCCAUCCCUAGCGGCAACUCAACUCAAGCCUUGGCUGGAUGGUCGUAGUUUUUGCGCGUUUCAGUUGACAGGCGUUGAUACAGGCUACACGGGGUAUGCGCAGAGUCUUAACCUACACCCACAACAUUUCUCCUCUGUCCUCUCUAUAAAUAGCUUUUCUCUUUUACUUCUCGUUUCCCUCUUCUUUCAAAAUCAUCACCGAAUCAACAAAUAAUCUUUCGCUCUGUCACUCACCAACUAAAUAUCACGAAACGAUAAAAAAUUAGCAAGUUAAUAGCAAAUUAACUGAACUGCUUCAAGCAAUAAUGGCUACUUUCGGUGCUGCUGCCGUUGCCACCAAUCAAAACCCUAACAAGUCCAUCGAGGUAUACUUUAUUUAUUUAUUUUCUUUAUUAUUUUUUCUUUUCGAUAAUCUUUAAAAAUUAUUUACCGUUAAAUUUCUUGUCGGUUUCUUGUGUAUGAUGAACUUGGUGACUGUUGAAUUAAUGCUUAUGGUGAUGUUAUUAUUAGGAUUAAGUAGAAAGUUAUAUAAAUUAUUUAUUAUAUAUUUUUGUCAGGGUUAAGCUUAAUUGCUUGUGUUAAUGUAAAAAUUAAUUCUACAUUUUCGGAUAAAGAUUUUUUUUUUUAAUGCUAAAUAUGUAUGCGAAGCUAUGAUCAUUUGUUUGCUUGCUGUCUUGCUGAACGGAUUGUUGAAAGCGAACCAAUUGCUAAGCUUGUGAAUGUGUUGGAGUUUCAGUGUAAAAGAACAGUAGUUAGUAAGUGAAUCAUCAGGCUUGCUAGUAGUGCUUGGUAGUUUAUAGUGUGAUUUUCAUACAGAAGACAUUGAAGUAAGAAUUUUCACUUCUUCUUUUUAUAUGAAUUUAAAAUUGCAGUCUAUGUGGCAUUUUGGUUCGGGCAGUAAAUUGCUUUUAUUAUUAGAAGUUCAUCUGUUAGAAGUCUUCAUUGUGUAGUUGAGUGUAAUGACCUUCUUGCUAAGUUGGACAAUAUGUGCACGUGGAUAGUUAAGUGGUCAGUUCACAUGACCUCAAACAGAAGAGUGGCCAUGUUGUGUUCAGAUGAAUGAAUGGAAAUGUUGGGCGUGUUUAGUUCUGCCAUGCUAACCUGUACUGACAAUUACCGAUGCUCAAAGUGGAUAUGAGCUGGCAGGGGCUAUGGACUCUCAAAUUGUCGGCACUCUUUUCCCAUACUUAUAUAAUUUAGGCGUUGUUUAAAGAGAAACGCCCUUGAUGAGUGCUUUAAUAUCGUAGGUUUUUGUCUUUCUUUCUUCUCUAAGUUGUGUGUCAUGCUCUUUUCUUUCUCCGUUAUAUCCUUUCAUUUCUGUUUGGUAUCUGAUGUGGUCAACAGUUUACUGUGUCUCCAUGUGGUGCCAUGUGCACUUUGUAUGAUUUUGCGUGUAGUUGAUCAGUCACUUGUACUCUCUUGAUGUUCUUGUAUUUGAGAUCUUUAUCCUCUUGAUGUUUCAAUAUGUAAUUAGGUACUGGGAUACAAGGCAGCCAAAUCCUGUGCGCACUCAACAGCUGCCUGAUCGCUGCUAUGCGCUCCGCUUAUGGUUGUUGGAACUGCAGAUAGAAAUCUAGUUGUCUUCAACUUGCAGAAUCCUCAGGUAUCGUUUUUUAUUCCAUGAGAGCAUUGAUUUAUAUGUGUAAAUUAAAUGGGCAAAUUUGGUGCUGGCAGCUGAAGCAUGUGUUUUGAGUGGCAGCAGUUGCUGUGACACUAGUAGUUGGUUGACUUUGAUUUAAAAUUUAACUUGAACCCAUCUUUUUUAAUGUGGAAUGGAAACAAUAAUUAUUUGUUGACUGUUUUUGGAAUUGAAAGCUAUCCUACCGUAUGGAACCACCUUCCCUUGUAUUCAAAAGGGUUCCUCAAUGUCAUGGAGCAUCCUGUAUAAAAUUAUUGUAUGAUUUCUUUUGUUGCCAGAUAUUUUUCUUCUGAUUGGUGUUGUCUGGAAAAAGGUUAUUUCUCGAUAUCAUUUUGUUUGUGUACAAGGAGGAAUGGAUACUAUAAUAAACUGGUCUACUGAGAAGAGCUUGAUGUUUGUAGAUUUGCCAACAUAUAUACACUACAGUUAUAGUAUGUAUUUCCAUGUCUUCAAUAUUCCUUUUUAAUUGAAAAAAAUAGCAAUUUGGAAUGUGUUUAUUUGCCUUAUAUCUUUCAAUUUUAGUUGAUAAUUUCAGUCAUGCUUUAUCUGUUCUUAUGUGAUGAUGAUAUAAAUAAGAUAUAAUAGCUCCUAGAAAUUUUGAAAUCUGGCUAAUUUAGAAAUUUGAACUAAAGGUUGGGUACAAUACUAUAUCUUCGUACACUAUCAUGAGAGUUUAGAUAACGGUUUCCGCAUUACCUGUAUUACAAUUUACCAUAUAUGGCACAUGCUUAUUGCAACAUAAAAAUGGUCAAGAGGCGAUGAAUUCUUGUUACUAUUUAACUUUUUUGUUGGGUAUUUAUUGAUUUCCAUAUUUUACCUUCAUGUAUUGUUCUUUUUAUAUUUUGUUUCACUUAUUUAUAUCUAAUAUAUGCAUUUUCUUCCGAGUAUGUCUAAUCAUUGUUUAAUGCUACCAGACUGAGUUCAAGAGAAUCAAUUCCCCUUUGAAGUACCAGAUGAGAUGUGUUGCUGCCUUUCCUGACCAGCAAGGUUUCUGGGUAUGCAUUCAUUUAUUUUGAUCUCUCUUUUCUCGUUCCUCAUGGUCUUUAUGCUCGAAAUAUGAGGCAUUGUCAAUUGGGUUGCAUAUUCCCAUGUUUCAAAAUUUGCUUCCCCUGCCAGCAAUGAGGGGCUAAGUUUAGCCUCAAUUACUUAUUCCACUUUCAUCAACAUUGGCUCCAACUUCUUUUCAUUGAGAUCACUGUCUUUUCUUCUAAUCUUUGUGCUUCUCUUAUUUUUUGGUUGUUGAAUAUGGUGUUAUUCCGAUAGGUUGGUUCAAUUGAGGGAAGGGUCGGCGUUCACCAUCUUGAUGAUUCACAGCAAAGUAAGAACUUCACUUUCAAAUGCCACAGAGACGGUAGUGAGACAUGCUCUGUCAUCUCAUUCACUUCCAUCCUGUAAGCUUCCUUUUAGUGCUUUCUGAUUUCAAAUUUUCAGUUACAUAAAACGUUCGAGAUGUAAAACUUAGAAAUAAAAGUAUACAUUGGAGUGAUAUAAUAGCUCAUUUUGAGGUAACUUUAGUGAUGCCACCCAUGUCUUACAUAAUUUUUCCCAGUAUUUGUAAUUUCUCUAAAGAUUAGAGAUCUUUCAAGUAUUAGAUCUUGGUGCCCUUAAGAUGUUGGUAUCAUAGGAAUUUUUAUCCAACAGUGGAAAUGUACUUUCUUUUGUGAGGAUUUCAAUGCUCAGUGCAUAUACUUUUGCUGUUAUUAACAUCAUAUGUUAUCAUUUAAGAUUUGUAGAGCAGGAGAUGCACCUAAGUAUUCUUCAUUUUAUAAGGUGAAGCGCCUACAUCUAUUUGUCAAAUCUCAUGUAAUUGUUCUUUUUGUCCAGAUACAUCACACUUUUGCAACUGCUGGAUCUGAUGGUGCAUUUAAUUUUUGGGACAAGGAUAGUAAACAGCAGCUCAAGGUGUUUUGACUUUCAUUCAGUACUUCAAUAACAAUUAUUGUUGUUGUCGUUAUUGUUCUUCCUAGAUGAAAUACAUAAAACAAUGUGAUUUUUACUGGAUUUUCAGGCCAUGUCAAGGUGCGGGCAACCUAUACCUUGCAGUACAUUCAAUAAUGAUGGCUCGAUAUUUGUGUGCUUGGUAAAUAAAUUCAUCCAUCUUCCUAAAGUCGACUUGGAGUCUCUUAUCAUCCUACUUUUCACACAUGUUGGGAUAUAUGCUUAAGUUCAAGAUAAUGGCAGGAUUCUAGAAAUCCACGCCUCUUUCAUUCUGUCUGUUUGCAUGAUGCUUAGUCUUCUAUGGCUCAUGUUAAUUCAAUGUUACAUGAAUUUGCGUUUCCAUGAAAUUAAACAACUAAAAUUUCUGGUUCUUCCUGCUAUGUUCUGAUCCUGGCAUGGCAUAGUGCAUUGAUUUCUUGGACAUUUAAACUUAAACUAGAAAAGUGUCAUUCUAAAUCUUAUCUUGCAUUUCCUGUAGGUGUGUUAUGACUGGAGUAAUGGGGCAGAAAAUCACAACCCUGCAACAGCAAAGACUUAUAUCUAUCUGCACUUGCCACAGGUUCGUUUACUUUUUUGUUCAUAUACUACCAUCAAUAGCGUAUCUUUGAUCUCUCAAUUCUUGAGGAUCACCAAUAAUCCCAUAUCAUCCAAAAUCUAUUUUGAAAAUAUUUCAAAAAAUCAUUCAAAAUAUGUUGGCUCAAGCUCAACAAAGCAGAAAAUCAAUGGGCCUACAACAACGAUAAAAUGAUUAUGAUAUGUCUUGAUCUUAUUGCAAGUGUGACAAUAAUAAAAAUUCAAGUUGUUUACAGUAUAUGCAAAUUAUCAUUACUCUUCAAUGUCUAUUUGAAUGUGCAUCAUCAAUUAACCGCAAAUUGGGUUCUUAUAAUCAUGAAUCCAAAUUCAAGCCAUUCAAUGGUUUAGCCCAUUUUAGUAGGCUUAUCAAUUUUAAUUAAAAGUUUAUUAGACAAAGUUAAUGCAUAAAAAUAGAGUGCUUUAAAGUAAAGCAUACAUUAAGAUUUUUAUGUGAUUUGAUGUCCAAAUCCCUACUUCUACGAAGCCAUGCUCAAAUAUCAAGUGAUUCAUUAGAUUUAAGAGAUUAGAAACUAUUGGAACCUUAUAUAUUAUAUGAGACUCUCUCUUGGUGAUUGCUGCCAUCUUGUUAUAAUCUCACCAAGUGAAAACUUUAUGUGCACCACACAUUUUUUGCUUCCUCUUCUUAGUAAGACUUUUAAGUCAACAGUAUGUCGCCACUCUAUAGAAUUUAUAUUCUAUGAACACGUGGUCCCUUCUCCCAUCUCCCAAAAAUACUAAAGAUAAUGUCUCUCAAUUAAAGAAUGAUCCGAAGGUUGUAGCCUUUGAUGUAGAAUCAUUCUACUGCUCCAACGAUUUUUACUCCGCAAAAACUGGAUGACAUGGCCAUCGAGAUGAUCAUAAAAGAAGUUGGUAGAAUUAAAGUUUUAUAUUCUGUAUGCUUGUUUGUCUGGCUAGAAAAUGAAGGAAAUUUUGUUGACUUAGAGAGGCAAAUCAGAAACUGAAUUCAUUAUGAUUUGAUACAAUAGACUGAGAUUACAAUACAGUAUAUAUAUAGUAGCAUCUGGAACUUUGUGAAUGUAGCAGAAUCAUAUGCGCACACUGCUAUUCACCACAACAUUUUGGUGGGAAAUAACAGACUUAUAACAAACUUUUAACAACAUGCAUAAUAAUCUUCCAGUAGCUUCCAGUAGCGUGGCAUCUGAUUCAUUACUUCACUUAACAAUUUGCUGACAUCACAGAGCCUCACAGAGCUGACUCAACUUAUUCUUAACAGGUAGUGGACAAUCAAGAAGACAGCAGACACCAAGGCAACAAGAAUAAUGAAAAUUGCAAAGUGCGCGAUCCGUUGAUAUCCAUGAUCAAAUGAUUAAUUUUUUUCAAAUCAAGGAGUGUUUUUAUUAUCAGAAGUACCAUGUUUACUGAUUAUAAAGAAUUGUUAAAUAUAAAAUUAGCAGUAAAAUAAUUGUUAAGCAAAUAAAAAUCUAUCCAAUCACUGUAAAGGCUUUUCCAAAUCUAACAGCAUAACACAAAAGUAUUAUUUUUUUUUCUUUUUUCAUUUUUUGAGAAAUCCUUUAUUCUUUUUUAAUUUGUUGCAAAUAUAUACAUACGAUUUAAAAUAACUAAAAAUUACAGGACUCUAAAUUAGCAAUAAUCUCGAAAAUCUGUUCUUAUUAAUGUUGCCUUGGUGGAAAUCGACCUUAUUUAAAGAGAAUGAGCCCCAUGCCAUUGGGCUACAAGCACAAGCGGCCCACAAAUAGUAGAGUAUCUAAAACAGUAAAAUUAUAUCAUCUCCAUUGUCCAGAACACUUUAUAUAUGCAUUUCCAGUUUUCCACUGUAUAUACUAAUAUGCAUCCCUAGUAUACUUUAAGCGUUGAAGAGGUCUGAUGGAAAAAAAAAAAUGAUUAGAAUCCUUCGUUUCUAGCGGAUCAUAAAAGGCUUUAUUAUUUUCUUUUUCGAGUGAUGCUUUUUACAAAUAAAAAUGCACAAAGCUAGUAAAAGAUGAAUCUAUUCACUUUAUCAAUUCAAUAAUGAUAUGGCACAAAUAAUUUUAUACAUAUUGGUAUGUACAAACUGAUGUGGCAUAAAGAAAUUUAUUGAAAAGUGACAUAUUAUUUUUUUUAAUUAUGUGAAUCCACGAUGGUUUUAUAGAACCAACCUUCGAUUUUUUAAGAUUGUUAACAGCAGAGGGGUGAUAUUCAAAAUUAUUGAUCGAAUAGGUAUAACUUAUUACCUGAUUCUUCUUUAAUUACAAGAAUUCUGAUCAUCGAAGGUUUUUGGGCCUUCCCAAAUCAAACUUGGCUGUGGUUGGACUGAUCAUUUCUUUUAGUAUUCUCACAGUAGAUCACUUUCACAGUUAAUUGGAACUCCACUCGUGAGUCACGGCCGCGGUAAGUGUAGAUUUGGGAACUAGCUAAAGUCUUAGUAUUAGGACCUGUUUGUUGUUAUAUAUGAUAAUCAACACAAAUCAGUCUAAUGAUUCAACGUUUAUGAGUCGGCACGCAAGACUUAAUUGGAUAAGACUAUUUUCAGCGUCAAUCAUAUUUUAUACGUUCUAAAAGAAAAGUCUUUGUUACUUUCUAAUUAGUAAAUUUCCUUUAAGAUGAACUGUAUCAACUGGGGCUAGUAAUCAGUUGAGCUCAAUGGAGCGUUAUGUAGUCAUCACUGUUGUUAAUUUAGUAAUGGCUUCAUUCGUCGCCUUAAUAUUAACAUUCGCUGCGAGGCCUUCUGUAAUCGUCUUGAUGCUGCUGACCGCAACUGCGUGUGGGAUGAUACCCUUGGGUUUGAUUAUUUUUUGUUAUGUGAAGAGAAAUCCGGAAAGCAAAGGUACGUAAGAAUAGUUAAUUAAUUUAUCACGCAUAGCAUAUAUAACAUAUGAUUGUUUGAUCGAGUAUAUAGUACGAAUAUUUUUUAUGUCUUCACCAUUCAGGGGAGGAUUUGAUGCGAUUUGAUUUGGGUAUGAACCGACAAGCUAUUAACAUAGAGCUUACUGAAGCAAAUAAGCAUGGAAACGGUGGAAAAAAGCAAAUUGAAUUGCCCUUUUUCAGUUUUUCCAGUGUUUGUGCAGCCACAAAUAAUUUCUCUGCCACAAAUAAACUCGGGGAAGGUGGUUUUGGUCCUGUAUACAAGGUAAAAUUUUAAUUUUGGCAACAAGCUUAUGGACUAAUUAUUAUUUAACAAGAACUACAAUUUCAGGGAGUAUUAGCAAAAGGAGGUGAAAUAGCUGUCAAAAGGCUUUCAGGAAGAUCUGGACAAGGAUUGCGAGAGAUGAAAAAUGAAGCUUCAGUGAUAGCCAAGGUUCAGCACAAGAAUCUUGUUAGACUUUUGGGCUGCUGCAGGGAUAAAGAUGAGAAGAUUCUGAUCUAUGAGUACAUGCCUAACAAAAGCUUGGACUUCUUUCUUUUCGGUUAGUUAUUGCAUUUAUUCUUACAUGUUCCUUACUUCAAAUUUUAUUCAUACAUUUGUUUGAACUAAUAUUUAAUAAAUAAAAUUACAUAUCAAAAAUUUAUUUCAAAAUUUAUUUAAACUAGAAUUUAGCCUAUAUUACAUUUCCAAUUUUUAUUCAUUAAUUUAUGUAAAAUAGCAUUUAGCAUUUAAUUUAAGAUUAAACAUAUAAUUACAUUCAGUAAUUUAUUCAAACUACUACAUAAUACUAAAUAUCAAAAUUAUUCAAUUAUUAAUUUAUAUUGAAAUUGAAUAUCUAAUAUAAUAUUCAAUAAUUAACAAUAUAAAUUUAAGAAAUAAUCAUACUUUUUAAAUAGCUUUUUUAACUUCCAUAAACUAAAUUUAAUAUUAGUGGCGAAGCUAGCACUAUUUUUUGGGGUGGGCUAGAUUUUUUUUUUAAAAUUCAAUUACUUCUCAAAAAAAUUAUUCUAUACAAAUAAAAUGAUUAAAAUACACUAGACAAGCAAGAAAAACUAAUAACAAAACUAUAAAAGUACAAUGUAAAUAAAAAAAUACUAUCAACGAAAUUUUGUCAUGUGAUUCUCCAGAAAAGAAAACUCAUAUAUCGUAUCUGAAUUAUAUUAUCUGCGAUAGUAAUACAGUAGAGAUAUUAUCUGCGAUAAUAAUACAUUAGAGAAUUAUUAAUUAUUUUAUCAAAAAUUUUGACAAAAGUAUAAGCUAAUAACUAAUUCAAAAACAGUAUGAGCAUGUGGGUGCGGCAGAGGCUAGCUGCCACCCAUGAGGUGGCAACUUGAUGACUUGAACAAUUGAGUUUUGGGGAAUUUAAACUUUGGAUAAUUAGAUCAAUUAGUUAGGGAUUUAGGUGAGUUUUUCGAUUUAGAGAAAAUAGAUAUUGACUAUAAUUAUUAGUUAUAUUUUUAUAUUUUACUAUAAGUUUUUUAAAAAGAGUAAAUUUAUAAUUAAUUAAUUUUUUUUCAAAAAACAGCCCGGGUUAGCCCCCUCAUAACUUCGCCCCUAUUUAAUAUGAUCUCGUCCAAUACUAAACCAAACACAAAACGUGACUAUAAAAUAAUUCAGUCUUAUCGAAUCCAAUUAAAUCUUAAUAACUAGUCCAAUCCAAUCCUUUGUUUACCUAACCUAAAAGAAUAUUUAACAUUUACUAUUUCAUUUAGCUAUUUUUAAGUUUAAUGAUUAACAUCAUCCAAUUAUCAGAUUUUUUAUUAAAAAAAUAAAAUUAAGUCACUAGAUCAAUUUACGUUAGAUAAUGUAGUCUACAUUUUUUUUUGUUUUCAUGCAUAAUGACGUUUAGUUCUUUUGUUGUAAAUUAGAUCCAACCAAGCGAAUGUUAUUAGAUUGGGUAACACGUCUUCGGAUUAUUGAAGGGAUAGCUCAAGGGCUUCUUUAUCUUCAUCAAUAUUCGAGAAUGCGAAUCAUUCAUCGAGAUUUAAAAGCCAGUAACAUCUUGUUGAAUAAAGACAUGAAUCCCAAAAUAUCAGAUUUUGGAAUGGCAAGAAUUUUUGGAGAAAAUGAGUUACAAGCAAACACUAGUAGGAUCGUCGGGACUUAGUAAGUGAAUGACACAAAUCAAAAUUAAAGUGAUUAAGUUAUGCAUAAAUUACUGAUUAUUAUUUAUCAAUUAUUGAAUUACAGUGGUUAUAUGUCCCCCGAAUACGCAUUCAAAGGAAUAUUUUCAAUUAAAUCUGAUGUGUUUAGCUUUGGAGUAUUGUUGCUUGAGAUUGUAAGUGGCAAGAAGAACACUGGAUUUUAUCGAACCGACUAUCUCAAUCUGCUGGGUUAUGUACGUAACAAAAGUCGUUGCACAUAUUCUUUUUAUACUACUUAGGUGAAAUUAUAUAUUAAUUCCCACGUCAUGCUUAGGUGUGGACACACACUUUUACAAUGUGAAAACGUUUGGAUUUUUGCACCUGACUAUUUUUAAACUAUUCUCUAUAUCAAGUGUACAACUAUCUAAUAACAUCGUAUGGUUGUUCAGGCAUGGGAUCUGUGGACAAGCAACAGGGCAUUGGAGUUGAUUGAUGAUCCAGUAUUAGAAGAUGAAUAUUCCUCCAAGCAUAUGCUUUUAAGAUAUGCGAACAUUGCACUCCUUUGUGUACAAGAAAGUGCUGAUGAUAGACCCACCAUGAAUGAUGUUGUAUCCAUGCUGUCAAAUGAAGCUGCAGCAUUACUUCCUCCGAAACAACCUGCUUUUUCGUACGUAAGAAAUACAGUCACUUCAACAUCGUCCACGGGCAAGACAGAAGAUUGUUCAAUCAACCAAGUAACGAUUUCACUUUUAGAAGCGCGCUAACUUUUAUUUUAAUUCAUACACUUUGGGGUUAGGUUGUUCUAAUUACUCCUCUGAUCCAAUAUUUGAACUGAGUUUCCUGUUUUUGACUCGCUGGUACGUACCGACCAUUUCUCAGAGUUUAAAUUAAAGUUUAAAUUAAUUUUUUAUUUUUUAUUUUCUCCAAGAUUCAAACUUACUUAGGUGAUAAUGUAAAUAAGACUAUUUGAAAACUACUAUACUAAACUCCUGAGACUAAUUAUUAGAUAUUAUAUGGAGUAAUGACCCUGAUUUUUAUUAAUUCAACGGGAUAUGAUACUAUCACGAGUCUGAUAUAUAAAAGGCCAUGCAUGGAACCAUUAUUUUCGUUCAAUGGGAUCAGAAUCAAGAAACUACGAACUUGGGGGAUAAAAUCAACAAUUUGUAAACCGACAGAGGGAGAGGAUCAAAACAUAUGUAAAGUCCAAGGAGAUGAACUAGAUUUCAAUUAACGCCCUUAUCUUGCUAUGAAUUAUAUAAUUCUAAUUCAAGAGAGACACUUUUAAAUAAAAAUUUAGACGUAAUAUUCUGACCAUUAUAUUAAAGCUAACCAAAAGUUGAUAUUGAAGUUAACAUGCCUUUUUUAAGUUUUAAAAACUAAAAAAUUAAUAUAAUAGAUCUCCAUAUAAUAAUAAAUUAUUAAUUAUUCGUCUCUCUUAAUAUAUUCCCUCUUUUAUCUCUUUUUUUUCAUCCGCUUACCCUUUUAUGUCUUGCCUACAUUAAUUAGUUUGAACUUUUGCAUGGCAUCAGUGCAAAAACUUAACCGACUGAUAGAGCUGAAAUGGACUUAAAUUUUAUUUUCACUCAUUGACUAUUUUCAUGCAAAAUUAUUUUGUCCAUCAAAAUUCGUAGCAGGACAUAUAUAUUCGUUUCUAUGUGUACAUAUUAAAAAUAAAAUAAAAUAAAAUAACAAGGAGAGAAAGGAGAUCACCAAAAUCACUAUCAAAACGAUAAUGUUUUUAUCACUGUUUUGUCACCGUUUUGCAUUUUGUUCAAAUAGCAGUACACAGAUUUUGAUUGUUUAGUGUUUGCUCCUAACUCAUUCCCUUAAAAAAUUAUCUCUGUUUCUGUAAUUAAAGGUCAAAUCACAGAUUUUGAUUGUUUAGUCUGGCCGUAUAUAUUAUUUAAAGAUCUAAGAUUUUGUUAUUCUGUUGUGACUGUUUUUUCUUUGAAUCAUUACUUUGUUGGUUAGUUACACGUGCAAUGUUGAGGGGUAAAAGAUAUAUGUAGAGGGGAACACGUCAUACGAAGGAAUGGAAUGGCAAAUAUUUCUUCUUCUCUCUCCGUCUCUCCUGCUAUCUCUGUUUCUCCAUUAAUUUCAAUUCUUUUUGCUUCUUUUUUUGUUGGAGCCAGCACUUACUCGAACAGUGUAAAUCUAUGAUAUAAACUCUGAGUUGCAGAGUUAUAUCACAUUCCUCUUCGGCUGCUUUCUAAUUAAUUAACUUGGGCUACCUUUACUCUGCUAUAUUACAUACACAUUGCAACUUGCAAGUUCCAUCCCUUCUCUUCGUUUCAUUUCAACUAGUAUUAAACCCAAUCAUGAGAUCAACUUUACUCUUAUCAUGGCUUUUCUUGAUACCCUUUUUAGCUAAUUAUUUUGGGAUGCAUAUGGUUUUGGUGUCUGGCCAAUGUCAGGGCCAUCAAAAAUCGCUAUUAAUCUAGAUGAAGAACAGCUCCAUAUUUGACGUUGAAAUUAAUAAUUUAUGUUUUAUUUUGAAUUAUAAGUUAAUUACCUCUUACAAAAAUAUGAAAUAAUGAGGCUGCCGAUGUGCCUUAAAGAGCGAUAGCAAGAUUACUAUAGAAAAACACGCGCGAUCGGAUACAAAAUUGCAAUAACACAACCAAGCCAUACAUUUUAUAUGAGGAACCCAUUAAUUAUGAGAUAGAGAUUAAACAAAGUUAUGAUGAAUAUGAUUAAUUUUAUCUAUCAAAUCAAUCUAACCACUUUUUAAUUAACUAGAGACGAUUAUCAUUUUGUACAUGUGGGUCCAAUCCACAGAGAGCUUCGCCGAAGCUGGAAGCAGCGGGCAAAGUAGCGGAUACUCAUUAUGUGAUUGAUCUUUGGAUUUUCAGUCCAUGUCCUAUUGCGAUCCUUACAUUACAUAUGAAAGAUCAACAAUACAUAUAGAGCUAGCUUUAAACACCAGUUGAACAGGGAGAUAUUUUAUUAUAAUGGAGUUAACAAAAUAGAUAUUAGAAGGAUUUUUGUUUUUGAAAAUUCUAGUCUAAAAACCUUGUAAAUAAUUGCUAUUGUAACAAAAAUAUGGAAUGUGGUUUUUUCUUAUAUUAAAAGUUGGAAGGUGGUCAAAGUGUAAAUUUCCCAAUAAUUUUCCAACGUGUCUAUGAAUCUUGUGUCGGCUCUUCAUAAAACCUGUAAAAUCACUAUCAAUUGUUAGCUCUCUCCUUACGGCUUUUACAAGUCUUUGGGUUCCACGAGCAAAUUAGCGUCCAGUUCGGCGCGAGAUGAAUUACAUUCAAUCAAUUUUUUUUUUAAUUAAAAGCAAUAAAAUCACUGUCAAAUGUUAGCUGUAUCCUUACGAGACUUUUCGAAGUCUACGGGUCCCGCAAGCAAAUCAAAGUUGAGUUUGACGCGAAAACGAAUUGCAUUCAAUCAAUUUUAAGAUUUUUUUUAACAUAGUAGAGGAAUAGUGAAAGUCUAAAUUAAUUCUUUUUAUUAUACUUAUUUCAAGAUUCAAACUCACCUGAUUAAUUAAGUAAAUCUGUUUAAUUAUUGGAUCUUAUAAUGAAUAAAGACCCUGAUUUUUAUUGGUUGAAUAAGGUUUGAUGCUAAUUAAUAUACUGCAAAAGGCAGAAAGAAUCCUAAUUAAUAUAAGCAGCGAUGCAUGGAGCCAUGAUUUUGGUUCAACGGGAUCAGAAUCAAGAAACUACGAACUUGGGGAGGCCAAGAUCAACAAUUUGUAAAACGAUGGAGUAAGAGGAUCAGAACAUAUAUAGAGAUUCCAAAGAAAUGGACUAAAUUUUAAUUAAUACCCUUAUCUUCCUAUGAAUUAUAUAAUUAUAAUAUUGUAAUAAUCACAGAUUUACUAGGUCCCAACGAUUCCAUUGGUGCUUGUUUCUAACUCAUUCCCUUCAAAAUCCUAUCCCUCAUUUCAAAAUUAUUUUAAUUAGUUUCCAAGUCUACGCCUAAAAGCUAAAAACUUUUAGUUUGCUUUGAAUAAUCCUAAAAGUUUUUGCUUUAAUUUUCUCUUAUACUUACUUUGGUAUGGCUUUCUAAAUAUAGCUUAUUAAAUAGAGUUUUUAUUAGUAAAGCUUUUAUAAAUAGCGUUUUCAUAAAAAUAAUUUUAGUUAUUUGUUUGUCAAUGGAAGCUUUUAUUAAAAAUUAAAAAAUUGUUUAAUAAGCAUGUUUUUUAAAAUUAUAUUAUGAAAUGAAUGAAAUAAAAUUAUCGAAUAAAUAAAUGAUAUUUUAGGUGUUUUAACAUUCUUAAAAAUAACUUUUUUAACAUUCACUCCCAAAAACCCAAAUUUUGAGUUUUUACUAGUAGAGAAAAAAAUAACUUAUUUAAUUUUUAAAAGCUCUACUAAAUCUUAAAAGAGUUUAUAUAAUUAAAUAAGUAUUUAUAUCCAUUAGAUGAAGUAUGCCAAACAUACAUAAUGUCUUAUUUGUUUGAGAUUUCUUUUCUUCUCUCUGUUUGACAAAGUUAAUAAAAUAAUUAACAAGAAUUUCAAAUAAGGGCCUUUGCCUUCUGUCAUUGAGACAAUAUUCAUCUCCAAACUGGUUCCACCGUAGAUACAUAUUGUAUGGGCAAUAUUCAUAGAUGAUCUCUAAGAAUUCAUGCUCAAUUUUAGUUGCAAUAAGAUAUAGGCUAUUUCCACAUUAAAAACUACUCUGAGCACUCUGGUUUUAAUAAAAUAAUUUAAUUACAAAAUUAAUCAUCAUAUAAAUUACUAUUAAGAUUUAUUUAUUAAUGAGCCAAUACAACUUAAUUACUUUAAAACUCAUAUAUACACUCAUUAUUUAACAUAUAAUCUUUUAUAUCUAACAUCUUAAAAUAUAAUUCAUUGAACAUGCACCAAAUCAAUUUUUAAAUAAUUUUAAAGAUAAAAUAUUUGUAAGACUUACAUUUUUCUAGAAAUAAAAUAAACUGAAAUUAUUGCAAAGGUGUUCAUUUUUUUGUCUUUAAUUUAAAAAUAAAUAAAUUAAAGCACUCUAAACCUAAUAACCCAGUCAGCAUCUUCUUCUUCUUCUUCUUCUUUUUUGUGUCAGAUUACAAUUUGGUUUUCAAUUAUUAUUGGGGUAGUGAAGUCCAUACUUAUUGAUCUUAAAGAAUUUAUAGGUGCAAAAAUUGAUAUGGGAUACAUUCUUUAAUUAACGAAAACUGAUAAAUAAAAUUAUUUUAAAAAAUUUGCUUAAAACUUGACUUAAUUUCAUUGUUGCUAGUUAUGCUACAUUUAUUAAAACGAUUUUCUUUGAGUGUGCUGAAUAUUUUUAUUAGUGUUUUGAGUAAAUUAAUUUAAAUGAUUUAAGUAGAGAUACUUUUGGCAUCUUAAAGAGUGUACAAAAUAAAAAUUAAUUUUUCAAAUUUAGAAUUUGUGUAUAGAGUACCUUUUUUUUUUUUUCCAAAGAAGUUGUAACAAGAUAUUUAUUCGUAGUAUACAAUGAAAGACAAUGCUAAAAGAAAUGAGCCCAACCAAGUUUUAAGUGACUUACUUCUAUAGUUUUAUGCGUGGAUCUCCCACUAACUUUUUACUGUCGUAAUUUUGGACCUAUGGAAAUGGAAGAUUCCUGUAUUUGAUGCAGGCUUUAACCAAAAGAUCCAAUUUUCUUUCUUUUUUUUUUUCUCCCAAGUCUUGGCAACAUUAAUUGGUUUGAACUUUUGUAGUCUUCUAGCUCCCAGUUUAUACGUUGGGGGUGUAACUUCUAGGGAACUUCGGCCAUCCUUUUCCUGUUAAAUGAAUUCAUCGCAACUCCCAAGUUUCAUCACUCCUCUCCGAGUUUCAUUUCAGCAAUUAUUAAAACAAUGCGACCAAUUUUACUCUUAUCAUGGCCUUUCUUGAUACCCUUUUUAGCCAAUUAUUUUGGGAUACAUAUGGUUUUGGUUUCUGGCCAAUGUCAGAGCGAUCAACAAUCUUUGUUACUCCAAAUGAAGAACAGUCUCAUAUUAAGCAAUGACAGUGGCUUUCCAUCUACAAAACUGAGUCAGUGGAGUAGCCAUCAAAGCUCCGAUUGUUGUGAUUGGAGCGGUGUAAGGUGCGAUGAGGCUGGUCAUGUUAUUGGUCUCGACUUGAGCUGGGAACCAAUCAUUGGCGGACUUGAGAAUGCGACUGGCCUUUUCGAUCUUCAAUAUCUGCAGAGCCUCAAUCUGGGUUUCACUCUCUUCAAAGGAUUCCAAAUACCAUCCAGAUUGGGCAACCUGACAAAUUUGACUUACCUGAAUCUUUCCCAGGGUGGCUUCGCAGGGGAGAUUCCCACUGAGAUUUCAAGCUUGACAAGGUUGGUUACUCUUGAUUUGUCAGGUAUUGUGCCCAUAGAAUAUUCCUAUACAGUUUGGAUCGCAAACUUAAGCUUGUUUCUGCAGAACUUAACAGAGCUCACAGAACUGCAUCUUGAUCGAGUAGAUUUGUCCGCCUCCGGAACUGAAUGGUGCAAAGCUUUAUCAUUUCUGCCCAAUCUACAAGUUUUAAGCUUGUCCGGGUGUGAUCUUUCAGGUCCAAUCAAUCACUACCUGGCAAAGUCACGGUCACUCUCCGUGAUUCGUUUGCAUUACAAUUAUGGUCUGUCUUCAGGUACAGAGUUUUUGGCCCAUCUGACGAAUUUGAAGGCCUUGGAUCUCAGCGAGUGUGGGUUGCAAGGGAAGUUUCCAGAAAAGAUAUUGCACGUUCCCACACUUGAGACUCUUGACUUGUCAAUUAACCAAUUGCUUCAGGGUUCUCUGCCAAACUUUCCUAAGAAUUCUUCUCUUCGGGACCUGAUCCUCUCUCACACGGGAUUGUCAGGCACACUACCAGAUUCCAUUGGGAAUCUUGAAAAUUUGACAAGGGUAGAGGUUAGUAGUUGCAAUUUCACAGGGCCAAUUCCCCCUUCAAUGGCUAAUCUUACCCAAUUAUUUCACAUGGACUUCUCAUCUAACCAUUUCUUUGGUCCCAUCCCAUCUCUUCACAAGUCAAGAAAUCUCAACAACUUAGACCUUUCGUUCAAUAAUUUAAGUGGCGGGAUCUCAUCCACUUUCUGGGAACAACUUCUAAAUCUCCAAAUUGUUGUCUUGGGGCACAAUUCACUUAGUGGAAGUAUCCCCAGAUCUCUGUUUCUACUUCCAAAUCUGGAGAUGCUUCAGCUCUCCAACAACCAGUUCGAGAACCAACUUCCUGAAAUUUCAAACGUGUCCUCGUCUGUAUUGUUUGACCUUGAUUUAAGCGGCAACAGAUUAGAAGGGCCUGUCCCCAUUUCAAUAUUCUUUGAACUCAGAAACCUUUAUACCCUCGAUCUUUCUUCCAAUAAGUUUAGCAUAUUGAAACUGGCUUCAAGCAAACCACGGGCCAUUCCUAUUCUAAAAAACCAAUCACAACUUUCUGUUUUGGACAUUUCAGAUAACCAAAUAUCUGGAGAAGUACCAAAUUGGAUUUGGGAAGUUGGUAGUGGCAAUCUUAAGUUCUUAAAUCUUUCACACAACCUCGUAGUGAGCUUGCAAGAACCUUACUCUAUUUCUGGUAUCCGCUUCCUUGACCUGCACUCCAACCAGCUCCGAGGAAAUAUCCCUUACAUGUCACCAAAUACUUCCUACGUCGAUUACUCCAACAAUAAUUUUACUUCCAUUCCAGCUGACAUUGGUAAUUUCAUGUCUGAAACAGAAUACUUUUACUUUGUCGCUGCAAACAAUAGUCUCGCUGGAGUCAUCCCGGAAUCUGUAUGCAAGGCUACCAAUUUUCAAGUUCUUGACUUAUCAAACAACAAUUUGAGUGGCACAAUUCCUGCAUGUUUAAUCACCAAGAGUAGCAGCACUCUGGAGGUUUUAAAUUUAGGGAGAAACAACCUCAAUGGCACUCUUUCUGACACAAUAUUUCCAGGAGAUUGUGGGUUGCAAAUUCUAGAUCUCAGUGGAAAUCAACUACAAGGAGUGGUUCCAAAAUCUCUUGCCAAUUGCAAUAUGCUGCAGGUUUUAGACCUCAGGAGUAACUAUAUCAGUGAUAAUUUCCCAUGCUGGUUAAGGAAUGCUUCUAGUUUGCAAGUUCUAGUUUUGCGAUCCAACAACUUCUCCGGACACAUUAGCUGUCCGAGAAAUAAAGUCUCCUGGCCUCUGCUUCAAAUAGUCGACUUAGCAUGCAAUAAAUUCAGCGGAAGACUUUCACAAAAGUGGUUACUUACCAUGAUGGUGGCUGAAACCAAAUCCGGAUCUGAGGUGAACCACCUUGGAAUUGAGAUGCCGAGCAACCAAUUCUAUGAGGUUAGAGUAACAGUUACAGUAAAAGGUAUAGAGAUCAAGCUACUGAAGGUCCCAAAUAUAUUCACUUCCAUUGACUUUUCAAGCAACAAUUUCGAAGGGCCAAUACCAGUAGAAAUGGGACGAUUCAGAUCACUUUAUGCUCUGAACAUGUCGCACAAUGCUCUCACAGGCUCGAUACCAUCAUCUUUUGGGAACUUGAAAGAGAUUGAGUCCUUGGACCUCUCAAUGAACAACCUCAGCGGGAAAAUUCCUGCCCAGCUUGCAAGCCUAAAUUUCCUAUCGGUCCUAAAUCUCUCAUACAAUAACUUAGUGGGAAAGAUUCCGACAAGUACUCAACUCCAAUCAUUUUCACCGACUUCUUAUGAAGGAAACAAAGGAUUGUACGGACCUCCUUUAACGAAUGAAAGCCAAGCACGUCCUCCUGAGUUACCACCUUCACCGCCACCAGCUUCAAGCGGUGAAAUUGAUUGGUUCUUCAUAGCCAUGUCAAUUGGAUUUGCGGUCGGCUUCGGAGCAGUUGUUUCACCUCUAAUGUUUUCCGUGCAGGUAAACAAAUGGUAUAACGAUCUUAUCUACAAAUUUAUAUAUCGGCGAUUCCGUGUGUGAAGUGAUUUAAAUCUCUCCUUUUGAAUAAUCAUGUAAGCUAGCUUUUGCUUCUCUCUUGUGUCAUAGAUGUUUGAUAUUUCUUUUCUUCUCUGUUUGAUAGAGUUAAUAACGUUGACAAUAAUUUGAAAUAAGGGCCUAUCUAUAACUAUUGCUGAGACAAUCUUUAUCUCAAAAUUGGCUCCAAGUUAGAUCUAUAUCGGCGCAAUUCACACACAACAUAUCUUUGUGAGUCCAUACUAAAUUAAUAUGUGCAAGAUUGUGUAUGAUUCCAACUCCAAGCUAGAUACAUAGCGAUUCAUGAUCAUAUUCCAUUUGUUCACUUGGAAGUCUUGAGUUAUGAGCCCAUCUAAGAAAUGAGCCCGAAAAGGGUUGGGGGGUCCUUGUGGCCUGGCCGAGUAGUUUGAUCAAAAUAUUAGUUUAUAUUAUGUUUAAUUUGAACUCUUGUAAUUCUUCAUACUCCAGUGUAUGUUUUCUUUCUUAUUUAAGGAGGGGAGUGGAACUCUCACUUCAUAGAUCUCACUCAUUUUUUUUUUUUUUGCAAGGAGUGGAAUUCUCACUUCUAUAGGGGCCACUCCCACAUCUUCUUUUCUUUAUGAAAUACAAUAAAAUUUAUAUUUAUUAAAUAAAAUUAUAUUAUAUUAUUUAAAAUUAAAAACAUUAUAUUUAUUUAAAUAAUAUUAUUAUAUUUAGUUAAAAAAUAAAAAUUUAUGUAAUCUAAGUUAAAAUUACUUAAAAGUAAUACUAUUAUAUUCAUAGAGAAUUAAUAAUAUUACAAUAUACUAUCUUUAUUUGAAAAAUAAAAUUACUAUAUUUAUUUAAUAUUGAUAACUAAUAAUAAUAAAUGGUUUACUCUAAGAAAAUAUUAAUUUUGUAAUAUAUUAUCAAUAAUAAUGUUUUGUUUGUUUUGCUCUUAUAAUAAUUUUUAAUUUAUGUAAUUAAAAUUAAAAUCAAUAAAAAAUUAUGAUUUACAUAAUUAAGAAUAUUAAUAAUUAUUAGUAAUUUAUAUAAUUAAAAUAAUGAUAAAUUAAAUAGUUUAUUUUAUAAAUAUAUUUUUUAUUCACUUGUAAUUAGAAACUACAAUCUUUUAAAUAAGGGUAAAAAUGUAAUUUAAAAUAAUUAACUCCCAAUCCAAAUAAGAGUAAACAUAUAAAUAAGAUUAUGACUCAUAUUAUACAUUCUUCUUCCAAUGUAAGUAAACAACUUAUUUCUACUUCCGAUCCCUGAAUUCCUAAACCACACCUUAGUUGAGUGGUUUUCAAACAAUUUUAUUUAAUUGUAACUUGAGUUCAAAUAUUGAUAAAAUUAGAAUUAAAAAUUUCUAAAAAAAUUAUUUGAAUUUUUUCCACCACUCUACUUUUUAAAUAAAUGAAAAAGAAAAACUCUCAAAUAAACAAAUAAAAGCUUUUAGUAUGUGCGCCAAUAACGUUUUUAUUGUCAAUUAUUUUGAGUCAUUAGUAUUCUGCAAUUUUUAUAUUGAAUAUAGUUGUACAUAAUUUAUCUAACUUUAACAGUAUUUUCUUGCCAACUUGCAUCUCAACAGUUAGCCAAGUGGUGAACUGCAACUCUCCCAAGUCCUCUUAAAUUUUUCUCUCCUAAUUAAAAAUUAUGUAAAGAUAUGAAUUUUCUCUGUUGAUUUUGUAGGUAGAACAAAUCGCCUUCCAAUAGACGGUCUAUUGAUAGACUCUUGAUUGUACAAUACAUAUUAGUAAGGGGAAAAGUACAUCUACACUUCCAAGAUUUGGGAAAUGGUCACCAACACCCCUAAGUUUUCGUAAAAGGACACCAAGACCACUUUUGAUUAUUAUACCCUUUACCUCUAUUAUCCCAAAAAAUAGGCUUUAAAAUUUUUAAUAAAUACAAAUAUUAUAUAAAUAAUGUAAUCUAUGCAGUAGACUAAUAAUAUUAAAAUAUUUUAAUAAAUUUAAAUAUUAAACUAUUAAAAUUAUUGUAUUUAUUUUAAUAAUAUGUAUGUAUUUAUUGUAGAAAUUUUAAAUAAUAUGAAUGAAUUGGAAACUAAUCUUCACAAGGAAAGAAAAGUUAGCCUUCACAUGGAAGCAAAGACUAACCUUUAUAAAGAAGGAAGAAAAAGCAACCUUCACACGGAAAGAAAGACUAAAAGAUGAAAAAGGGGGAAAAGUUAUUAAUAGUAAAUAACACUAAUUAAUAAUUAGUAAUAGUGACACUUAAUAUAAUAAAAUUACAUGAAAUUAAAAUAAAAUUGAAUAGAAACAAAUACAGUAUCAAUUAUCACAAUGCAAUUGGUAAGUGUCUAUUUGGUAUAAUCCCAUAAGUUCCUAAUUAAAUUUUUUAUUAUUAUUUGAUUAUUUUGUUGUAGAUUUUUUCAAUAUUAAAUCAGAUAUUUGGUCUCUACUAUCAAAAGCUUAAAUCUGACCCGAACCCCAAAAGUGAAGCCGAAGCCGGGCUGGGCCGCGCGCUCACUUUUCUGCCAUCCCUUGCGCAACAAAACGCAAGCCUUGGCUGGCUGGUCGUAGUUUUUGCGCAGUUCAGUUAACAGACGUUGAUACAACGUUACGCGGGGUAUGCGCAGAGUCUUAACCUACACCCACUACAUUUCUCCUCAGUCCUCUCUAUAAAUAGCUUUUCUCUUUUACUUUUGGUUUCCCUCUUCUUUCAAAAUCAUCACCGAAUCAACAAAUAAUCUUUCGCUCUGUCACUCACUAACUAAAUAUCACGAAACGAUCAAAAAUUAGCAAAUUAAUGGCUACUUUCGGUGCUGCUGCCGUUGCCACCAAUCAAAACCCUAACAAGUCCAUCGAGGU
rnacentral:lncRNA from 1 species